UAACAAUCCAAACAAGUAUUGUAUUUAAACUAACUAUACAAUAUAAAGGGUAACUACCAUCCAAACAAGGUGUUAAUGUAAAAGCAUACAAAAUAUCAUAUAAUAAAGUUCAUAUGUCAAUGCAAUGGAUCCAUUGAAUUUUUUUUUUUGAAGUACACACAAAACUCAAAAACAAGAAAAUUAUCCAUCUAGCUGGAUAUGAUUAUGCAUAAUGAACAGAGGAAACAGCUUAAGAGAAAAACUGGUCCAUUAGAUCCCCUCUUUCAAUCGCAAUCUUCUAUUUCUGCACAGCAAAGAAACACUUCUCAAAUAUAUUUUACGAAAGAUUUAACAGGUAAAAGUGUACAAGCUCAAAAGAUGAUGCAAUUAAUCUUGAGUCAGUUACCUGUUAAACCAGUGUUGCCGUUUUUUAUAUGCAAGGGGUAAAUAAGGACCUUGGGCUCUGCAUUUCCAUAUCCUUCUUGCACUUCUUUAAAGUCCUUGACUGACUUUUCAAGAGACUCACCACAUCGUUUCACUUCAACUAUCUUUAGAGUACGAAUAUCUCCAACUGGAAUUUCUUGAAGAUUAAAGCAGUUUUCUACCAGAAGCUGUUCGAGGUUAAGCAAGGACUCAUCUGAGGCAUUCCAUGUUGUUAUUGUAAGGGAUCUUAAUUUAAGAACCUUGAGGUUCAGAAACUCUUCAUCUUUGAUCUCCCAUUUUUCCUGCUGAAAUGCUCUAUGUUCCAACUUGAGAACCACUAAAUUUGGUAAUCUUCCGAUAUUAGACAGUUCACUUUGUGGCAACAAAACAUCUGAUAGAGUUAGCUUUGUUAGUGUCGCGGGAAAGGUGAAAUUCAAAAUCUUACCGUUUACACUGAGUGUUUCAAGUUGAAGAGCAUGUAAUUUGAGUUUGAGAGGCUCUUUACAGUGGCAUUUGAGCUUUCGCAGUCUGCUUGCCUUCUUGACCAUGUAGUCUACUAGCUCAUUAGUGAGAGACACUGUGGCCAAGGUCUCUAUGUUUGUCGAUGUCUGAGGAAUGCGUCCAUCAAAAGAUGCAACAGGUUCAACAUGUACAUGCUUUAGCCUUGGCAUAUUCCAGAUGGUCAUCGGUAAAAUUGUGCCACUGCCUACUGUUAUUACAAGCAAUACCUCUAGGUUUGAAAGGUUCGAUAUCCAUAAUGGCAUAGAUACCAUAUAGCCUUUGAUUCCUAAGUACUUCAAAUGGAUCAGCUCUUUUGAUCUCUGGAAUGAACUCUCCGACAUAGUACAUUCCAUUUGUAGUACUCUUAAUAGUUUAAAGUUCUCAAGAUCAAGAAAUUCCUGGCAGCCAGAUUUCGGGGGUCUGAAGAAUGCAGAUCGAACUUGCAUGUUUCCAAUCUUCCCUGCCCAAUAAAGGCUAUGAUGAAUGCAAAGCCUCCGGUGCUCAUAAAAGGAACUAGACAAAUCAGUCUUCCCGGUGCUUGUUAGUUGCAUAAACUUCUCUUCCUUAGACUUUGUCAUGCAAAAAUCAUGUAACAUAUCAUGAAUGUGGCAUGUUCUGACUCCUCCAGUGGACUUUCUCUUGCUCACCAUUAUCAAGCUUCUACCGAUGAGAUCAUUCAGUAAAAUUUUUGCAUCGAGCCCUAUGUUUGGCACCAAUCCCUCGAUAGUCCAUAACCAUGCCAAGUUUGAGAGUGGAAUUUCUUCAUCCUCCUGAAAUGAUGCAAAAUAUAGAAGGCAGGGUUUGAGAUGAUCUGGCAUGUGCUUGUAGCUCAGUUCUAUAACCUCCAUGCACUCUUUUGCACUAGUAACAGUAUCUAACUUUAUACUCUCUGCGACUCUUCUCCAACUUCCCUCAUUUUUGCUUAUCCCAGACAAAACUCCAGCAACCAAAAUCACAAGGAGAGGUAGUCCUUUACACUUACUUGCGAUGUUUUCUCCUACUUUUGAUAGGUCUGGUGGGCAAGUUUGUUCCUUGAACAGCUUGAUUUUCAUUAGUUCCCAACUUUCAUUUUUGUCAAGAAAACGAAGUUCAAGAAGUACUCUUUCAAAUUUAAUGUUGGAAGCCACAUUAAUGUUUCGGCUGGUUAAUAAAAUCCUGCUUCCGUUUUUAUUAUCCGGUAAGCAUCUGCUCAAGUAUUCCCAUGUGUCAACACUCCAUAUGUCAUCAAUGUAGAGAAGGUACUUCUUUCUUAACAGAAAUUUCCGCAAAGCAUCUGCUGGAUUUUUCUCAUUCUGUUGGUUAGAACAUUUGACUUGAUUUAAAAUUCCGAGCAGCAACUUUCUUUUGUCGUAAGUUUGGGAAACACGACACAUAGCUUGGAUGUCAAAAUAAAGCCGCAUUUUCUCAUCAUGAAAAACUUUCUUUGCUAGUGUAGUCUUUCCAAGACCAGGCAUCCCUACAAUAGACACAACAACUAGGCACUUUGGUCCUGUAGUGAGCUGUUCGAUUAGCAAGUCAGCCUCGUUCUUAAAACCCACCAUUACCUCAUCAGGUAGUGUAGUCUCAACUACUUGUCUGACAGGAUUUGGUGCUUGUUCUUCGAUUGGGACUUCAACUUCUUGCGUAAUCGUAGCAUGGAACUCUUUCAAAUGAUCCCUUACAACCUUAGUUUCUGUUGUGAUCUUACAUAACAAAUGUAGAUACCAAACAGGAUAAUCUCCGGUAACCAGGCAAUCAAUUAUGCAUUCUGCCUGGUAUGCUAGAGAUAUGACUUCUGUCCAUAGAUCAUGUUUCUUCACCUCCUCAAACUCAUGUUUUUUCUUCUCAACUUCCUUCAAGAAGUAUCUUAAGAGAUAUAACUCUUCCUGAGCUUCUUCAAUAAGAUGCUUGACAACAGAAUCACACUUUCCGUCUUGCAGCAGCUCUUUCAGAUAGCGUAAGAGAUAAUCGAUAAACCCCAAUCCAUUUGUCCUAGGAAAAUUACAUUUUGAUGACACUACAUCUUUCAGAAUCACAUCUUUUAGAUCUUCCAUGACAUGUUCAAUCUUUUUUAACAAGUCACUGAAUACCGAGUUAACUUCUGCUGCUUUGUCAACGGAGAAAGAGAAAGCAGCAGAUACUACCUCAGCAAUCGAAAGAGAAAGCAACAGAUACUACCUCAGCAAUCAGACCUUCAAUGCAAGUAAGUUUGUCACUCAUUUUUUCCUGUAUAACAUAUAAAUCUUCUGGUGGACAAAUGAGCAAAGUUACCAAUUGCUUUGAUGCUUCGGCAAGGCUUUUGAUUUGAUCCUUUUUAAGAGGAAGCAUCAAAGAACAUGCCUCACCGUCUGAUAACUCCAACAAAUCCUUGAAGAUGAAAUGAACAAAACCUUCAACAAAUUCUAUCACAUCCCGGCUGUAUUGGAUUUGCAAUUUAACUGAACCUCUUAGAGCUCCAGUAUAGAUUUCUGCAACGUCCGGAUCAAUGGGCUUGAUAUAUUUCAAAACAUGAGAGAUUUGAAGUGUCAACACAGAUGCUGAAUCUCCAUCCAUUUCUUCCACAUAACAAAGGUAACAUAUGUAUGCAGCAUUCACUGUGAUGCCCUCUAUAUGAUUAAAAAGAAUGUUGGAUUUCUCUAGCUCCAUGCUUGCAUCUUUUAUGAAAUUGAGGAAGGUUUUUAGAUAUUUUAGACUUUCUUCAAGGACUUGAAACUCUUUCUUCAGAAGUACAAACUUGUCGAAAUCUUUCUUGUUGAUGAGAAGAUCCUUCACAUUCUGAAGGAUGUGCUCAAUGAAUUUCUGAAACACUGGGCUGCAUAAAUUUGGUAAAGGCCACCUCCCUGGAACCAAUGAAAGGAGAAACUUAUAACCUUCUUUGACUUCAGCAGAAGAUAAGUCUGCCCUUGGUCCCGAGACAGUGUCACCGACUUGCAUUCCAUGUUCGCGCAAUCUCCCCUCCUUAAUCCUUCCUUUUUGAGUUGCCCAAAACAAAAAAGUACCAAGAAAUCUCCUCUCUAUUUCAGACAUUUGUUUUCCAGCAGAAUUUCCUCAGAGUGGAUAUAUGUCGACAGCUCUGCAAGCAAAGAGAUUAAAAGCAAAUCACAUUCUAGGACAAACAAUGCAUACUCCAUAAUCUAGUUGCUCUUCAUAUUGCGUGAAAUUAACACAGAAUUCCUUUAUAUGUUGAUUGCACUCUUCCUCUUGUAUCAGAACAUUAUGCUUGAUUGUAACUAACAAACAGAUAAUAUUUAAGAAAAAGAUGUGUGUGAUCACAAAUAACAAAAACUGUUUGGUUGCACUAAAUGUUUUCUGGAAAAUGUGAAGUUAUAUCUGAAAGUCACAAUGCAUACUCUUAACUCUACACAACUAGGGGAAUGGGGAAAAAAGUCACCAGGAAAAACAAUAACAGAAAAAGAACUGGUUCCAAAGAGUUCUGAUUGUCUACUACUUACUUUUGCCUAAACUAGUUACCCUUUGUUAAUCCAAGCAAGUGAAAUUGUACAAUAACUGAUACUAGGGUCAACCUUCAAUAUUUCUUAGAGAAUUGUCACGAUUUGUUUUUUGAUGCUCAGGACAAAAUAGUGACUUUAUAUAUCAAUGCUACUUAUGUGAUUUUGAUUGUCAGGAAGUUUGCUUCAAAAUAGUUAUUACUAUAUAAAUAUUUUCCUUUUGUUUUUCUUAUUUACUAUUUCUUAAUAUUUCAGUAUUUUAGACGAAGAAAGGUUCAUAUGACUUGUAAUAACGCUAGUUGAAGUUUGUAUUAGUUUAAUACUUAUUAUUUAUUUAAUAGCUAAUUUUUAUGCUAUAAAUAUUUUUAUUAAUGCAAAUAUCUCUCUCUCUCUCUCUCUCUCUAUAUAUAUAUAUAUAUAUAUAUAUAUAUAUUUGUAUUUAAAUUAAGGUAUUAUAUAUGUCACGACUCACAAAUGUAUUAUCAAGUUAACAAAAUCUUCUAACUUCAAUAUAUAUUAUUUUAAAAUGUUCCGAGUUCUUUUUUUUAAAAAAAAAAACUCACAACAAAUGUGAAAAUAUGUGAACAUAUAUGAAUCAUUUAAAAUUUAUCAUUAACAAAAUAAACUUUAUAAUCUGUAAUAUAGAAUAAACAUUUUCAUUUUGUCCCUACACUAAAUUAAAAUCUAAUCUAUCUAUCUAUAAAAGGAGAAGAAAAAGUGCCACGUGUCAGCACCACAAAAAAACUAUAAUUAUUAUUAUUUAAAAAAUUAAUUAAAAAACUGAUGGUAAAAAAACAAUAAUUACCAUUAAAAAAAUUUAAAAACUUAUUUUUAAAAAAUAUUUAAAACGGUCAAUUAGUAGUUAGUUGUAGAAAUGGGGUAGUUUUUUUUCCAUUCACUUUUAAAAUUUAUCUAUAUAUAUCUAAAAAACAAAACAUUUUAAAAAAACAUAAAUAAAAAACAGUUUUUAAAAAUUGUUGACCAAUAAUUUUUUAUAUUAUUAUACAGCCCCUAUAUAUGUGAUAACAUGGUGUUAUUUUUCCUUGGAUGAAUUAUGCUUAAGUUAAUAAAUUGAAAAUCGUUUACAAGUAUAUGAACUAUAUCUUUGUUGGGUGUAAGAUAAACAUGUGAUUAUAUAUAUGAUUUCACAAAUAGAAUAUAUUCUUUAAUUUUAAUUUUUAGUUUUUCGGGUAAAAAAAAAAAGGAAACUUUUCUCAGUUAACUAUGGACAGUUAGAUAACUAUCUUUGAUUUAUGUACACAAUCAAUCGAGAAGUCAAAUAUGAGAACCAACAACAAGAAUGUCAGUUAUUAUGUUAUAACUUACAAAAUAAAAAUUAAUAUACAAAAAAUAGUUCUAAAAAAUAAAAUUUUGUUGUUUUCUUCACAUGCUCAUAUGGCAUAUAAACAGUUUAACAUGGAAUACACGUGCAAAACACAUCUGGUUUGACAAGAAAAAUACACAACAAAUAUCGUCUAUAAGGUAAUAUUAGUGAGAUACGACUAAUUACAUGAUUGAACCUCAUCAAAUUGAAAUAAAUAUAUACAUUAUUGCAUUUAACUAAUAAAUUUCUUCAUUGACCAUCUUCAUAGGUUCGCGUGAAUAAAAGAUAUAUAUGACGAUCCACAUUGAACAUUCACAAAAGAAUUUGCAGUAUUAUUUUGUGCAAAGCUUAUUAUUCAAAUCUUCGCUUAAUUAAGCUAGCGGGUCACAGACGGAUUUCUCGGUUAUCAAAAAAAAAAAAAAAACUAUUUACUAUAACAUAUAUUUUUUGAAUUGGUAAUCACGUAUCGAAAAACUAGUUAAUACAAAUUAAGUUUGUUCAAAAGUCUAUCACGUACCUUUUGUAACAACUUUGACAGAGCAGAAAACAGUGAUCCAGGUUUCACUACUUUGUUCUAUACUUUUAACCAGAAAGAAGAAUGAACAAGAGAUUUUAGGACUCCGGAGAGCAAAGUCCCGUACUUGCUUCCCUGACUAAAUAUUUUCACUUAAUAUAAAGCAUAAUAAUGAAAUUAAAUUACACCUAAUGAAGAAUUAAAAAUGAUUCAACUUUAUUGUUGCAUUAUACCCCAAUACAUUGCAUUUCAUUAUGGCCACUUGUGAUGGUUAAGAAAUGGAAAAAAAAAAGAGUUGACCUUAAUACAUAUAUAAUCUUAGAGGUGUUGCUUUCAGCUAAUGCCACUUGCACAUAGAAAAUAUGGCUGAUAGCCUUACCAGGAGACCAUUUAUUAAAAUAUGGCAGGAAGUUAGUCAGAUAUAGCUCUAAGGUCACGACUCGGUAUCAUAUUAGAUCAUUGACAUCCCACAUUACCUUUUCAUUACUACUAAAUACCAACUGCCUAUAUAGAAAAUUAGUUCAAAGCCCUGCUUUUCGCCAACUUCAGAAUUUUGGAAAUAGAAAGGAGAGUUGACCUUACCUUAAUCAACGGAGUAUAUAAUAUUGAUCUUGGAGAAGUGUCUACGAAAUUUACCUUUUCGUAUGGUAGGAAAGAUGGUUUUUCUAUAUAUAUGUUCAUUUUUUCUUACACAACUCCAUAGCAGCCGUCUCUCUCUCUAAUUAGAUCAUUGAAAUAUCUCAUGAUUUACGGAAGAAAGUCCUCAUUUGCUGCUACCAAUUUCACCACUUUGUCAAACAUCAGUUAAUUGGCAAAGAAAAGUCAAAUAAGACAAAGUUAAACAUUCAUCUUGUCAUUGAUUUCACUCAUGAUAUUAUUAGUAUAGAAAGCAGAAUGAGGUAUACCAUAGACUGUACAAAAAAAUAGUCUGGUAAGAAAAAUAGAGCGUUAGCGAUCAUCUGUUAUCGGAACUAGCAAUAUGGAUCCUAACUCAUUAGAUCUUAAGCUAGCCAACUUGUAUAGGUGUUUCAGUACUAAUUCCCAUUUGAGAGAGAAUUUUAAACUUGUUUGUUGAAAUUAAUCCAACACAUUGACGGUGAAGCAAUAGUCCAUUACAUUGAUAUAUUACACCCUAUGUUCCUAAACACGUUGAAUGAUUCCCUGGUUAAUCUAGACGUGAAGAUCACUGCCCUGACGGCGAUGAGUAACUUCAUUCAACGGGUGGGAGUUCAAAGGUAGGGAGAGGUUUCAGGAUCUGUUGCCUGCGAUGAUGGACAUGCUGAAUGAGGCAUUGGAAGAAAAUUGUGAGGCAUCAGCUCAGUCUGAGUUCGAGAUUUUGAUUGAGUUGGCCAAGAAUGAGCCUAGCUUCUUCAGGAUGCAGCUUGUGGUUGUGGUGGGUUCCAUGUUUGAUAUAGCUGAAUGUGAGAGUUAUGAAAAGAAAACGAGACAUUUGGCGGUUGAAUUCGUGAUGACAUUGGUUGAGGCCAGGGAGAAGACCCCUGGCAUGAUCAAGAAGUAUCCAUUGUUUACUGAAAAAUAUUUUGCAAUUUUAUUGAAUUUGUUAAAGGAUGAGGUUUAUGACCCUCUCUUGCCUGAUCCUUAUGGUAGAUGGGAUAGCAAUGAUGAUUUAGUUUUUCUUAAGAUGUGUUUAAACCGGUUGUCCAAUGCGCUGGGUGGUAAGACUGUUGGUCCUGUUGCCUUUGAGCAGCUCCCUGCUUACUUGGCUGACGACUCGUGGCAGAAGCCAUGCGCAGCACUCUAUGCACUUGCUCAGAUUGUUGAAGGCUGCUCAGAGGUGUGUAUUUAUUGAUACACUACUAAGAAUUGCAUUUAAACUGAUUAGUUAACGAUCUUGGGAUAGCAGAAGGUCACCUUGAUUAUACUUUCUUCUGUUAUUCUCUAGACUAAGUACUUUGCUUGCUCUCAUCUCUUCUUCAUUAUAAUAGGUGAUGAUUAAGAAUAUGAAUCUAGUGGUGACAAUGGUUCUGGAUUGUAUGGGACAUCCUCAUCCUGGAGUCAGAUUCGCCUCCAUGGAAGCAAUUCGCAUGUUUUUGCGUUUAAUGCGUCCCCAUUUUCAAGAACAAUGUCAUCACCAAGUAGUGCCAGCAUUAACCAAAGCUAUGGAUGAUGACAGUGUACAAGUGCAGGUCUGUAUGUCCUACGAUGAUAUGAACUCCUUUGGAUGCUCGUAUCAUAUGUCCCAAAUUACAGUUGCAAAAUUUUCUUACUGAACCUUCUCAAUGGGCUUAACUUUAACUUUAUUAGAUAUAAUCCCUGCUCUAACUUUACUAUCUUCAUAUUUUCCUAGGUCAGUGUCAUACGCACGGUCUGGAAGUUCCUUGAGGUUGGCACGCCUGAAUAUUUGACACUUUACAUCCAUGGAUUACACAAUAAAUUGCUUCAACUGUCGUCACAUACUGUUGCGGCGGUACGUAUUGUAGACUAAGUGCAAGAGAAAUCAGAUCAUUUUCUUGAACAAUGAACAGACAAUAUUACGAAUACAUUUAAGGGAAACAACCAUAAUUUCCAAGUUCCCAAUAUAAUUAUCCCGCCCUCCUUUAUAAAUUCAAAGCUUGUUACUCCCUUGAAUGUCCUUGAGGUCUUUACUUGCCUGAUUUUUUUUUUUUGUUUUUGACAUGAAAGGUCCAAAAAUCAGCGUCACUUGUACUCGAUCGUUUGCCUAAGCAUUUUAAGGUAUUACCUAGUAAUUCUGCUUCAACUUUUAUUAAGAGUAUGUUGUAUUAAGCUGGUUAUAUAUAUAUUAAUAUUAACAUUACUUCAACAGGAGUUCUAUGGGAACAACUACGAAUCUAUUAAACCACUUUGGAAAGCUUCCCUGGUAGAAGCAAAUUUUCCAAGUAAAGAUGUAGAGAUGAUCAUGUCAAUGCGCAAACCUGGCAGUUCGGUAUUUCCAAAACAGGUCUUCCACCAGUUAUACCAAAUGGAUUCUAUACAUCUCACUGAACUUAGAGCUUAUUGUUUAUUCGUUUUCUAUUUUUCUAUUUAGAACUUAGAGAUUAUGGAAGCAGUUAUGUCAUUACAAGGAUCACAAGAGGAUGAUAAGGAUACAAGUACGAUCUACAAGCUAGAGGUAUGUGUUGUUGAGAAUAUCGUUAACUAAUAAAAUGGUGUUCUCUCUAAUAGCUUAAGCUUUUAGAUGAGAUGGUCACGCACUUCAACAUGUUAUCAGAGCAGGCAGAGGCCCUGGGAUCAAAUCUCUUCGCCACCUUUCAAAUUAAAAAGAAUUUCCACGUGCUAAUCAGUCAGACAUUCUUUCAAGAUUGGUCUCUCUAUAUUUCUUGAUCUCAUUGCAGGCUAUUAGUGUAAUUUGUGAGGACAGAGGGAAAGAUUUUCUUCCUUGCACCAGCAUUGUCAUGCCCCUUUUGUUUCAAUGUGCUCAACUCGAACCUGAUAAAAUCAUAUUAUCUCCAGAUUCAGACCAUACUUGUUUAGCUGAUAAUAGGUACGCCUUUUUGUCUGAUCAUUGCUCUGAGUGAUCGCCUUUUUAUGUACAUUAUAACAUCUUGCAGUAUACACAGAGUCAAGGUUGGCAAUUCAACGAUAUGUAUAAAAGAAAGUUCCCUAAAGAAGAAAGCUUUAGCAUGUAAAGCCCUAGUCAUGGUUGCUUACAAAUUGAAGGAAGACUUUUACCCAUGGAUUUUCCAGGUUGUCACACUUGGACUUCUCUCUUUUUCUUUCUUUCUACCCGUGCUUUUGAUCGCGAACUGAAAAUUUGACAAGUGGUUUCAAUGGCCUAAUGCUUGAUAAAUGAUACAGACUGCUUCAAUUUUAUUUCCACUUUUGAAAUUCCAUUUCAAAGAGGUCAGGUUCCAUACAGUUGAAGGUGAGAUUUCUCAGGAUUUCACAUAGUUAAUUUCUCCGUCUUUUAUAACUAUCUGAUCACCUCCAAGACUUUUUAAUUUGUAAUGUUUAUAGCGAUGAAGCACCUUUUGCAAUCUGCUAAACUGGCUGAUGAGAAAGGGAUUGCUCCAGGUGAAAGCCAUUCGGAUUUCAAGCAGUUUUCGGACAGUAUAAUACUGAAUUUGGUGGAAGCUUUGCAUGAGGUUUACUUUUAACAUUAAGCUUCUUCUAUUUGGAUAAUGAGAAAGUAACACUUUGAUUUCUAUAUAAUGCAGGAGCUUGAAACAGAGAUAUAUGUACAUAUGUUGUAUACAUUACGACUGUGCCUUCAGGUUCGUGAUCUUUAAACACUGCUUAUUUGUUUUGAUCCAAAGUUUUCAGUGUUUCACUAUGAGCUAGGUAUGAAGUUUUUUGAAAAUGUUGCCUAUGUGGACCACUUCUCAAUGAAGAUCAGCUUCGUCCAGUCGUGGAUGAGAUAAAGCAUGUCAUUACAGAAAAUUUAAAUAGCCAAGGAAAACUCACAGAGAGAGAAAAAACAGAAGACUUCGAUGCUGAGGAAGCUGAAUUGCUGAGAGGGGAAAAACAUCAACAAGAUCAAAUAUUUAAACUUGUAUGUUCUAUAUUAAAACAGGAACUAAAGUGAUACACUGUUGUCUUUAUAUAUUCAAGCAUUUUCGCUUUGGUUCUGCUGUUAUUCUUGAACAGGCUGGUGGCAUAUUAGGUAGACUAAUCGAAUCAUUCAAGGUUGUUUUCUUGCCUUACUUUGACGAGCUAUCAUUAUAUCUGAUUCCGAUGUGGGUAAGUUCAUUGACACUAUUGUAACAUGACGUUAGUUUAUCAUUAUUCAUAUCUAGCAUAUCUUAUUGUUUCCGAUUUUUGUUAAGGACAAAGAAAUGACAAGUCUAGAGAGAUGUACAUCACUUUAUAUCUUUGGUGGUCUUGUGAAGCAUUGCUCUGAAGCAGCUCUAAAGUGAGUUUAAUUUAUCUGUAUGAGUUUUUCUUAAAUUAUUGGGGUGUCACCAUUUUGAUAAAUCACUUACUUCCUAUGCCAACUAGGUACUGUAAUGAAUUUCUACCUUUGCUUCUGAAAUCAAGCAAUGACGAAAACCCAGCAGUUAGACAGGUUUGGAUCAUCGUGAUUGCUUACAUUCCUGUUACUCAAGUUGGUUGCUCACAGUAUGGUUUAACCAAAACACCAAUGACUUCAUGUUCAGAAUGCUCUACAUGGACUUGGGUUUUAUGCAGAAUAUCAUGGUUCUGUUUUCAAACCUUUUGUUAGAGGUAUUAAUAUUGUUGAAUGUGAUACUUCUAAUCAAGCAAGUGUUUUUGUUAACUUACGCGUUUAUGUUCAGAGGCUAUGUCACGGAUCAAUGUAGUGAUAAUGCAUUUACGUGCUCGUGAACCUGAGAAUGAACUUGCAUAUGAUAGUGCUGUUUUUACCCUUGGUAAAAUAUUUCAGUUUCAUCGAGAACUUAUCGACUCAGCCCAGGUUUGUCCUUCUCAGAAUCCCUAAUGUUAAGUCUUGUUAUAAUUUCUGAUUCUGAAUCCUUGUGUAGGUCAUUCCCAUUUGGUUGAAUUGCCUGCCUGUAAAAGGUGACUAUGUUCAUGGUCAACUAUGUUCCAUGGUUGAAAGGUAUUGGAUUUGUUUGCAAACUCUAAUAUGUCAUAUCUUCAUAAAAUGCAGGAUUUUAUCCCACGUUUAGUUGAAAGUAUUAUGUAAUCAUAAGACUAUUUAUCCCACCAUUUAUACCUUAGUGAUGUGAUAAGUUAUUUCAUUCCGAAAUAGUUGAUGUCAGGAUAACUUAUUCCAAACCAAAUGACCCAUUAAUGAUUUAUCAAAUUUUCUCAAUUUCAGGUCAGAUAGAGAACUUUUGGGUACCAAUUAUGAACACUUCCCAAAAAUUAUGUCAAUUUUUGCAGAGGUUAGUUCCAUAUCAGAAUCUAUAGAUGCCAGUUUGAGUUGUUUAUUUGCUCCUGAUAAAUAUUAAAUGAGAUAAGUAUUGAAAACAUUCUUAGAUUAGGUGUAAAUUAUUAAUUUCAUAAUCGAACUAUUGACAAUCUUAAAAACACUCAAUUCUUUGACUAACUAAACUUACACUUCUGAUCUUGCAACAUGACCGAAAUACAUCCCUAAUUUAGGGGUGCUUUCAACACUCCUCUAUGAAAUAUGGCAGAUCAGAGAUGUAUCUAAGUUUAAUCUGGUCAAAUAGAGGUGUAUUUUUAAGACUAUCAAUAAUUCAAGAACGAAACGAACAAUUUGUGUCAAGUUUAAGAGUGUUUUUGAAUCAAACUAAAGACUUUUUUUAUUCAAUUUCGUAUAGUUAAUUUAGUUUCACUUUUUAAGGUUAUAUGUGGUGGAAAACAUCUUGCUACAGAAGAAACAACAAAGUGUAUGAUUAAUCUGUUGAGGAAUCUUCUUAAAGAACUACCACCAGACACUUUGACAUCAGCAUGGUCAUUGAUAUUGCCUCAGCAAGAAAUGGAACUAAAAGCCAUUUUAUUUCCUGGAAUACUUCAUGUGGUACGUUUUCACAACAAAACAUUUUGUAUGCUUGACACUGAUACCAAUGAAAGCUCUCCCCCUUACUCUUUACCAUCCAAAAUUGUCAAACUUCUCGAGGAAGAACAUCAGAAAAAUAGUAUUAUUGUUCCACAAAUGUAACUUAUAAACCAUAAAUUGUUUCUUUAAAGUUUUGUAUCAUUUAAGUAUACAAGAUGAUACUAUAGUUGAUUUGUGGGGAAUUGAAUAUGUAAUUAUCAUUAGACUAUCUAUGUUAUAUCUUUUUACGAUUUAUCUAUCCAUUUGGAAUUUCUUUAUUUUAGUUUUUCAUAAGUUGAAAUUCAUAUUGUGGCAUAUAAUUUAAAUAAUUGUUUAUUAAAAUUAAACAAGUCAAACCUUAAGGACCUAAAAUCUAAACCUGACGGCAUAAACCCUGAGAGGUCGUUUGGUGUGAAAGAUAACUUUAAAUAGUCCUACGAUUAAAUUAUAAUGUCACUAAAUUUGUUGUUUGAUUGGCAAUUUCGUGAUAACUUAUCUCAUGAUUAAUAAUUAAUACAAGGAUAAAUUAUCCCUUCCCUUGGAUGGUACAAUAAUCCCGAGACAAUUUAUCACAAGAUAAAAUGACUAAAUGACAAAAAUAUCUUUUUAAACACUUUUUAUACAUUAUUUUUCAUAUUCAUGAACGGUAUUUUUGUAAGCAUAUAUGUUGUUCUUAAGAUUUAUUAUUUUGAAUACAACAAACCAAAAAUUCAAUAAAAAAUAAUAUCAAUAUAACUUAUUCCAUCAUAACUUGAAUUCAAACCAAACGACUGCAUCUUAGAGCCCAAAAAAUAAACUCAAAACUCAAAAUCAUAAACCCUAAACCUUAAACCUUAAACCUUAAACCUCAACCUUAAAGUCUAAACCAUAAACCCAAAACUCAAAAGCUUGGGGCCUAAAACCUAAGAUUUACGAUUUAUGGUUUAGGAUUUAGACCAGGGCUGUCUUAACCCCUAGGCCACUAAAGCCAUCGCUUGGGGCCCCAUAUAUUUUGGGGCCCCCAUUUAAAAAAACAAUUACUUAUAUAUGUUAUUUAAAAAAUAAUAAUUAUAUGUAUUAUGAGUGUUAUGAUUUCUACUAAGGAAAUUGCAUAUGAGAUGAAAAUAAACUGAAUUUCGUAAGAAACAAUUUGAUGAAAAUGUGGAUAGCGAAAUCACAAAGUCCUUUGAAGAACCUUUUAGAAUUGGUUGUUUUAUAUAUGUAGAGUAGAUCAAACUAUUUUUUCACUUCAAAAUAGAUUUAAAUCAAUUGAAACAUAUGGAAAUAUUUUUGAUUUCUUAUUUAGUGGUAAAAUAUUGAGAUCACUAGAUGAACAUAUGGAAAUAUUUUUGAUUUCUUAUUUAGUGGUAAAAUAUUGAGAUCACUAGAUGAACAUAUGGAAAUAUUUUUGAUUUCUUAUUUAGUGGUAAAAUAUUGAGAUCACUAGAUGAUGAGAAUUUUUUUUUUUGUCUUAACUUUGAACUUUCUUUAUCAUGUGAUAGUUAUUAUGAUAUUGAUGGUUUAGAUUCAUUUUUUGAAUUAAAAGUGUUAAGGGAAAUAAUACAAGUAGAAGAUAAUGAUCUAAUGAAAAUNNNNNNNNNNNNNNNNNNNNNNNNNNNNNNNNNNNNNNNNNNNNNNNNNNNNNNNNNNNNNNCUCAAUCAAAUAAAAAGACUUGAUUCUUUUCCAAAUACUCAUAUUGCUUAUAGAAUAAUGUUAACAGUUCCUGUAACUAUUGUCUCAGCCGAAAGAAGUUUUUUGCGAAAUUAAAAUUGAUUAAAUCUUCUUUAAGAUCAACAAUGUCUAAAGAGAGAUUGAAUGAAUUAGCUAUAUCAUCAUUUGAAAAGAAAUUAUUAAAACAAAUUGAUUAUAAUAUAGUACCUAAUGACUUCACAUCUAAAAUAGCUAGAAAAGUAGAUAUUAAAUAAAAGUAUUUAUGAUGAAAAAAAAUUAGGGCCUCUCUCUUAAGUUUCGCUUUAGGCCCCCAAUGUUGUUGAGUCGGUCCUGAUUUAGACUCUAAGAUUUAUAUUUUAGGGGUUAUAGUUUAUAGUUUUGACUAUAAGAUUUAGGAUUUAAGAUUUAUAAUUUUAGAGUUUAGGCCUUAUGGUUAAGUGUUUAGAGAUUAAGAUUUAUAAUUCAUGUAUAAAUUAAAAUAUAGGGUUUAGGUCCAAGGUUCAUAUGGUUAUUUGAGGUCAAUCUUUAAGAAUAAUUGAACCAAACCCAUUUGAACCCAAAAUAAAUUUGAACGCAUUGAUCAACUUCGUGAUUUUUUUCUACACUUUUGACUCUUCAUCACCUUUCUACAAUUACAAUUGUUUCACAAAUCCUUUUUUAAAAUCUUUCAAAACAUAAUUAUAAAAAAUAUCUUUGUAAAUCCAUUCUAUUUCCUAAUCCCUUUCAUAAAACAAAUAAUCAAAAUAGCCUCAGAAGGAAGGCAGUAGUAUAGUCAUAAUCAUUAUUUUGAUCAUUAACGCAAAUCUACUCAUCAUCGGCAAAAAAAUAAUAAUUAAAAGAAACAAAAAAACAAUUAUUAUUGUAAUGCUUGAAAGUUUUGCAAUUUUCCUAAUUCAAAAUUAUUGACUAUCGAUUUUGAUAAUGUAUUUCUCAAAAUUGUUGUGUGAAAUACAUGAGUAAAAUUUUGACUAUCAAUAAUUUUGACAUGAGUAAAAUACAUCUGAACUCAAAAUUCAAAAUACAUUUCAAAACUCAAAAUUAAGAGUCAAAUUUGAGCAUAAAAUUUAGGACUUGGAAUCUAAACUCAAAAUUUGAAAGCAUAUACCUUAGGGCAUAGACCCUAAACCUUAAGAGCCUAAACUCUAAACAUUAUGUCCAAUUUUAUGAACCCUAAAUCUUGAACCUUAAAUCCCAAGUCAUAAACCCUAAAAUCUUAGAACUUAACCCAAAACUCUAAACCUUAAAGCCUAAACCUUAAACCUUAAACCUUUAAAUCCUAAAUCUUAAUGUUUAGGAUUUAUGAUUUAUGGUUUUAGAUUUUAAAAUUUAAGAUUUAGAGUUCAGACAAUAUGGUCAAGAGUUUUAAGUUUUAUGAUAUAAGAUUUAGGCCUUAAAAUUUGAAGUUUAGAUUUUAACAAUUAGCCUCUAAACUUUAAGAUUAAAAAUACAGCAUUUGAACAUUAUUAUAAUAAAUAAUUAUGUAGUACCCCAACGUCCAAAUACACCACAAAAAUUAGAUGCAGAGGAUAGCGAGGGGAACAUUAUUAUAGCUUCACUUGCUAAAGUACCACACCAUAAAAGUGUAAUCCACAAAAUAUAAUUAGCAAAGCAUAGAACAAUUAACAACAACAUACCCAAUAAAAUCCCCACAAAUCCACGCAAACCUUAUCAUUAUCUCGUAAAAAAAAAUAAAAAAAUAUGAAAUUAAUUCAGUCCCUUAGAUGUUCAAUUAAUUGCGAUCAUCUUCGCAAAUCAUUACAGGUCUGUAACUGUAAAAAAUUAAUCAUCAUUGUUGUUUCAGAAAAGGGUCAAAAUUGUCCCCGAACUAUAUGAAAUAGACCAUUUAUACCCUUCGUUACAUUUUGGGAUCAAAAAUGCCCCUGCUGUUAUCCUAAGAGACCACAAAUACCCUCAAGAGUUAACACCCCAAAUUUUUGUUGAUGUGGCAAGCCACAUGGGACUAAUCCUUCCACCUAAGAGUUGCCAACUAGGAUUCACUACAAAAGAACUAGACUUUUAGCGGCAAUAACAGUCGCCACAAAAGCCCAGAAAAUCGUCACUAAAAGUUUUUAACAUUAAAUUCUAAUUUUGUGUUUUUUUCUUCAUUGUUUUUAAAAAACCAAAUAUGAUAUCGAUUAAGUAGGAGUUUGAAGACACUAUAUGUUUUAUUUUUAUGUCAUAUGUAAAUGUAUAAAAUGUACAAUGAUGCAUUAUAUAUAUAUAGUAGGAGAUUUGAAUCGAGAAGUAAUUUUGAUGAUUUUUCGUAAUAAUAUUGGAUAUUUUUAAUAUUGAUAUUGCAAAGUUAUUUAUUUUAGAAAAUUAGGUUGCAAUCGAAAAUUAAUUAUCAUAUUAUUUUGUUGAAAAAAUAGGUUUUACUAGCGAAUGGUUGUUGGAGCGUUAGUCGCCACUAAAAAUCACUCAUAACCUUUAGUGGCAAUAUUUUGAGGUUUUGUGGCGACUUUGUCGCCACUAAAAGUCAAGUUCUUUUGUAGUGAAUCUUAGUUGGCAAUGCUUAGGUGGAGGGAUUAGUCCCAUGUGACUUGCCACGUCACUAAAAAAUUGGGGUGUUUAACUCUUGAGGGUAUUUGUGGUCUCCUGGGAUAACUGCGGGGGUAUUUUUGAUUCCAAAAUGUAAUUGAGAGUAUAAGUGGUCUAUUUCGCAUAGUUCAGGGUCAAUUUUGACCCUUUUCCGUUGUUGUUUUCAUAUACAAUGAUUAGAAUAAAAUAUAUAUAAAAAUUUUUGAUGAACAAACUCAGUCCCUUAGAUGUUCAAUUUUUUGCGAUCAUUUUCGGCAAAUCAUUACAGGUCUGUAACUGUAAAAAAUUACUCAUCAUCGUUGUUCAUCAUCAAAAAACUAUUAUGAAAAAAAUUAAAAAAAAAGUUGUGGCUGCACCAAUUGUUCUCCACAGAUUAAAUUAAAUGAAGAGAAAGAUGAAAAAGGAACAACACACUUAUUAAUGCUUCAAGGGAACGAGUUGGUCAAAAAUAAAUUAUUUCUUGCCAACCAGAUUAAAGAAGCAUAUAACUCAAAAUAUAUACACAAAAAUAAUAAAUUUAUUUAGAGUUUAGAAGAUAUAUCACCAUCUAGCUGGAUAUGAUUAUUAUGCAUAAUGAAUAAAGGAAACAGCUUAAGAGAAAAACUGGUCCGUUAGAUCUCCUCUUUCAAUCGCAAUCUUCUAUUUCUGCACAGCAAAGAAACACUUCUCAAAUAUAUUUUACGAAAGAUUUAACAGGUAAAAGUGUACAAGCUCAAAAUAUGAUGCAAUUAAUCUUGAGUCAGUUACCUGUUAAACCAGUGUUGCCGCUUUUUAUAUGCAAGGGGUAAAUAAGGACCUUGAGCUCUGCAUUUGCAUAUCCUUCUUGCACUUCUUGAAUGUCCUUGACUGAUUUUUCAAGAGACUCACCACAUCGUUUCACUUCAACGUAUCAGAGCCUAAGGGCUCAAAUCUUUAGAUUCUCUAAAACAAAAUUUCAAUAAGGGGUCUACAGUAUAAAUAAAAUUUUAAUAUUCAAACAUUUCAAUAUUAUUUAAAUUAAUUUACCUUAGAGAUUGACAUAAUUCGAAAACCAAAUACCGAAUAAAUAAUUCAUAAAACUGAAAUUAUCAUCGCCGGACCAGUGACCACUAGUACCUCCAAACAACUCAAAAACAAACUACCACCCGAUCACACCAAAUCGGUCGUUACAUGAAAUGAGACAUUUCAUGGUAACGAUGGAUCUAAAUGAUACAAUACAAUAAAAUUUAAGUAACAAUCAACAUAAGUAUUGUAUUUAAACUAACUAUACAAUAUAAUGGGUAACAACCAUCCAAACAAGGUGUUAAUGUAAAAGCAUACAGAAUAUCAUAUAAUAAAGUUCAUAUAUCAAUGCAAUGGAUCCAUUGAAAGAAAGUAUUUUGAAGUACACACAAAACUCAAAAACAAGAAAAUUAUCCAUCUAGCUGGAUAUGAUUAUGCAUAAUGAACAGAGGAAACAGCUUAAGAGAAAAACUGGUCCGUUAGAUCUCCUCUUUCAAUCGCAAUCUUCUAUUUCUGCACAGCAAAGAAACACUUCUCAAAUAUAUUUUACGAAAGAUUUAACAGGUAAAAGUGUACAAGCUCAAAAUAUGAUGCAAUUAAUCUUGAGUCAGUUACCUGUUAAACCAGUGUUGCCGCUUUUUAUAUGCAAGGGGUAAAUAAGGACCUUGAGCUCUGCAUUUGCAUAUCCUUCUUGCACUUCUUGAAUGUCCUUGACUGAUUUUUCAAGAGACUCACCACAUCGUUUCACUUCAACCAUCUUUAGAGUAGCAAUAUGUCCAACCAUGGAAGGAAUUUCUCGAAGAUUAAAGCAGUUUUCUAUAAGAAUGUGUUCGAGGUUGGGAAAGGACUCAUCUGAUGCAUUCCAUGUUGUUAUUGUAAGGGAUCUUAAUUUAAGAACCUUGAGGUUCAGAAACUCUUCAUCUUCGAUCUCCCAUUUGUCCUGCUGAAAUGCUCUAUGUUCCAACUUGAGAACCACUAAAUUUGGUAAUCUUCCGAUAUUAGACAGUUCACUUUGUGGCAACAAAACAUCUGAUAGAGUUAGCUUUGUUAGUGUCGCGGGCAAGGUGAAAUUCAAAAUCUUACCGUUUACACUGAGUGUUUCAAGUUGAAGAGCAUGUAAUUUGAGUUUGAGAGGCUCUUUACAGUGGCAUUUGAGCUUUCGCAGUCUGCUUGCCUUCUUGACCAUGUAGUCUACUAGCUCAUUAGUGAGAGACACUGUGGCCAAGGUCUCUAUGUUUGUCGAUGUCUGAGGAAUGCGUCCAUCAAAAGAUGCAACAGGUUCAACAUGUACAUGCUUUAGCCUUGGCAUAUUCCAGAUGGUCAUCGGUAAAAUUGUGCCACUGCCUACUGUUAUUACAAGCAAUACCUCUAGGUUUGAAAGGUUCGAUAUCCAUAAUGGCAUAGAUACCAUAUAGCCUUUGAUUCCUAAGUACUUCAAAUGGAUCAGCUCUUUUGAUCUCUGGAAUGAACUCUCCGACAUAGUACAUUCCAUUUGUAGUACUCUUAAUAGUUUAAAGUUCUCAAGAUCAAGAAAUUCCUGGCAGCCAGAUUUCGGGGGUCUGAAGAAUGCAGAUCGAACUUGCAUGUUUCCAAUCUUCCCUGCCCAAUAAAGGCUAUGAUGAAUGCAAAGCCUCCGGUGCUCAUAAAAGGAACUAGACAAAUCAGUCUUCCCGGUGCUUGUUAGUUGCAUAAACUUCUCUUCCUUAGACUUUGUCAUGCAAAAAUCAUGUAACAUAUCAUGAAUGCGGCAUGUUCUGACUCCUCCAGUGGACUUUCUCUUGCUCACCAUUAUCAAGCUUCUACCAAUGAGAUCAUUCAGUAAACUUUCUACAGCAAGGUGUAUACUUUCUACCUCUAUGUUUGGCACCAAUCCCUCAAUAGUCCAUAACCACUCCAAGUUCGAGAGUGGAAUUUCUUCAUCCUUUUGAAAUGAUGCAAAAUAUAGAAGGCAGGGUUUGAGAUGAUCAGGCAAGUGCUUGUAGCUCAGUUCUAUAACCUCCAUGCACUCUUUUGCACUAGUAACAGUAUCUAACUUUAUACUCUCUGCGACUCUUCUCCAACUUUCCUCAUUUUCGCUUAUCCCAGACAAAACUCCAGCAACCAAAAUCACAAGGAGAGGUAGUCCUUUACACUUACUCGCGAUGUUUGCUCCUACUUUUGAUAGGUCUGGUGGGCAAGUUUGUUCCUUGAACAGCUUGAUUUUCAUUAGUUCCCAACUUUCAUUUUCGUCAAGAAAACGAAGUUCAAGAGGUUCUCUUCCACGUGUAAUGUUGGAAGCCACAUCAAUGUUUCGGCUGGUUAAUAAAAUCCUGCUUCCGUUUCCAUUAUCCGGUAAGCAUCUGUGCAAGUAUUUCCAUGUGUCAACACUCCAUAUGUCAUCAAUGUAGAGAAGGUACUUCUUUCUUAACAGAAAUUUCCGCAAAGCAUCUGCUGGAUCUUUCUCAUUCUGUUUGUUAGAACAUUUGACUUGAUUCAAAAUUCCGAGCAGCAACUUUCUUCUGUCAUAAGUUUGGGAAACACAACACAUAGCUUGGACGUCAAAAUGACGCCGCAUUUUCUUAUCAUGAAAAACUUUCUUUGCUAGUGUAGUUUUUCCAAGACCAGGCAUCCCUACGAUAGAAACAACAUCCAAGUACUUUGGUCCUAUAGUGAGCUGUUCGAUUAGCAAGUCAGUCUCAUCCUUAAAACCCACCAUUACCUCAUCAUGUUGUGUAGUCUCAACUACUGGUCUGACAGGAUUUGGUCCUUGUUCUUCAAUAGGGACUUCAACUUCUCGCGUAAUCGUAGCAUGGAACUCUUUCAAAUGAUCCCUUACAACCUUAGUUUCUGUUGUGAUCUUACAUAACAAAUGUAGAUACCAAACAGGAUAAUCUCCGGUAACCAGGCAAUCAAUUAUGCAUUCUGCCUGAUAUGCUAGAGAUAUGACUUCUGUCCAUAGAUCAUGUUUCUUCACCUCCUCAAACUCAUGGUUUUUCUUCUCAACUUCCUUCAAGAAGAAUCUUAAGAGAUAUAACUCUUCCCGAGCUUCUUCAAUAAGAUGCUUGACAACAGAAUCACACUUUCCGUCUUGCAGCAGCUCUUUCAGAUAGCAUAAGAGAUAAUCGAUAAACCCCAAUCCAUUUGUCCUAGGAAAAUUACAUUUUGAUGACACUACAUCUUUCAGAAUCACAUCUUUUAGAUCUUCCAUGACAUGUUCAAUCUUUUUUAACAAGUCACUGAAUACCGAGUUAACUUCUGCUGCUUUGUCAACGGAGAAAGAGAAAGCAGCAGAUACUACCUCAGCAAUCAGACCUUCAAUGCAAGUAAGUUUGUCACUCAUUUUUUCCUGGAUAACAUAUAAAUCUUCUGGUGGACAAAUGAGCAAAGUUACCAAUUGCUUUGAUGCUUCGGCAAGGCUUUUGAUUUGAUCCUUUUUAAGAGGAAGCAUCAAAGAACAUGCCUCACCGUCUGAUAACUCCAACAAAUCCUUGAAGAUGAAAUGAACAAAACCUUCAACAAAUUCUAUCACAUCCCGGCUGUAUUGGAUUUGCAAUUUAACUGAACCUCUUAGAGCUCCAGUAUAGAUUUCUGCAACGUCCGGAUCAAUGGGCUUGAUAUAUUUCAAAACAUGAGAGAUUUGAAGUGUCAACACAGAUGCUGAAUCUCCAUCCAUUUCUUCCACAUAACAAAGGUAACAUAUGUAUGCAGCAUUCACUGUGAUGCCCUCUAUAUGAUUAAAAAGAAUCUUGGAUUUCUCUAGCUCCAUGCUUGCAUCUUUUAUGAAAUUGAGGAAGGUUUUUAGAUAUUUUAGACUUUCUUCAAGGACUUGAAACUCUUUCUUCAGAAGAACAAACUUGUCGAAAUCUUUCUUGUUGAUGAGAAGAUCCUUCACAUUCUGAAGGAUACACUCAAUGAAUUUCUGAAACAAUGGGCUGCAUAAAUUUGGUAAAGGCCACCUCCCUGGAACCAAUGAAAGGAGAAACUCAUAACCUUCUUUGACUUCGGCAGAAGCUAAGUCUGCCCUUGGUCCCGAGACAGUGUCACCGACUUGCAUUCCAUGUCUGCACAAUCUCCCCUCCUUAAUCCUUCCUUUUUCAUUUGCCCAAUACAAGAAAGUACCAAAAAAUCUCCUCUCUAUUUCAGACAUUUGUUUUCUAGCAGAAUUUCCUCAGAGUGGAUAUAUGUCGACAGCUCUGCAAAGAGAUUAUAAACAAAUCACAUUCUAGGACAAACAAUGCAUACUCCAUAAUCUAGUUGCUCUUCAUAUUGCGUCAAAUCCGGUGUAUCAUGAAAAAACUAAACAUAUUGAGGUUGAUUGUCAUUUUAUUCGUGAGAAGAUUCAGGAAAACAUGAUUUCCAUUGGCUACGUGAAGACAUGAGAGCAACUAGCUGAUCUAAUUUUAUUGAAUUUUGUUCUUUGGUUUUACAUUGGUUUAGACAAUUAAAAUACAUAAUUUAAUUUUAAUUUUCCUUAAAUAUUUAGUAAUGUAACUAAUACUUAUUAAACUUGUAAUUUUAGCAUGAUUUAGUACUUUUAAAUUAUGAUCAUUUUCAUUAUGACUUUGCAAUAUUUAUUUUAUAUAAUGAUUUCAUUAUUAUUUUUUAUUGAAUAUUUUUGUUCAUCAGUACUCAUCUCAUAUUUUGUGUUAUUUUUUUUUAAGAAAUACCUUAGAUAAUUGUAUUUUGGUUGGACUAAAGAAAUAUUUGGAGCACAAGUUAAUUAUAUGUUUGUAUGCAAACUUUACCGAAAAAAUCCAAAAAUCUAAAAAAAUCCGAGGUUUAUUAGUUUGGUUUGAUUUAUAAAUUUAAAAAUUCGACACAAUGGUUUGGUUUGGUAUUUGAAAAACCUGAAAAAAUCCGAAUUUUAUUAGUUUGGUUUGGUUUAUAAAUUUAAAUUUUUUACACAAAUGGUUUGAUUUGAUAUUUGAAAAACCCAAACCAAUCCGGUCAUGUACACCCCUAAUUGCAAUUAUAACUUGAUUAUGUGGAGUAUAGAUUUCAUAAGAAUAAUACUACUUGUUUAAUGUAGAAAAAAAAUAUAUGUUACUUAAUUCUAUGCAAAGCAUGUUAGCCCCAUAGAAUCGGGUAAUUUUGAUAAUGAAACACUUAAUCGACUUGUGACUUAUUGCAGGCAAAUAAGGAAAGAAAUGAGCCAAGCAUACAACACCUAAAUUAUGAACUAUGUCUAUUUGUAUAACAGAUGAAUGAAGAAUAUAAAAUGAUGCAACUUCAUUGUUUCAUUAUGGCCACUGGUAAUGGCUAAGAAAUGAUUUUUUCCCCUCUGUUUCAAUUUGUUUGACCUAUUUUGACUUGACAUGAAAUUUAAGAAAGUAAAAAAGAUUUUUGAAUCUUGUGGUCUUAAAUAUGUCGUGUAGAAAAUUGAAGUUAAAGAGUUGCUAAAAAAAGAAAAGGUCAUUCUUUUUUAAACAGACUAAAAAGAAAAGUAAAUCAAACAAAUUAAAAAGGAGGAAAUAAUUGAAAGUUUAAACCUACUAAAAAGAAAAUUAGGUGAAGAGUCAGUGUCAUACUAAUUAGAUCAUUGAAAUAUCUCAUGAUUUACGGAAGAAAGUCCUCAUUUGCUGCUACCAAUUUCACCACUUUGUCAAACAUCAUUUAAUUGGCAAAGAAAGUCAAAUAAGACAUUUGCAAGUUAGAUAUUAUUCUUGUCAUUGAUUUCACUCAUGAUAUUAUUCGUAUUAGAAAGCAGAAUGAGGUAUACCAUAGACUGUAUAAAAAAAUAGUCUGCUAAGAAAAAUUGAGUGUUAGCGAUCAUCUCUUAUCGGAAAAGGUCGGAAUCUAAGUCAAUGAUGAAGCAGAAGGAUCCCUAACUCAUUAGCUCUUAAGCUAGCCAAGUCUCUUGGCUCUGAUCAGCUAGCUGCUGCACUUCAUCCUGACAACAACUGGCCUAAAUUAUUACCAAUCUUUUAUAGAUGUUUCAGUACUCACUACAAGAAAAUGUACAUACGGCGACAUUAAUUUGGUGACAUUUGAAAUAAAUGUCGGAAAAUAAAGAAUUUUACGAUAUUUAGGAACAAAAUGUCAUAAAACAAUGACAUUUGAUGUCAAAUGUCGUAAAAAUAAUGACAUUUGGUAUCAAAUAUCAUAAAAAUAAUGACAUUUGGUCCAAAAUGUCACUAUGAUAAUGACAUUUAUUGCAAAAUAUCGUUGUUUUUAGCGACAUUUAGCAAAAAUGUCAUUUAAAUGAUGACAUUUGCUACAAAUGUCGAAUAUAAUAUGACAUUUACUACAAAAUGUCAUUGGUUUUAGUGACAUUUAGAAAAAAUAUCGCUUAAAUAGUGACAUUUAAUAUAAAUGUCGAAUAUAUUAUGACAUUUACUGACAAAUGUCAUUGAUUUUAGUGACAUUUAGAAAAAAUGUUACUAAAAUAGUGACAUUUGUAGUAAAAUGUCAUUGAUUUUAGCGAUUUUUAGCAAAAUUGUUGCUAAAAUAGCGACAUUUCAUACAAUUGUCGAAUAUAUUACGACAUUUAUUGCAAAAUGUCAUUGAUUCGAUCGACAUAUAUAGUGAAAAUUUCCCUAAAACAGUGACAUUUUUAUACAAAUAUCAAAUAUAUUAUGUCAUUUGUUGAAAAAUGUCAUUGAUUUUUAUGACAUAUGAUGAAAAGUACUGUUAAACNNNNNNNNNNNNNNNNNNNNNNNNNNNNNNNNNNNNNNNNNNNNNNNNNNNNNNNNNNNNNNNNNNNNNNNNNNNNNNNNNNNNNNNNNNNNNNNNNNNNNNNNNNNNNNNNNNNNNNNNNNNNNNNNNNNNNNNNNNNNNNNNNNNNNNNNNNNNNNNNNNNNNNNNNNNNNNNNNNNNNNNNNNNNNNNNNNNNNNNNNNNNNNNNNNNNNNNNNNNNNNNNNNNNNNNNNNNNNNNNNNNNNNNNNNNNNNNNNNNNNNNNNNNNNNNNNNNNNNNNNNNNNNNNNNNNNNNNNNNNNNNNNNNNNNNNNNNNNNNNNNNNNNNNNNNNNNNNNNNNNNNNNNNNNNNNNNNNNNNNNNNNNNNNNNNNNNNNNNNNNNNNNNNNNNNNNNNNNNNNNNNNNNNNNNNNNNNNNNNNNNNNNNNNNNNNNNNNNNNNNNNNNNNNNNNNNNNNNNNNNNNNNNNNNNNNNNNNNNNNNNNNNNNNNNNNNNNNNNNNNNNNNNNNNNNNNNNNNNNNNNNNNNNNNNNNNNNNNNNNNNNNNNNNNNNNNNNNNNNNNNNNNNNNNNNNNNNNNNNNNNNNNNNNNNNNNNNNNNNNNNNNNNNNNNNNNNNNNNNNNNNNNNNNNNNNNNNNNNNNNNNNNNNNNNNNNNNNNNNNNNNNNNNNNNNNNNNNNNNNNNNNNNNNNNNNNNNNNNNNNNNNNNNNNNNNNNNNNNNNNNNNNNNNNNNNNNNNNNNNNNNNNNNNNNNNNNNNNNNNNNNNNNNNNNNNNNNNNNNNNNNNNNNNNNNNNNNNNNNNNNNNNNNNNNNNNNNNNNNNNNNNNNNNNNNNNNNNNNNNNNNNNNNNNNNNNNNNNNNNNNNNNNNNNNNNNNNNNNNNNNNNNNNNNNNNNNNNNNNNNNNNNNNNNNNNNNNNNNNNNNNNNNNNNNNNNNNNNNNNNNNNNNNNNNNNNNNNNNNNNNNNNNNNNNNNNNNNNNNNNNNNNNNNNNNNNNNNNNNNNNNNNNNNNNNNNNNNNNNNNNNNNNNNNNNNNNNNNNNNNNNNNNNNNNNNNNNNNNNNNNNNNNNNNNNNNNNNNNNNNNNNNNNNNNNNNNNNNNNNNNNNNNNNNNNNNNNNNNNNNNNNNNNNNNNNNNNNNNNNNNNNNNNNNNNNNNNNNNNNNNNNNNNNNNNNNNNNNNNNNNNNNNNNNNNNNNNNNNNNNNNNNNNNNNNNNNNNNNNNNNNNNNNNNNNNNNNNNNNNNNNNNNNNNNNNNNNNNNNNNNNNNNNNNNNNNNNNNNNNNNNNNNNNNNNNNNNNNNNNNNNNNNNNNNNNNNNNNNNNNNNNNNNNNNNNNNNNNNNNNNNNNNNNNNNNNNNNNNNNNNNNNNNNNNNNNNNNNNNNNNNNNNNNNNNNNNNNNNNNNNNNNNNNNNNNNNNNNNNNNNNNNNNNNNNNNNNNNNNNNNNNNNNNNNNNNNNNNNNNNNNNNNNNNNNNNNNNNNNNNNNNNNNNNNNNNNNNNNNNNNNNNNNNNNNNNNNNNNNNNNNNNNNNNNNNNNNNNNNNNNNNNNNNNNNNNNNNNNNNNNNNNNNNNNNNNNNNNNNNNNNNNNNNNNNNNNNNNNNNNNNNNNNNNNNNNNNNNNNNNNNNNNNNNNNNNNNNNNNNNNNNNNNNNNNNNNNNNNNNNNNNNNNNNNNNNNNNNNNNNNNNNNNNNNNNNNNNNNNNNNNNNNNNNNNNNNNNNNNNNNNNNNNNNNNNNNNNNNNNNNNNNNNNNNNNNNNNNNNNNNNNNNNNNNNNNNNNNNNNNNNNNNNNNNNNNNNNNNNNNNNNNNNNNNNNNNNNNNNNNNNNNNNNNNNNNNNNNNNNNNNNNNNNNNNNNNNNNNNNNNNNNNNNNNNNNNNNNNNNNNNNNNNNNNNNNNNNNNNNNNNNNNNNNNNNNNNNNNNNNNNNNNNNNNNNNNNNNNNNNNNNNNNNNNNNNNNNNNNNNNNNNNNNNNNNNNNNNNNNNNNNNNNNNNNNNNNNNNNNNNNNNNNNNNNNNNNNNNNNNNNNNNNNNNNNNNNNNNNNNNNNNNNNNNNNNNNNNNNNNNNNNNNNNNNNNNNNNNNNNNNNNNNNNNNNNNNNNNNNNNNNNNNNNNNNNNNNNNNNNNNNNNNNNNNNNNNNNNNNNNNNNNNNNNNNNNNNNNNNNNNNNNNNNNNNNNNNNNNNNNNNNNNNNNNNNNNNNNNNNNNNNNNNNNNNNNNNNNNNNNNNNNNNNNNNNNUAUGACAUUUACUACAAAAUGUCAUUGGUUUUAGUGACAUUUAGAAAAAAUAUCGCUUAAAUAGUGACAUUUAAUAUAAAUGUCGAAUAUAUUAUGACAUUUACUGACAAAUGUCAUUGAUUUUAGUGACAUUUAGAAAAAAUGUUACUAAAAUAGUGACAUUUGUAGUAAAAUGUCAUUGAUUUUAGCGAUUUUUAGCAAAAUUGUUGCUAAAAUAGCGACAUUUCAUACAAUUGUCGAAUAUAUUACGACAUUUAUUGCAAAAUGUCAUUGAUUCGAUCGACAUAUAUAGUGAAAAUUUCCCUAAAACAGUGACAUUUUUAUACAAAUAUCAAAUAUAUUAUGUCAUUUGUUGAAAAAUGUCAUUGAUUUUUAUGACAUAUGAUGAAAAGUACUGUUAAACGACUACAACAUUUUAUGUCUACAACCACCCUAGAAAAGUGUGGCCUUUGAUAAAAGGCCACACUUUUUGACUUUAAGCCACGCUUUUCCAGGGGUGACCGAAAGAAGCAUAACCUUAGAGUUUAGGCGACACUUUUCAAGUGUUGCCUUAUCAGCUACGCUUAAAAGCGUAACCUAAAAGGCAAAAAGGCCACGCUUUGUAGUACCUCAUAUAGCUUAACAUUUCUAUCUCAUACAGCUACACUUUCAAGGGUGGCCUUUGCUUCCUUAUUGCCCACGAUUUUAAAGUGUUGCCUUUUCUAUCUUAUGUAUGACAACACUUUGAAGUGUAGUCCUUGCUCAUGUGCAUACCACAAUUUAUAGUUAUUUGGCUGCACUUUUAAGUGUGGUAAUAUUAUUUUUACUAUAAAAUAUUUAUAUGCCACAAUUUCUAAUUAAAAACAUCAAUAUUAUUUUGCAAUAAAUAAUCUCAAACACUAAAUUAGCUAAUAAGUAAUUCAAAUAUAUAGAUUUACAAUAAACUUCAAAAGAUAGUAUGCUAAUCAUUGUUGCCUUAAUCUGUGUGUCAUUUUUUAAAGUGGACAACUAAAUAGGGAUGGAAGGAGUAAUAAACAAUGACUAAGAAAGACUAAUUAAUUAUUUUUCUUGUUCUUUCCUCUAAUGGAGGACAGAUGGAAGAUUAAUAAAAUAUUAUUUAUCUUCUUAAAAGUUUUAGAGGCCCACUUAAUAAUUGCUACAAAACAAAGAUGCUAAUCAGCUAAAGGAUAUAUUGUAGAAUAAUAAUUUAUACUCCCUUCCUUCGUUUUUAUUUGUCCUAAUUUUACUUGACACACCCAUUAAGAAAAUAAUUAUUAAUAUAGAUAUUUUAUUAAAUUGUCCCUAUUAAACGAUGUUUAGUAUUAAGUAUUGGAAAGUGACUUGGAAAUAGAGUAUUUAAUAUUGAGGGUAAAAUAUGGAAAAAUAUAAUUGUCUUUUUAUGAUAUGUCAAAAGCAACAAAUAAAAUGAAAAUUUAUUUUAGGAAUAAGUGAAAGUGAACGGGAGAGUAUUAAUUUUAUCUACCCGAGUUAAGAGGUUCGAAUCAAUGAUUUCUUUAUCUUGUCUUUUUAGCAUUGCAAUUAGGGGUGUAUAAAAUCGAACCGAAAAUCGAACCAAGCCGCAAACCGAAAAAAAAACUUGACUAGUGGUUUGGUUUGACUUGAUUUGGUAUUGGAAAAAAAAACCCGACUAUAUUUGGGUUGAGUUGGUUUUAACUAAAAAAAACCAACCCGAGACCAAACCAACCCGACAUUUAUUAGUUUGGUUUGAUUUAUAAAUUUAAAAAUUCGACACAAUGGUUUGGUUUGGUAUUUGAAAAACCUGAAAAAAUCCGAAUUUUAUUAGUUUGGUUUGGUUUAUAAAUUUAAAUUUUUUACACAAAUGGUUUGAUUUGAUAUUUGAAAAACCCAAACCAAUCCGGUCAUGUACACCCCUAAUUGCAAUUAUAACUUGAUUAUGUGGAGUAUAGAUUUCAUAAGAAUAAUACUACUUGUUUAAUGUAGAAAAAAAAUAUAUGUUACUUAAUUCUAUGCAAAGCAUGUUAGCCCCAUAGAAUCGGGUAAUUUUGAUAAUGAAACACUUAAUCGACUUGUGACUUAUUGCAGGCAAAUAAGGAAAGAAAUGAGCCAAGCAUACAACACCUAAAUUAUGAACUAUGUCUAUUUGUAUAACAGAUGAAUGAAGAAUAUAAAAUGAUGCAACUUCAUUGUUUCAUUAUGGCCACUGGUAAUGGCUAAGAAAUGAUUUUUUCCCCCUCUGUUUCAAUUUGUUUGACCUAUUUUGACUUGACAUGAAAUUUAAAAAAGUAAAAAAGACUUUUGAAUCUUGUGGUCUUAAACAUGUCGUGUGGAAAGUUGAAGUUAAAGAGUUGCUAAAAAAAGAAAGGGUCAUUCUUUUUGAAACAGACUAAAAAGAAAAGUAAGUCAAACAAAUUAAACGGAGGAAGUAAUUGAAAGUCUAAACCUACUAAAAAGAAAAUUAGGUGAAGAGUCGGUGUCAUACCAAUUAGAUCAUUGAAAUAUCUCAUGAUUUACGGAAGAAAGUCAAACAAAUUAAACGGAGGAAGUAAUUGAAAGUCUAAACCUACUAAAAAGAAAAUUAGGUGAAGAGUCGGUGUCAUACCAAUUAGAUCAUUGAAAUAUCUCAUGAUUUACGGAAGAAAGUCCUCAUUUGCUGCUACCAAUUUCACCACUUUGUCAAACAUCAGUUAAUUGGCAAAGAAAAGUCAAAUAAGACAAAGUUAGAUAUAUUUUCUGAAAUGGUAAUCACGUAUAGAAAAACUAGUUAAUACAAAUUAAGUUUGUUCAAAAGUCUAUCACGUACCUUUUGUAACAACUUUGACAGAGCAGAAAACAGUGAUCCAGGUUUCACUACUUUGUUCUAUACUUUUUACCAAAAAGAGAUUUUAGGACUCCGGAGAGCAAAGUCCCGUACUUGCUUUCCUGACUAAAUAUUUUCACAUGUGUGUUAAUCAUGGAAGACUUUGAGAUCAGGAGAAGGCCAUUAUUGUCACUUAAUAUAAAGUAUAAUAAUGAAAUUAAAUUACACCUAAUGAAGAAUAAAAAAUGAUUCAACUUGAUUGUUGCAUUAUACCCCAAUACAUUGCAUUUCAUUAUGGCCACUUGUGAUGGUUAAGAAAUGGAAAAAAAAAAGACUUAGCUCUAAGGUCACGACUCGGUAUCAUAGUAGAUCAUUGACAUCCCACAUUACCUUUUCAUUACUACUAAAUACCAACUGCCUAUAUAGAAAAUUAGUUCACAGCCCUGCUUUUCGCCAACUUCAGAAUUUUGGAAAUAGAAAGGAGAGUUGACCUUACCUUAAUCAACGGAGUAUAUAAUAUUGAUCUUGGAGAAGUGUCUACGAAAUUUACCUUUUCGUAUGGUAGGAAAGAUGGUUUUUCUAUAUAUAUGUUCAUUUUUUCUUACACAACUCCAUAGCAGCCGUUUCUCUCUCUAAUUAGAUCAUUGAAAUAUCUCAUGAUUUACGGAAGAAAGUCCUCAUUUGCUGCUACCAAUUUCACCACUUUGUCAAACAUCAGUUAAUUGGCAAAGAAAAGUCAAAUAAGACAAAGUUAGAUAUUUUUUCUCAAACAUCAGUUAAUUGGCAAAGAAAAGUCAAAUAAGACAAAGUUAGAUAUUAUUAUUGUCAUUGAUUUCACUCAUAAUAUUAUUAGUAUAGAAAGCAGAAUGAGGUAUACCAGUCGUAUAAAAAAAUAGUCUGGUAAGAAAAAUAGAGCGUUAGCGAUCAUCUGUUAUCGGAACUAGCAAUAUGGAUCCUAACUCAUUAGCUCUUAAGCUAGCCAACUUGUAUAGGUGUUUCAGUACUAAUUCCCAUUUGAGAGAGAAUUUAAACUUGUUUGUUGAAUUAAUCCAACACAUUGACGCUGAAGCAAUAGUCCAUUGCAUUGAUAUAUUACACCCUAUGUUCCUAAACACGUUGAAUGAUUCCCUGGUUAAUCUAGACGUGAAGAUCACUGCCCUGACGGCGAUGAGUAACUUCAUUCAACAGGUGGGGAGUUCAAAAGAUAGGGAGAGGUUUCAGGAUCUGUUGCCUGCGAUGAUGGACAUGCUGAAUAAGGCAUUGGAAGAAAAUUGGGAGGCAUCAGCUCAGUCUGAGUUGGAGAUUUUGAUUGAGUUGGCCAAGAAUGAGCCUAGUUUCUUCAGGGUGCAGCUUGUGGUUGUGGUGGGUUCCAUGUUUGAUAUAGCUGAAUGUGAGAGUUAUGAAAAGAAAACGAGACAUUUGGCGGUUGAAUUCGUGAUGACAUUGGUUGAGGCCAGGGAGAAGACCCCUGGCAUGAUCAAGAAGUAUCCAUUGUUUACUGAAAAAUAUAUUGCAAUUUUAUUGAAUUUGUUAGAGCAUGAGGUUUAUUACCCUCUCUUGCCUGAUCCUUAUGAUAGAUGGGAUAUAAAUGAUGAUUUGCCUUUUCUUAAGAAGUGUUUAUGGCGGUUGUCCCAUGCGCUGGGUGGUAAGACUGUUGGUCCUGUUGCCUUUGAGCAGGUCCGUGCUUACUUGGCUGACGACUCGUGGCAGAAGCCAUGCGCAGCACUCUAUGCACUUGCUCAGAUUGUUGAAGGCUGCUCAGAGGUGUGUAUUUAUUGAUACACUACUAAGAAUUGCAUUUAAACUGAUUAGUUAACGAUCUUGGGAUAGCAGAAGGUCACCUUGAUUAUACUUUCUUCUGUUAUUCUCUAGACUAAGUACUUUGCUUGCUCUCAUCUCUUCUUCAUUAUAAUAGGUGAUGAUUAAGAAUAUGAAUCUAGUGGUGACAAUGGUUCUGGAUUGUAUGGGACAUCCUCAUCCUGGAGUCAGAUUCACCUCCAUGGAAGCAGUUCGCGAGUUUUUGAGUUUCAUGUGUCCCCAUUUUCAAGAACAAUAUCAUCAGCAAGUAGUGCCGGCAUUAAUUAAAGCUAUGGAUGAUGACAGUGUACAAGUGCAGGUCUGUUUGUCCUACGAUGAUAUGAAUUCCUUUGGAUGCUAGUAUCAUUUGUCCCAAAUUACAGUUGCAAAAUUUUCUUACUGAACCUUCUCAAUGGCCUUAACUUUAACUUUAUUAGAUAUAAUCCCUGCUCUAACUUUACUAUCUUCAUAUUUUCCUAGGUCAGCGUCAUAUGCGCGGUCACGGGCUUCCUUCGCGAUGACACACCUAAAUAUUUGACACUUUACAUCCAUGGAUUACUCGAUAAAUUGUUUCAACUGUCAUUACAUACUGUUGCGCUAGUACGUAUUGUAGACUAAGUGCAAGAGAAAUCAGAUCAUUUUCUUGAACAAUGAACAGACAAUAUUACGAAUACAUCAAGGGAAACAACCAUAAUUUCCAAGUUCCCAAUAUAAUUAUCCCGCCCUCCUUUAUAAAUUCAAAGUUUGUUACUCCCUUGAAUGUCCUUGAGGUCUUUACUUGCCUGAUUUAUUUUUAUUUUUGACAUGAAAGGUCCAAGAAUCAGCGUCAGCUGUACUCCAAUUUUUGGCUGACCAUUUUAAGGUAUUACCUAGUAAUUCUGCUUCAACUUUUAUUAAGAGUAUGUUGUAUUAAGCUGGUUAUAUAUAUAUAUAUAUAUAUAUUAAUAUUAACAUUACUUCAGCAAGAGUGCUAUGGGAACAACUACGAAUCUAUUCUACCACUUUUUAAAGCUAUCCUGGUACAAGCAAAUUUUCCAAGUAAAGAUGUAGAGAUGAUGAUGUCAUUCCUCAAACCUGGCCGUUCGUUACUUCCAAAACAGGUCUUCCACUAGUUAUACCAAAUGGAUUCUAUACAUCUCACUCAACUUAGAGCUUAUUGUUUAUUCGUUUUCUAUUUUUCUGUUGUUGACAUAAUGUCACUAUAAGAUUAUGGAAGCAGUUAUGUCAUUACAAGGAUCACAAGAGUUUGAUGAGGAUACAAAUACCAUCUUCAAGCUAGAGGUAUGUGUUGUUGAGAAUAUCGUUAACUAAUAAAAUGGUGUUCUCUCUAAUAGCUUAAGCUUUUAGAUGAGAUGGUCACACACUUCAACAUGUUAUCAGAACAGGCAGAGGCCCUGGGAUCAAAUCUCUUCGCCACCCAAAUUAAAAAGAAUUUCCACGUGCUAAUCAGUCAGAAAUUCUUUCAAGAUUGGUCUCUCUAUAUUUCUUGAUCUCAUUGCAGGCUAUUGGUGGAUUUUGUAAGGCCAUAGGGAAAGGUUUUCUUCCUUGCACCAGCAUUGUCAUGCCCCUUUUGUUGCAAUGUGCUCAACUCGAACCUGAUAAAAUCAUAUUAUCUCCAGAUUCAGACCAUACUUGUUUAGAUGAUAAUACGUACGCCUUUUUGUCAUGACGUUUCGCCUUUUUGUCAGAUCAUUGCUCUGAGUGAUUGCCUUUUUAUGUACAUUAUAACAUCUUGCAGUAUACACAGAGUCAAGGUUGGCGAUUCAACGAUAUGUAUAAAAAAAAGUUCCCUAAAGAAGAAAGCUAAAGCAUGUGAAGUCCUAGUCAUUGUUGCUAACAAAUUGAACAAAGACUUUUACCCAUGGAUUUUCCAGGUUGUCACACUUGGACUUCUCUCUUUUUCUACCCGUGCUUUUGAUCGCGAACUGAAAAUUUAACAAGUGGUUUCAAUGGCCUAAUGCUUGAUAAAUGAUACAGACUGCUUCAAUUUUAUUUCCACUUUUGAAAUUCCAUUUCAAUGAGGUCAGGUUCCAUACAGUUGAAGGUGAGAUUUCUCAGGAUUUCACAUAGUUAAUUUCUCCGUCUUUUAUAACUAUCUGAUCACCGCCAAGACUUUUUAAUUUGUAAUGUUUAUAGCGAUGAAGCACCUUUUGCAAUCUGCUAAACUGGCUGAUGAGAAAGGGAUUGCUCGAGGUGAAAGCCAUUCGGAUUUCAAGCAGUUUUCGGACAGUAUAAUACUGAAUUUGGUGGAAGCUUUGCAUGAGGUUUACUUUUAACAUUAAGCUUCUUCUAUUUGGAUAAUGAGAAAGUAACACUUUGAUUUCUAUAUAAUGCAGGAGCCUAAAACACUGCUUAUUUGUUUUGAAACAGAGAUAUAUGUAGAAAUGUUGAAUACAUUACAUGUGUGCCUUCAGGUUCGUGAUCUUUAAACACUGCUUAUUUGUUUUGAUCCAAAGUUUUCAGUGUUUCACUAUGAGCUAGGUAUGAAGUUUUUGGAACUGUUGCCUUUAAGUCUAUUGCUUAAAAUGUUCCAUUAGUAUCAUCGAAGUGAGAAACUAGCAAUGGUGACAAAAAUCGAGUUAGAAUGGCAAAAUAGGAAUUUUCAGGUUGUAUAUGGUCCUUGUGUUUCUUCUUUCAGAUAUGUGGACCACUUCUCAAUGAAGAUCAGCUUCGUCCGAUCGUGGAUGAGAUAAAGCAUGUCAUUACAGAGAGUUCAAAUAGCCAAGGAAAACUCACAGAGAGAGAAAAAACAGAAGAUUUUGAUGCUGAGGAAGCUGAAUUGCUGAGAGGGGAAAAACAUCGACAAGAUCAAAUAUUUAAACUUGUAUGUUCUAUAUUAAAACAGUGAUUCACUGUUGUCUUUAUAUAUUCAAGAAUUUUCACUUUGGUUCUGCUGUUAUUCUUGAACACAGGCUGGUCUCAUAUUAUGUAGACUGAUCGAAACAUUCAAGGUUGUUUUCUUGCCUUACUUUGACGAGUUAUCAUUAUAUCUGAUUCCGAUGUGGGUAAGUUCAUUGACACUAUUGUAACAUGAUGUUAGUUUAUCAUUAUUCAUAUCUAGUAUAUCUUAUUGUUUCCGAUUUUUGUUAAGGACAAAGAAAUGACAAUUCAAGAGAGAUGUACAUCACUUUAUAUCUUUGAUGGUCUUGUGAAGCAUUGCUCUGAAGCAGCUCUAAAGUGAGUUUAAUUUAUCUGUAUGAGUUUUCUUAAAUUAUUGGGGUGUCACCAUUUUGAUAAAUCACUUACUUCCUAUGCCAACUAGGUACUGUGAUGUAUUUCUACCUUUGCUUCUGAAAUCAAGCAACGACGAAAACCCAGCAGUUAGACAGGUUUGGAUCAUCGUGAUUGCUUACAUUCCUGUUACUCAAGUUGGUUGCUCACAGUAUGGUUUAACCAAAACACCAAUGACUUCAUGUUCAGAAUGCUCUAUAUGGACUUGGGCUUUAUGCAGAAUAUCAUGGUUCUGUUUUCAAACCUUUUGUUAGAGGUAUUAAUAUUAUUGAAUGUGAUACUUCUAAUCAAGCAAGUGUUUUUGUUAACUUACGCGUUUAUGUUCAGAGGCUAUGUCACGGAUCAAUGUAGUGAUAAUGCAUUUACGUGCUCGUGAACCUGAGAAUGAACUUGCAUAUGAUAAUGCUGUUUCUACCCUUGGUAAAAUAUUUCAGUUUCAUCGAGAACUUAUCGACUCAGCCCAGGUUUGUCCUUCUCAGAAUCCCUAAUGUUAAGUCUUGUUAUAAUUUCUGAUUCUGAAUCCUUGUGUAGGUCAUUCCCAUUUGGUUGAAUUGCCUGCCUAUAAAAGGUGACCUUCCUGAAGCCAAAUAUGUUCAUGGUCAACUAUGUUCCAUGGUUGAAAGGUAUUGGAUUUGUUUGCAAACUCUAAUAUGUCAUAUCUUCAUAGUCUUUAAAAUGUUUUAUAUCAAAUUUUUUCACUUGCAGGUCAGACAGAGAACUUUUAGGUCCCAAAUAUGAACACUUUCCAAAAAUUAUGUCAGUUUUUGCAGAGGUUAGUUCCAUAUCAGACUCUACAGAUGCCAGUUUGAGUUGUUCAUUUGUUCCUGAUAGAUAUUUAAGGAGAGAAGUAUUGGAAAUAUUCCUAAACUAGGUGUGAAUUAUUAGUUUUAUCUUCGAACUAUUGACAACCUUAAAAACACUUAUUUACUUGACUAACACCCAUGAUCUUGCAAUAUGAGUGAAAUACACUCCUAAAUUCUCUCAAGUUUAUGGGUGCUUUGAACACUUCUCUCGACUUUUUAUUAAGAGUUUCAUGUCUUUACAAGAGUGUAUGCAAUGUGGCAGAUCAGAUAUGUAUCUAAGUUUAAGCUAGUCAAGUAGAUGGGUGUUUUUAAAACUGUCACUAAUUUGGAGACGAAACUAAUAAUUUGUGCCAAGUUUAAGGAUGUUUUCAACACUUGUCUCGUAUUUAAUCAAUCAUGAGACAUUUUUGGACCAAACUAUUGACCUAAAGAUAUUUUUAUUCGAUGUUGUAUAGUUAAUUUAGUUUUGCUUUUUAAGGUUUUACGUGGUGGAAAACAUCUUGCUACAGAAGAAACAGCAAAGUGUAUGAUUAAUCUGUUGAGGAAACUUGAGAAAGAAGUAGCACCAGACACCUUGAUAUCUGCAUGGUCAUUACUAUUGCCUAAGCAGGAGAUGGAACUGAAAUCCAUUCUAUUUCCUGGCAUACUUAUAAACCACAAAACAUUUUUUGUGCUUGGCAGUAAUUUCUCAAUUGUCAAAUUUCUUGAGGAAGAACUCCAGAAAAAUAUUACUAAUGUUCGACGAAUGUGACUUAUAAACCGUGUAUUGUAUCUUUAAUUUAGUUUUGUUACAGAAUAAUGUAUAGAUGAUACUAUAGUUGAUUUGUGGGAAUUUGAAUAUUUAAUUACCAUAAUUAGACUAUUCUCACUUAUUUAUAUCUUUGUAUUCUUUGAGUAGUACUCCCUCCAUUUCUAUUUAUAUGUCGUCCUUUUCUAAGGAUAGAUAAUAUUUAAUAUUUGACAUUUCACAAAACCAAUACAUAAAUAAAACGAUUCUUUCUAUUUUUACCUUUAAAAGCUAUUAGCCUUGAAAGUAUGAAUUUGACCAAUAUAGGAAAACUAAAUGAUUAGAUCAUUUUCAUUGAUCAAUUUAAUUAAUCAAAAUAAAUUAAUUUAUAUUCAUUUGUUGAAACUUGACUUCAAGAGAUCACUAAAUAAGGAUACACCAGUCAAUUCACCUAGACGUGAAAUCUAAAAUUGUGGCAUAUAAAUAGAAGUGAGGGGGUAGAUAAGAAAUUUUAUGUAACUUCUCUUGUUUUCGUGGUAUCAGAGCCUAAGGGCUCAAAUCUUUAGAUUCUCUAAAACAAAAUUUCAAUAAGGGGUCUACAGUAUAAAUAAAAUUUUAAUAUUCAAACAUUUCAAUAUUAUUUAAAUUAAUUUACCUUAGAGAUUGACAUAAUUCGAAAACCAAAUACCGAAUAAAUAAUUCAUAAAACUGAAAUUAUCAUCGCCGGACCAGUGACCACUAGUACCUCCAAACAACUCAAAAACAAACUACCACCCGAUCACACCAAAUCGGUCGUUACAUGAAAUGAGACAUUUCAUGGUAACGAUGGAUCUAAAUGAUACAAUACAAUAAAAUUUAAGUAACAAUCAACAUAAGUAUUGUAUUUAAACUAACUAUACAAUAUAAUGGGUAACAACCAUCCAAACAAGGUGUUAAUGUAAAAGCAUACAGAAUAUCAUAUAAUAAAGUUCAUAUAUCAAUGCAAUGGAUCCAUUGAAAGAAAGUAUUUUGAAGUACACACAAAACUCAAAAACAAGAAAAUUAUCCAUCUAGAUGGAUAUGAUUAUGCAUAAUGAACAGAGGAAACAGCUUAAGAGAAAAACUGGUCCAUUAGAUCCCCUCUUUCAAUCGCGAUCUUCUAUUUCUGCACAGCAAAGAAACACUUCUCAAAUAUAUUUUACGAAAGAUUUAACAGGUAAAAGUGUACAAGCUCAAAAUAUGAUGCAAUUAAUCUUGAGUCAGUUACCUGUUAAACCAGUGUUGCAGUUUUUUAUAUGCAAGGGGUAAAUAAGGACCUUGAGCUCUGCAUUUCCAUAUUCUUCUUGCACUUCUUGAAUGUCCUUGACUGACUUUUCAAGAGACUCACCACAUCGUUUCACUUCAACUAUCUUUAGAGUAGGAAUAUCUCCAAUCAUAGAAGGAAUUUCUUGAAGAUUAAAGCAGUUUUCUACCAGAAGCUGUUUGAGGUUAAGCAAGGACUCAUUUGAGGCAUUCCAUGUUGUUAUUUUAAGGGAACUUAAUUUAAGAACCUUGAGGUUCAGAAACUCUUCAUCUUCGAUCUCCCAUUUGUCCUGCUGAAAUGCUCUAUGUUCCAACUUGAGAACCACUAAAUUUGGUAAUCUUCCGAUAUUAGACAGUUCACUUUGUGGCAACAAAACAUCUGAUAGAGUUAGCUUUGUUAGUGUCGCGGGCAAGGUGAAAUUCAAAAUCUUACCAUUUACACUGAGUGUUUCAAGUUGAAGAGCAUCUAAUUUGAGUUUGAGAGGCUCUUUACAGUGGCAUUUGAGCUUUCGCAGUCUGCUUGCCUUCUUGACCAUGUAGUCUACUAGCUCAUUAGUGAGAGACACUGUGGCCAAAGUCUCUAUGUUUGUCGAUGUCUGAGGAAUGCGUCCAUCAAAAGAUGCAACAGGUUCAACAUGUACAUGCUUUAGCCUUGGCAUAUUCCAGAUGGUCAUCGGUAAAAUUGUGCCACUGCCUACUGUUAUUACAAGCAAUACCUCUAGGUUUGAAAGGUUCGAUAUCCAUAAUGGCAUAGAUACCAUAUAGCCUUUGAUUCCUAAGUACUUCAAAUGGAUCAGCUCUUUUGAUCUCUGGAAUGAACUGUCUGACAUAGGACAUUCCAUUUGUAGUACUUUUAAUAGUUUAAAGUUCUCGAGAUCAAGAAAUUCCUGGCAGCCAGAUUUCGGGGGUCUGAAGAAUGCAGAUCGAACUUGCAUGUUUCCAAUCUUCCCUGCCCAAUAAAGGCUAUGAUGAAUGCAAAGCCUCCGGUGCUCAUAAAAGGAACUAGACAAAUCAGUCUUCCCGGUGCUUGUUAGUUGCAUAAACUUCUCUUCCUUAGACUUUGUCAUGCAAAAAUCAUGUAACAUAUCAUGAAUGUGGCAUGUUCUGACUCCUCCAGUGGACUUUCUCUUGCUCACCAUUAUCAAGCUUCUACCAAUGAGAUCAUUCAGUAAACUUUCUACAGCAAGGUGUAUACUUUCUACCUCUAUGUUUGGCACCAAUCCCUCAAUAGUCCAUAACCACUCCAAGUUCGAGAGUGGAAUUUCUUCAUCCUUUUGAAAUGAUGCAAAAUAUAGAAGGCAGGGUUUGAGAUGAUCAGGCAAGUGCUUGUAGCUCAGUUCUAUAACCUCCAUGCACUCUUUUGCACUAGUAACAGUAUCUAACUUUAUACUUUCUGCGAUUCUUCUCUAAUUUUCCUCAUUUUUGCUUAUCCCAGACAAAACUCCAGCAACCAAAAUCACAAGGAGAGGUAGUCCUUUACACUUACUCGCGAUGUUUGCUCCACUUUUGAUAGGUCUGGUGGGCAAGUUUGUUCCUUGAACAGCUUGAUUCUCAUUAGUUCCCAACUUUCAUUUUCGUCAAGGAAACGAAGGUGAAGAGGUUCUCUAUCAGGGUUAAUUUCUGAAGCCACAUCGCUGAGUCUGCUAGUUAAUAAAAUCCUGCUUCCGUUAUUAUCAUCCGGGAAGCAUCCUCUCAAGUCAUCCCAUGUGUCAACACUCCAAAUGUCAUCAAUGUAGAGAAGGUACCUCUUCUUUUUUAAGAAUUUCUGCAAAGCAUCUGCUGGAUUUGACUCAUUCUGUUGAUUGGAACUUUUAACUUGAUUCAAAAUUUCAAGCAGCAACUUUCUCCUGUCAUAAGCUUGGGAAACACAACACUUAGCUUUGACAUCGAAAUGACGCCGCAUUUUCUCAUCAUGAAAAACUUUCUUUGCUAGUGUAGUUUUUCCAAGACCAGGCAUCCCUACGAUAGACACAACAUCCAAGUACUUUGGUCCUCUAGUGAGCCAGUUGAUUAGCAAGUCAAUCUCGUCCUUAAAACCCACCAUUACCUCAUCAAGUUGUGUAGUCUCAACUACUUGUCUGACAGGAUUUGGUGUUUGUUCUUCAAUAGGGACUUCAACUUCUCGCGUAAUCGUAGCAUGGAACUCUUUCAAAUGAUUCCUUACAACCUUAGUUUCUGUUGUGAUCUUACAUAACAAAUGUAGAUACCAAACAGGAUAAUCUCCGGUAACCAGGCAAUCAAUUAUGCAUUCUGCCUGGUAUGCUAGAGAUAUGACUUCUGUCCAUAGAUCAUGUUUCUUCACCUCCUCAAACUCAUGUUUUUUCUUCUCAACUUCCUUCAAGAAGUCUCGUACGAGACAUAACUCUUCCUGAGCUUCUUCAAUAAGAUGCUUGACAACAGAAUCACACUUUCCGUCUUGCAGCAGCUCUUCCAGAUAGCGUAAGAGGGAAUCGAUAAACCCCAAUCCAUUUGUCCUAGGAAAAUUACAUUUUGAUGACACUACAUCUUUCAGAAUCACAUCUUUUAGAUCUUCCAUGACAUGUUCAAUCUUUUUAACAAGUCACUGAAUACCGAGUUAACUUCUGCUGCUUUGUCAACGGAGAAAGAGAAAGCAGCAGAUACUACCUCAGCAAUCAGACCUUCAAUGCAAGUAAGUUUGUCACUCAUUUUUUCCUGGAUAACAUAUAAAUCUUCUGGUGGACAAAUGAGCAAAGUUACCAAUUGCUUUGAUGCUUCGGCAAGGCUUUUGAUUUGAUCCUUUUUAAGAGGAAGCAUCAAAGAACAUGCCUCACCGUCUGAUAACUCCAACAAAUCCUUGAAGAUGAAAUGAACAAAACCUUCAACAAAUUCUAUCACAUCCCGGCUGUAUUGGAUUUGCAAUUUAACUGAACCUCUUAGAGCUCCAGUAUAGAUUUCUGCAAUGUGCGGAUCAAUGGGCUUGAUAUCUUUCAAAACAUGAGAGAUUUGNNNNNNNNNNNNNNNNNNNNNNNNNNNNNNNNNNNNNNNNNNNNNNNNNNNNNNNNNNNNNNNNNNNNNNNNNNNNNNNNNNNNNNNNNNNNNNNNNNNNNNNNNNNNNNNNNNNNNNNNNNNNNNNNNNNNNNNNNNNNNNNNNNNNNNNNNNNNNNNNNNNNNNNNNNNNNNNNNNNNNNNNNNNNNNNNNNNNNNNNNNNNNNNNNNNNNNNNNNNNNNNNNNNNNNNNNNNNNNNNNNNNNNNNNNNNNNNNNNNNNNNNNNNNNNNNNNNNNNNNNNNNNNNNNNNNNNNNNNNNNNNNNNNNNNNNNNNNNNNNNNNNNNNNNNNNNUGGGCUGCAUAAAUUUGGUAAAGGCCACCUCCCUGGAACCAAUGAAAGGAGAAACUCAUAACCUUCUUUGACUUCAGCAGAAGAUAAGUCUGCCCUUGGUCCCGAGACAGUGUCACCGACUUGCAUUCCAUGUCUGCACAAUCUCCCCUCCUUAAUCCUUCCUUUUUCAUUUGCCCAAUACAAGAAAGUACCAAAAAAUCUCCUCUCUAUUUCAGACAUUUGUUUUCCAGCAGAAUUUCCUCAGAGUGGAUAUAUGUCGACAGCUCUGCAAGCAAAGAGAUUAAAAGCAAAUCACAUUCUAGGACAAACAAUGCAUACUCCAACUCUACACCAGCAAAACUCUGGUACCAUAAUCUAGCUGCUCUUCAUAUUGCGUCAAAUCCGGUGUAUCAUGAAAAAACUAAACAUAUUGAGGUUGAUUGCCAUUUUAUUCGCGAGAAGAUUCCGGAAAACAUGAUUUCCACUGGCUACGUGAAGAGAGGAGGGCAACUAGCUGAUUCUGUUCACAAAAAUGUUGAAUGGAACUCGAGUUGAUUAUCUUUGUAACAAGCUACUAUAAAGCUAUAUGUUUUCUUGUAUAUAAUAUUCUAGCUGAUUUCUAGGGAUUCAGAUAUCUAGUUACCUUAGUUAGCCUUUUCUUUACGUGUACUUAAAUCAGUGUAUUCUUUGGAUAAUAUACAAAUACAAGCUAUACUCUUAAACUUCAUUCUUUGAUAUAUAACAAUAGCUGAUUGCAUUAUGUCUGCAUUCAAAAUUAUGUAGCAAAAGAUGCAAGAAUUAAUACAAAUUAAGUUUGUUAUAAAAGUCUAUCACAUACCUUUUUAACAACUUUGGCAGAGCAGAAAGCAGUGAUCUAGGGUUCAUCAAUUUGUUCCACAAUUUUAACCAAAAACAACUAAAGUGGACUUGCUUUUAUAUGUGUGUUAAUCAUGGAAUACUUUUGAGAUUACUUAAUAUAAAGUAUAAUGAAACUAAAAAUUACAGAUAAAUGAAGACUAUAAAAUGAUGCAGCUUGAUUGUUUCAUUCUGGCCACUGGUAAUGGAUAAGAAAUGAUUUGUUUUCCUCUGUUUCAAUUUGUUUGGCCUAUUUUGAUAUGACGUGAAGUUGUAGAAAGUGAAAAAGACUUUUGAAUCUUAUGGUCUUAAACAUGUCGUGUGGAAAGUUGAAGUUAAAGAGUCGCUAAAAAAAGAAAGGGUCGUUCUUUUUUAAACAGACUAAAAAAAAAAAAGUAGGUUAAACAUAUUAAAACGGAGGAAGUAAUUGAAAGUCUGAACCUACUAAAAAGAAAAGUAGGUCAUGAGUCGGUAUCAUAUUAAUUAGAUCAUUGAAAUAUCUCAUGAUUUACGGAAGAAAGUCCUCAUUUGCUGCUACCAAUUUCACCACUUUGUCAAACAUCAUUUAAUUGGCAAAGAAAAGUCAAAUAAGACAUUUGCAAGUUAGAUAUUAUUCUUGUCAUUGAUUUCACUCAUGAAAUUAUUCGUGUUAGAAAGCAGAAUGAGGUAUACCAUAUAGACUGUAUAAAAAAAUAGUCUGAUAAAAAAAAUAGAGCGUUAGCGAUCAUCUCUUAUCGGAAAAGGUCGGAAUCUAAGUCAAUGAUGAAGCAGAAGGAUCCUAACUCAUUAGCUCUUAAGCUAGCCAAGUCUCUUGGCUCUGAUCAGCUAGCUGCUGCACUUCAUCCUGACAACAAUUGGCCUAAAUUAUUACUCCCUCCGUCCCAUUUUAUGUGGCAACAUUUGACCGGGCACGGAGUUUAAUAAAUAGAUAAAGACUUUGAAAUGUUUAUCAAAUUGCCCUUCAAAAAAAUAGAUAUAUUUUUCUCUCUCCUAAUAAAUGUAUUGGAGUACUCUUUUCAAGAUUAAGUGGGACCAACAAGGGUAAAAGAGAAAUUAUACCUUUAAAUACUUACCAAAUAAGGAAAUGUGACAUUCUUUUUGAGACUGACCAAAAAGGAAAUGUUGCCACAUAAAAUGGGACGGAGGGAGUACCAAUCUUUUAUAGGUGUUUCAGUACUCACUACAAGAAAAUGUACAUACGACAUUAAUUUAGUGACAUUUGAAAUAAAUGUUGGAAAAUAAAGAAUUUUACGAUAUUUAGGAACAAAAUGUCAUAAAACAAUGACAUUUGAUGUCAAAUGUCGUAAAAAUAAUGACAUUUGGUAUCAAAUAUCAUAAAAAUAAUAACAUUUGGUCCAAAAUGUACUAUGAUAAUGACAUUUAUUGCAAAAUAUCGUUGUUUUUAGCGACAUUUAGCAAAAAUGUCAUUUAAAUGAUGACAUUUGCUACAAAUGUCGAAUAUAAUAUGACAUUUAUUACAAAAUGUCAUUGGUUUUAGUGACAUUUAGAAAAAAUAUCGCUUAAAUAGUGACAUUUAAUAUAAAUGUCGAAUAUAUUAUGACAUUUACUGCAAAAGGUCAUUGAUUUUUAGUGACAUUUAGAAAAAAUGUCACUAAAAUAGUGACAUUUGUUGUAAAAUGUCAUUGAUUUUAGCGACUUUUAGCAAAAGUGUUGCUAAAGAAGCGACAUUUAAUACAAAUGUUGAAUAUAUUACACUAGUAGAAUUUCGUUUGCAAAAUUGUUGCUAAAAUAGUGACAUUUCAUACAAUUAUCGAAUAUAUUAUGACAUUUAUUGCAAAAUGUCAUUGAUUCGAUCGACAUAUAGUGAAAAUUUCGCUAAAACAGUGACAUUUUUAUACAAAUAUCGAAUAUAUUAUGUCAUAUGUUGAAAAAUGUCAUUGAUUUUUAUGACAUAUGAUGAAAAGUACUGUUAAACGACUACAACAUUUUAUGUCUACAACCACCCUAGAAAAGUGUAGCCUUUGAUAAAAGGCCACACUUUUUGACUUUAAGCCACGCUUUUCCAGGGGUGGCCGAAAGAAGCAUAACCUUAGAGUUUAGGCGACACUUUUCAAGUGUUGCCUUAACAGCUACGCUUAAAAGCAUAGCCUAAAAGGCAGAAAGGCCACGCUUUGCAGUACCUCAUAUAGCUUAACAUUUCUAUCUCAUACAACUACACUUUCAAGGGUGGCCUUUGCUUCCUUAUUGCCCACGAUUUUAAAGUGUUGCCUUUUCUAUCUUAUGUAUGACAACACUUUGAAGUGUAGUCCUUGCUCAUGUGCAUACCACAAUUUACAGUUAUUUGGCUGCACUUUUAAGUAUGGUAAUAUUAUUUUUACUAUAAAAUAUUUAUAUGCCACAAUUUCUAAUUAAAAAACAUCAAUAUUAUUUUGCAAUAAAUAAUCUCAAACACUAAAUUAGCUAAUAAGUAAUUCAAAUAUAUAGAUUUGUAAUAAACUUCAAAAGAUAGUAUGUCUUGUGUACAUACACAUACUUGUUUGACAGAGAAUUUAAACUAGUUUGUUGAAUUAAUCCAACACAUUGACACUGAAGCAAUAGUCCAUUACAUUGAUAUAUUACACCCUAUAUUCCUAAACACGUUGAAUGGUUCCCUGUAUCUAGACGUGAAAAUAUCCAUUAUGAUGUAUUCAAAUUGUCUCAUUGAACUAACUACAUAUCUGAAGCUGUCUCACUGCCAGCAAAAUGUGUACCUUGUACUCUUUGCUUCAAGUAGUAUGAACCAUGUCUAUUUGACCCUAUAAGUAAUAUGAACUAUGUCUAUUUGUAUAAUUUUCACUCGAACCCUAAAGUACUUAGGUCCAAUAAACACAUUCAUCCUAUGUGGUGUCCUGUAUGAUAAUUUUGUGUCCUAUGUGACGUCCUACAUGUAUUAUGUUGUAGGACGUAUGAGUCAACUUGUUCAAUUUUAUACAAGUUGAAGUGUCUAUUUGUGCAUGCCAAAAAUUGAAGGACAUAUAUGUCAGAUGAAUUCAAAUUUAAAAACAUAUUUAUGUAUUAUGUCAAAUAUUAAUCUAAAGACAUCACAAAUAUGGCCGUGUAAGAUGGUAAUCGAUCCGUUAUACCAACACCAAAUGAACAGAAGGACAAAUUUAGAUGUGCAUGAAAUACUUUUAAUUAAUGGUGAAAGAUAUAUACAAGUGAGUAAGCAUACAUGUGAUCUACACUCUAACCAAAAAGAGCAAUUAUUUUUUGUUGUUGUCAAAAUUAAUCCUCCAAUAAUUCCUUUCAUCUUCAAAAAUUACUUUCACUUUGCAAUUUUUUUCUUGUCUUCAAAGCAUACUGCUUAAAAAUAUAGAGAGAAGAGCUAGUAUUGAUCACUUUGCUAUAGUCUGUCUAUAGUUUCUUUCAAUUGAGUACUAAACAAUGACUAAAUGUUCUUCUCUUCAUUUUUAAUUGCACUUAAUAGGUACUAUUUCCUAAUUAUUUGGCCACAUUUCCUUUUUUAAUUAUCCCUAAUUAUUUGUUCAUUUUGAUAAAUCAAGAAAUGACAAUUUUUUACCUAUUAUACCCUCAAUUAAUUACAUUGAAAAAUGUAGAACUUUUUGAAAAUCUUAAGUUUUUAUUCAUCAACUUCAUAAUUAAUAAGGGUAAAAUGGUAAACUCACUAUAUCAAUUAUUGUUUUCGUAAUAGACGUGUCAAUUCAAAAGUGGACAAGUAAUUAGGAACAUAGUACUCCUUCCGUCCGAAUUUAGUUGUCCAUAUUUCUUCUUUUAGUUGUCCCUAUUUAGUUGUCCAUUUUGACAAAUCAAAAAAGGAUAACAAAUUUUUUCCUAUUAUACCCUUAUUUAAAUGAAGUUGUCAUAAAUAAAGUAAAUAAACUUAUGAACUUCCCAACAUUGAUUAGUUAUCUUGAGUGAAUUUAUUUUGAAAUUGUAAAUUGUACUAUAAGGGUAAAAUUGUAACUUCACUAUGCUAAUCAUUGUUGCCUUAAUCUGUGUGUCAUUUCUAAAGUGGACAACUAAAUAGGGACGAGUAAUAAACGAUGACCAAGAAAGAAUAAUUAAUUAUUUUUCUUGUUUUUUCCUCUAAUGGAGGACAGAUGGAAGAUUAAUAAAAUAUUAUUUAUCUUCUUAAAGUUUAGAGGCCCACUUAAUAAUUGCUACAAAACAAAGAUGCUAAUCAGCUAAAGGAUAUAUUGUAGAAUAAUAAUUUAUACUCCCUUUGUUCGCUUUUAUUUGUCCUAAUUUUACUUGACACACCCAUUAAAAAAAUAAUUAUUAAUAUAGGUAUUUUAUUAAAUUGUCCCUAUUAAACGAUGUUUAGUAUUAAGUAUUGGAAAGUGACUUGGAAAUAGAGUAUUUAAUAUUGAGGGUAAAAUAUGGAAAAAUAUAAUUGUCUUUUUAUGAUAUGUCAAAAGUAACAAAUAAAAUGAAAAUUUAUUUUAGGAAUAAGUGAAAGUGAACGAGAGUAUUAAUUUUAUCUACCCGAGUUAAGAGGUUCAAAUCAAUGAUUUCUUUAUCUUGUCUUUUUAGCAUUGCAAUUAGGGGUGUAUAAAAUCGAACCGAAAAUCGAAUCAAGCCGUAAAUCAAAAAAAAAACCUGACUAGUGGUUUGGUUUGACUUGGUUUGGUAUUGGAAAAAAAAAUCCGACUAUAUUUGGGUUGGGUUGGGUUGGUUUUAACUUAAAAAAAACCAACCCGAGACCAAACCAACCCGACAUUAUAUAUGUAAUUUUAAAAUUUUAUUUUAUACAUAAAAAUAUUUACUUUGAUAUAAUUUUAAAAUAUUUCUUAUACUAUUUCAUAGUUUUUAUCUUUUAAUAUAUUAUUUCAAGUUUAAAACUUAGAAUUCGGAAUGGUCCAAUAAAGAUUAUAGUUCAUAGAUGUUGAUAAUUAUAAUUAAAUUUAAAUCAAAAUCAAAUUAAUACUAAUGCAAAAAGAAAAUCAAUUCAACACUAAGAAUGACAAUAAUAUUGAAUAUUUGUUCUUUAGUUUUACAUUGGUUUAGACAAUUAAAAUACAUAAUCUAAUUUUAAUUUUCCUUAAAUAUUUAGUAAUGUAACUAAUACUUAUUAAACUUAUUUUAGCAUGAUUUAGUACUUUUAAAUUAUGAUCAUUUUCAUUAUGACUUUGCAAUAUUUAUUUUAUAUAAUGAUUUCAUUAUUAUUUAUUAUUGAAUAUUUUUGUUCACCAGUACUCAUCUCAUAUUUUGUGUUAUUUUUUUUUUAAGAAAUACCUUAGAUAAUUGUAUUUUGGUUGGACUAAAGAAAUAUUUGGAGCACAAGUUAAUUAUGAAAUAUGUCUAUUUGUAUAACAGAUGAAUGAAGAAUAUAAAAUGAUGCAACUUCAUUGUUUCAUUAUGGCCACUGGUAAUGGCUAAGAAAUGAUUUUUUCCCCCUUUGUUUCAAUUUGUUUGACCUACUUUGACUUGACAUGAAAUUUAAGAAAAUAAAAAAGAUUUUUAAAUCUUGUGGUCUUAAACAUGUCGUGUGAAAAGUUGAAGUUAAAGAGUUGCUAAAAAAAGAUAGGGUCAUUCUUUUUUAAACAGAUUAAAAAGAAAAGUAAGUCAAAUAAAUUAAACGGAGGAAGUAAUUGAAAGUCUAAACCUACUAAAAAGAAAAUUAGGUCAAGAGUCGGUGUCAUACUAAUUAGAUCAUUGAAAUAUCUCAUGAUUUACAGAAGAAAGUCCUCAUUUGCUGCUACCAAUUUCACCACUUUGUCAAACAUCAUUUAAUUGGCAAAGAAAAGUCAAAUAAGACAAAGUUAAACAUUAUUCUUGUCAUUGAUUUCACUCAUGAUAUUAUUCGUAUUAGAAAGCAGAAUGAUGUAUAUCAUAGGCUGUAUAAAAAAUAGUUUGGUAAGAAAAAUAGAUUUUUAGCGAUCAUCUGUUAUCGGAACUAGCAAUAUGGAUCCUAACUCAUUAGCUCUUAAGCUAGCCAACUUGUAUAGGUGUUUCAGUACUAAUUCCCAUUUGACAGAGAAUUUAAACUUGUUUGUUGAAUUAAUCCAACAUAUUGACGCUGAAGCAAUAGUCCAUUACAUUGAUAUAUUACACCCUAUGUUCCUAAACACGUUGAAUGAUUCCCUGGCUAAUCUAGACGUGAAGAUCACUGCCCUGACGGCGAUGAGUAACUUCAUUCAACAGGUGGGGAGUUCAAAAGAUAGGGAGAGGUUUCAGGAUCUGUUGCCUGCGAUGAUGGACAUGCUGAAUAAGGCAUUGGAAGAAAAUUGUGAGGCAUCAGCUCAGUCUGAGUUGGAGAUUUUGAUUGAGUUGGCCAAGAAUGAGCCUAGCUUCUUCAGGAUGCAGCUUGUGGUUGUGGUGGGUUCCAUGUUUGAUAUAGCUGAAUGCGAGAGUUAUGAAAAGAAAACGAGACGUUUGGCGGUUGAAUUCGUGAUGACAUUGGUUGAGGCCAGGGAGAAGACCCCUGGCAUGAUCAAGAAGUAUCCAUUGUUUACUGAAAAAUAUUUUGCAAUUUUAUUGAAUUUGUUAGAGGAUGAGGUUUAUGACCCUCUCUUGCCUGAUCCUUAUGAUAAAUGGGAUAACAAUUAUGAUUUCCUUUUUCUUAAGAUGUGUUUAAGGCGGUUGUCCAAUGCGCUGGGUGGUAAGACUGUUGUUCCUGUUGCCUUUGAGCAGCUCCGUGCUCACUUGGCUGACGACUCGUGGCAGAAGCCAUGCGCAGCACUCUAUGCACUUGCUCAGAUUGUUGAAGGCUGCUCAGAGGUGUGUAUUUAUUGAUACACUACUAAGAAUUGCAUUUAAACUGAUUAGUUAACGAUCUUGGGAUAGCAGAAGGUCACCUUGAUUAUACUUUCUUCUGUUAUUCUCUAGACUAAGUACUUUGCUUGCUCUCAUCUCUUCUUCAUUAUAAUAGGUGAUGAUUAAGAAUAUGAAUCUAGUGGUGACAAUGGUUCUGGAUUGUAUGGGACAUCCUCAUCCUGGAGUUAGAUUCGCCUCCAUGGAAGCAAUUCGCGAGUUUUUGAGUUUCAUGCGUCCCCAUUUUCAAGAACAAUGUCAUCACCAAGUAGUGCCGGCAUUAAUUAAAGCUAUGGAUGAUGAGAGUGUACAAGUGCAGGUCUGUAUGUCCUACGAUGAUAUGAACUCCUUUGGAUGCUAGUAUCAUAUGUCCCAAAUUACAGUUGCGAAAUUUUCUUACUGAACCUUCUCAAUGGGCUUAACUUUAACUUUAUUAGAUUUAAUCCCUGCUCUAACUUUACUAUCUUCAUAUUUUCCUAGGUCAGUGUCAUACGCACGGUCUGGCACUUCCUUCACGUUCGCACGCCUGAAUAUUUGACACUUUACAUCCAUGGAUUACACAAUAAAUUGCUUCAACUGUCGUCACAUACUGUUGCGGUGGUACGUAUUGUAGACUAAGUGCAAGAGAAAUCAGAUCAUUUUCUUGAACAAUGAACAGACAAUAUUACGAAUACAUUAAGGGAAACAACCAUAAUUUCCAAGUUCCCAAUAUAAUUAUCCCGCCCUCCUUUAUAAAUUCAAAGUUUGUUACUCCCUUGAAUGUCCUUGAGGUCUCUACUUGCCUGAUUUAUUUUUGUUUUUGACAUGAAAGGUCCAAAAAUCAGCGUCAACUGUACUCAAUUGUUUGGGUGAGCAUUUUGAGGUAUUACCUAGUAAUUCUGCUUCAACUUUUAUUAAGAGUAUGUUGUAUUAAGCUGGUUUUAUAUUUCUAUUAAUAUUAACAUUACUUCAACAGGAGUUCUAUGGGAACAACUACGAAUCUAAUAAACCACUUUUGAAAGCUUCACUGGUAGAAGCAAAUUUUCCAAGUAAAGAUGUAGAGAUGAUCAUGUCAGUGUACGAACCUGGCAGUUCGGUACUUCCAAAACAGGUCUUCCACCAGUUAUACCAAAUGGAUUCUAUACAUCUCACUGAACUUAGAGCUUAUUGUUUAUUCGUUUUCUAUUUUUCUGUUGUUGACAUAAUGUCACUAUAAGAUUAUGGAAGCAGUUAUGUCAUUACAAGGAUCACAAGAGGAUGAUGAGGAUACAAAUACCAUCUACAAGCUAAUGGUAUGUGUUGUUGAGAAUAUCGUUAACUAAUAAAAUGGUGUUCUCUCUAAUAGCUUAAGCUUUUAGAUGAGAUGGUCACACACUUCAACAUGUUAUCAGAACAGGCAGAGGCCCUGGGAUCAAAUCUCUUCGCCACCCAAAUUAAAAAGAAUUUCCACGUGCUAAUCAGUCAGAAAUUCUUUCAAGAUUGGUCUUUCUAUAUUUCUUGAUCUCAUUCCAGGUUGUCACACUUGGACUUCUCUCUUUUUCUUUCUUUCUACCCGUGAUUUUGAUCGCGAACUGAAAAUUUAACAAGUGGUUUCAAUGGCCUAAUGCUUGAUAAAUGAUACAGACUGCUUCAAUUUUAUUUCCACUUUUGAAAUUCCAUUUCAAAGGGGUCAGGUUCCAUACAGUUUGAAGGUGAGAUUUCUCAGGAUUUCACAUAGUUAAUUUCUACCGUCUUUUAUAACUAUCUGAUCAACUCCAAGACUUUUUAAUUUGUAAUGUUUAUAGCGAUGAAGCACAUUUUGCAAUCUGCUAAACUGGCUGAUGAGAAAGGGAUUGCUCCAGGUGAAAGCCAUUCGGAUUUCAAGCAGUUUUCAGACAGUAUAAUACUGAAUUUGGUGGAAGCUUUGCAUGAGGUUUACUUUUAACAUUAAGCUUCUUCUUUUUGGAUAAUGAGAAAGUAACACUUUGAUUUCUAUAUAAUGCAGGAGCUUGAAACAGAGAUAUAUGUACAUAUGUUGAAUACAUUACGACUGUGCCUUCAGGUUCGUGAUCUUUAAACACUGCUUAUUUGUUUUUGAUCCAAAGUUUUCAGUGUUUCACUAUGAGCUAGGUAUGAAGUUUUUUGGAACUGUUGCCUUUAAGUCUGUUGCUUAAAAUGUUCCAUUAGUAUCAUCAAAGUGAGAAAAUAGCAAUGGUGACAAGUCGAGUUAGAAUGGCAAAACAGGAUUUUUCAGGUUGUAUAUGGUCCUUGUGUUUCUUCUUUCAGAUAUGUGGUCCACUUCUCAAUAAAGACCAGCUUCGUCCGGUCGUGGAUGAGAUAAAGCAUGUCAUUACAGAAAAUUUAAAUAGCCAAGGAAAACUCAGAGAGAGAGAAAAAACAGAAGACUUUGAUGCUGAGGAAGCUGAAUUGCUGAGAGGGGAAAAACAGCGACAAGAUCAAAUAAUUUUCCUUGUAUGUUCUAUUUUAAAACAGGAACUAAAGUGAUACACUGUUGUCUAUAUAUUCAAGCAUUUUCGCUUUGUUUAUGCUGUUAUUCUUGAACAGGCUGGUCACAUAUUACGUAGACUUAUCGAAUCAUUCAAGGUUGUUUUCUUGCCUUACUUUGACGAGCUAUCAUUAUAUCUGAUUCCGAUGUGGGUAAGUUCAUUGACAUUAUUCUGACAUGACGUUAGUUUAUUUACUAUUAUUCAUAUCUAGGAUAUCUUACUGUUUCCGAUUUUGUUAAGGGAAAAGAAAUGACAAUUCAAGAGAAAUCUACAUCACUUUAUAUCUUUGAUAGUCUUGUGAAGGAGUGCUCUGAAGCAGCUCUAAAGUGAGUUUAAUUUGUCUGUAUGAGUUUCUGGUGUAUCACCAUUUUUAUAAAUUACUUACUUCUUAUGCCAACUUAGGUACUGUGAUGUAUUUCUACCUUUGCUUCUGAAAGCAAGCAAUGACGACAACCCGACAGUUAGACAGGUUUGGAUCAUAGUGAUUGUUUACAUUCCUGUUACUCAAGUUGGUUGCUCACAAUGACUUUAUGUUCAGAAAGCUUUAUAUGGACUUGGGCUUUAUGCAGAAUAUGAUGGUUCUGUUUUCCAACCUUAUGUUAGAGGUAUUAAUAUUGUUGAAUGUGAUACCUUCUAAUCAAGCAAGUGUUUUUGUUAACUUACGCGUUUAUGUUCAGAGGCUAUGUCACGGAUCAAUGUAGUGAUAAUGCAUUUACGUGCUCGUGAACCUGAGAAUGAACUUGCAUAUGAUAAUGCUGUUUCUACCCUUGGUAAAAUAUUUCAGUUUCAUCGAGAACUUAUCGACUCAGCCCAGGUUUGUCCUUCUCAGAAUCCCUAAUGUUAAGUCUUGUUAUAAUUUCUGAUUCUGAAUCCUUGUGUAGGUCAUUCCCAUUUGGUUGAAUUGCCUGCCUAUAAAAGGUGACCUUGCUGAAGCCAAAUAUGUUCAUGGUCAACUAUGUUCCAUGGUUGAAAGGUAUUGGAUUUGUUUGGAAACUCUAAUAUGUUAUAACUUUCAUAAAAUGCAGGAUUAUUUUAUCCAACGUUUUGUUGGAAAUAUUAUAUUAUCAUAAGACUAUUUAUUCCACCAUUUAUACCUUAAAAUGUGAUAAGUUAUUUCAUCCCGAAAUAGUUGAUGUCAGGAUAACUUAUUCCGAACCAAACCAUCCCUUAAUGAUUUAUCAAAUUUUCUCAAUUGCAGGUCAGAUAGAGAACUUUUGGGUACCAAUUAUGAACACUUCCCAAAAAUUAUGUCAGUUUUUGCAGAGGUUAGUUCCAUAUCAGAAUCUAUAGAUGCCAGUUUGAGUUGUUUAUUUGCUCAUGUUACAUAUUAAAUGAGAUAAAUAUUGAAAACAUAAUUAUUAAUUUCAUAAUCAAACUAUUAACAAUCUUAAAAACACUCAUUUCUUUGACUAACUAAACUUAAAUACACUCCCGAUCUUGCAACAUGACCAAAAUACAUCCCUAAUUUAAGGGUGCUUUCAACACUCCUCUAUGUAAUGUGGCAGAUCAGAGAUGUAUUUAAGUUUAAUCUGGUCAAGUAGAUAUGUGUUUUUAAGACUAUCAAUAAUUCAAGAACGAAACGAACAAUUUGUGUCAAGUUUAAGAGUGUUUUUGAAUCAAACUAAAGACAUUUUUUAUUCCAUUUUUAAGGUUAUAUGUGGUGGAAAACAUCUUGCUACAGAAGAAACAACAAAGUGUAUGAUUAAUCUGUUGAGGAAUCUUCUUAAAGAACUACCACCAGACACUUUGACAUCAGCAUGGUCAUUGAUAUUGCCUCAGCAAGAAAUGGAACUAAAAGCCAUUUUAUUUCCUGGAAUACUUCAUGUGGUACGUUUUCACAACAAAACAUUUUGUAUGCUUGACACUGAUACCAAUGAAAGCUCUCCCCCUUACUCUUUACCAUCCAAAAUUGUCAAACUUCUUGAGGAAGAACACCAGAAAAAUAGUAUUAUUGUUCCACAAAUGUAACUUAUAAACCAUAAAUUGUAUCUUUAAUUAAGUUUUGUAUCAUUUAAGUAUACAAGAUGAUACUAUAGUUGAUUUGUGGGGAAUUGAAUAUGUAAUUAUCAUUAAACUAUCUAUUUUAUAUCUUUUUUACGAUUUAUCUAUCCAUUUGGAAUUUCUUUAUUUUUAAUUUUUCAUAAGUUGAAAUUCAUAUUGUGGCAUAUAAUUUAAAUAAUUAUUUAUUCAAAUUAAACAAGUCAAACCUUAAGGACCUAAAAUCUAAACCUGACGGCAUAAACCAUAAACCUUGAGGGGUCGUUUGGUGUGAAAGAUAACUUUAAAUAGUCCUGCGAUUAAAUUAUAAUGUCACUAAAUUUGUUGUUUGAUUGGCAAUUUGGUGAUAAGUUAUCUCGUGAUUAAUAAUUAAUACAAGGAUAAAUUAUCCCUUCCCUUGGGUGGUACAAUAAUCCCGAGAAAACUUAUCACGAGAUAAAAUGACUAAAUGACAAAAAUAUCCCUUCAAACACUUUUUAUACAUUACUUUUCAUAUUCAUGAACGGUAUUUUUCUAAGCAUCAUAACUUGAAUUCAAACCAAACGACUGCACCUUAGAGCCCAAAAAAUAAACUCAAAAUCAUAAACUCUAAACCUUAAACCUUAGGCCUCAACCUUAAAAUCUAAACCAUAAACCCAAAACUCAAAAGCUUGGGGCCUAAAACCUAAGAUCUACGAUUUAUGGUUUAGGAUUUAGGAUUUAGACUCUAAAAUUUAUAUUCUAGGGGUUGUAGUUUAUCGUUUUGACUAUAAGAUUUAGGAUUUAAGAUUUAUAAUUUUAAGAGUUUAGGCCUUAUGGUUAAGUGUUUAGAGAUAAGAUUUAUAAUUCAUGUAUAAAUUAAAAUAUAGGGUUUAGGCCCAAGGUUCAUAUGGUUUUAUGAUUUAUCAAAAGCCAAUUUGAGGUCAAUUUUUAAGCACAAUUGAACCAAACCCAUUUGAACCCAAAAUAAAUUUGAACGGAUUGAUCAACUUCGUGUAUUUUUUUCUACACUUUUGACUCUUCAUCACCUUUCUACAAUUACAAUUGUUUCACAAAUCCUUUUUUUAAAAUCUUUCAAACAUAAUUAUAAAAAAUAUCUUAGUAAAUCCAUUCUAUUUCCUAAUCCCUUUCAUAAAACAAAUAAUCAAAAUAGCCUCAGAAGGAAGGCAGUAGUAUAGUCAUAAUCAUUAUUUUGACCAUUAACGCAAAACUACUCAUCAUCGGACAAAAAAAUAAUAAAUUAAAAGAAACAAAAAACAAUUAUUAUUGUAAUGCUUGAAAGUUUUGCAAUUUUCCUAAUUCAAAAUUAUUGACUAUCGAUUUUGAUAAUGUAUUUCCCAAAAUUGUUGUGUGAAAUACACGAGUAAAAUACAUCUGAACUCAAAAUUCAAAAUACAUUUCAAAACUCAAAAUUAAGAGUCAAAUUUGUGCAUAAAAUUUAGGACUUGAAAUCUAAACUCAAAAUUUGAAACCAUAUACCUUAGGGCAUAGAUCCUAAACCUUAAGAGCCUAAACUUUAAACAUUAUGUCCAAAAUUAUGAACCCUAAAUCUUGAACCUUAAAUCCCAAGUCAUAAACCCUAAAAUCUUAGAACUUAAACCCAAAACUCUAAACCUUAAAGCCUAAACCUUAAACCUUAAACCUUAAACCUUGAAAGCCUAAAUCUUAAUGUUUAGGAUUUAUGAUUUAUGGUUUUUGAUUUUAAAAUUUAAGAUUUAGAGUUCAGACAAUAUGGUUAAGAGUUUUAAGUUUUAUGAUAUAAGAUUUAGGCCUUAAAAUUUGAAGUUUAGAUUUUAACAAUUAGGCUCUAAAAACUUUAAGAUUAAAAAUACAGCAUUUGAACAUUAUAAUAAAUAAUUAUGUAGUACCCCAACGACCAAAUACACCACAAAAAUUAGAUGCAAAGGAUAGCGAGGGGAACAUUAUUAUAGCUUCACUUGCUAAAGUAUCACACUACAAAAAGUGAAAUCCACAAAAUAUAAUUAGCAAAAGCAUAGUACAAUUAACAACAUAUCCAAUAAAAUCACAGUAAAUUUAUGCAAAUCUUAUCAUUAUCUCGUAAAAAUAAAAAUAAAAUAUGAAAACUACUUAGUCCCUUAGAUGUUCAAUUAAUUGCGAUCAUCUUCGCAAAUCAUUACAGGUCUGUAACUGUAAAAAAUUAAUCAUCACUGUUGUUUCCAUUGAAUAAAAUAUAUAAAAAAAAUUUUGAUGAACAAACUCAGUCCCUUAGAUGUUCAAUUUGUUGCGAUCAUUUUCGCAUAUCAUUACAGGUCUGUAACUGUAAAAUAUUACUCAUCAUUGUUUAUUCAUCAAAAAAAUAUUCUGAAUUUUUUUUUUUUUAAAAAAAAGUUGUAGCUGCUCCAAUUGUUCUCCACAGAUUAAAUUAAAUGAGGAGAAAGAUGAAAAAGGAACAACACACUUAUAAUGCUUCAAGGGAACGAGUUGGUCAAAAAUAAAUUAUUUCUUGCCAACCAGAUUAAAGAAGCAUAUAACUCAAAAUAUAUACACAAAAAUAAUAAAUUUAUUUAGAGUUUAGAAGAUAUAUCACCAUUGUUGAAGAUUUCAAUCGGCAGCUGCAGAAGAGAGAAAUUGUUGUGUUUUGAAGUACACGCAAAACUCAAAAACAAGAAAAUUAUCCAUCUAGCUGGAUAUGAUUAUUAUGCAUAAUGAAUAAAGGAAACAGCUUAAGAGAAAAACUGGUCCGUUAGAUCUCCUCUUUCAAUCGCAAUCUUCUAUUUCUGCACAGCAAAGAAACACUUCUCAAAUAUAUUUUACGAAAGAUUUAACAGGUAAAAGUGUACAAGCUCAAAAUAUGAUGCAAUUAAUCUUGAGUCAGUUACCUGUUAAACCAGUGUUGCCGCUUUUUAUAUGCAAGGGGUAAAUAAGGACCUUGGGCUCUGCAUUUCCAUAUCCUUCUUGCACUUCUUUAAAGUCCUUAACUGAUUUUUCAAGAGACUCACCACAUCGUUUUACUUCAACCAUCUUUAGAUAAUGCAUAUGUCCAACCAUGGAAGGAAUUUCUCGAAGAUUAAAGCAGUUUUCUAUAAGAAUGUGUUCGAGGUUGGGAAAGGACUCAUCUGAUGCAUUCCAUGUUGUUAUUGUAAGGGAUCUUAAUUUAAGAACCUUGAGGUUCAGAAACUCUUCAUCUUCGAUCUCCCAUUUGUCCUGCUGAAAUACUCUAUGUUCCAACUUCAGAACCACUAAAUUUGGUAAUCUUCCGAUAUUAGACAGUUCACUUUGUGGCAACAAAACAUCUGAUAGAGUUAGCUUUGUUAGUGUCGCGGGCAAGGUGAAAUUCAAAAUCAUACCGUUUACACUGAGUGUUUCAAGUUGAAGAGCAUUUAAUUUGAGUUUGAGAGGCUCUUUACAGUGGCAUUUGAGUUUUCGCAGUCUGCUUUCUGUUUUAUUUAAGAAAUACUCCCUCCGUCCCAUUUUAUAUGAUGUACUUUGAUACCGUUUACACUGAGUGUUUCAAGUUGAAGAGCAUUUAAUUUGAGUUUGAGAGGCUCUUUACAGUGGCAUUUGAGUUUUCGCAGUCUGCUUUUCUGUUUUAUUUAAGAAAUACUCCCUCCGUCCCAUUUUAUAUGAUGUACUUUGAUUUGGCACAAACUUUAAGAAAAAUGGAAAGACUUUUAAAACUUGUGGUCCAAAAUGAAUGAUAGAAAUUUGUGUGGUUGUAAAUCAUUUCAUUAAGGGUAAAAAAGACAUUUUAUAGGCAAAUUGUUACUUAAAAUAGAAAUGUGUCAUUCUUUUUGGGACUGACUAAAAAGGAAAGUAAGUCAUAUAAAUUGGGACAGAGGGAGUAUUAUUUAAGACUGGUUUAAGAGUCGCCACUUAAUUUUUAAGAAAAAUCAAGAAAAACUGAUUUUCAAUAGAUUAAAACAGUGAAUCAAUUGAAAAUACUAAAGGGGGUUCGGGGGUUCUUAUAAAUAUUCUAGGAAGGUUUUUAAGGCACCUAGAAUAUCCACUAAUGUGGUUAUCCGACGAUUAACUACUUGGCUAAAAUAAUUGAACUUAAUUUGAUUUGAGCAAUUUUUAUUGUUAGAACCAUAUUAAAGGGAAAUACUUAAAUAUUAUCUAAGUGAGCUAAUUUUUAAAACUUAUUCUUUAAGUCUUGUUGAGUGAUGACUGAUUCAGUUAAAUUGUUAAAUCAAAAUAGGCGUCUUUCGGGGAUUUGAAUUUUUCAACCUUAAGGUUAGCGACAAAUAUUAACAAGCACACAAAUAUAAUAAAAUAAAGAGGGAAAGAGAUUUGGGCCCAAGUUUGGUUUUACUGUCCGCCUGGACCAAUACUUGGGCCCACUUUCGUUUUGGGGUUUUCGGCCCAUUUAAAUAAUCGGUACCUGUCCUAGUCUAACAAGAUAAUAACAAGGGCUUAGGCCCCCAAAAUAACAAAAAUACAAUUCCCGAAACUAAGAGUGGGCCUUUGGGUCCAUUUUCCUUCUUUCGUAUACACUAGAUGUCUACUAGUGUACACAAUCCCAUAUGUCUGCUUCGAAGACCUGUACGCUGAAUUCAUGGAAUUGCUCUUCAAUUCUAUUGGCUGGCCGACUCAAUGAAGGAUUUGAGCAUUUAUGGCUCUCUCGAAGUGAGGGGGAAGGAGAUAGGAGUUCAUAGUGAACUCGGACAUAUUUCACAAGCAAAACGAUAAAUAAGUAACAAAAUUAGCAUCUUCGGGAAGGAAAUGAAGUGAUAAGAUAAAAUAAAUAGAUAAGUAAAAUAACAUGCCAGUCAAUCAUUAACAACACAACGCCUAAACAAUAAUUUAAAAGGAAGACUGAUGAAGACUUGUUCAUUUUUACGUAUCAUGAAUGAGGAGCAGUGAUCAAGUACCAAGCAUUAGAACAAAGGUCAUAUGAGAUGUAAACUAAUAAGCUCUUAAUAAAGAUUAUUACUUAUUACAAGAUUAAAAUAACUACUAUGCAGGUUCAAAACAGAGAAGAAAGAAAUUUUAAUUAUAUAUAUAAUAUAAAAGAGAUAGUGAGCAAAUGUGGCAUCUACUAAAUGUGACUAUUGAAUGUUUAUCUCAAAGCACAAGAAUUGUUAGCUAAGCAAGCCUACAAUCAGUAGUUUAAGUAAAAGGAAAGAAACAUUCAAGUCACCUUUUGAACUUUUAAAAACAAUAUUAUAAACAAGUUAAGGUAGGUAGGAUUUAGUCAAAAUAUUAUUUUUUACAUAAGUGAGCUUUCUAAACAAAUAUAACAAUAAAAAAAAAAUUAGUCAAUGACUCAAAUUUUGCACAAGGGUAUAGCCUAAUACCGACAUUAUUUGGACAACUUUCUUAUUACUGAUUCUAACAUUUACGACACCGAAUUAAGCUAUGUAGAGAAGAAAAAAGGCCGGUGAUCACCAAAGCAAGUAAAAAUAUAUAGCAUCCUUAGCAACUGUUGAGACAUGCUGAAAUUAAAGAAGAAUAAAAGCCAAAAGUAUGGAUGUACAUUCACAGUUUUAUGUAUUCCCAAACUUAUCGAAAUUUGUUAAAAAUAUACAUGAGGCUCACGGAGAUAUCAAAUAGCAAAGUGGGCUGAUCCAUUUAUCCUAAAUGAGUAAACAUACAAAAUGAAUGAACAAAUACGGACUAUGACAUAUUUUACGCAUCCCGUAACCAAGAAAAAGUAGCACGAACUUACUUAAGGCAUGUCAAACUAAUCAAGAUCAAAAUUGUAUACCAUUUGGAACCAAACAACAAAAACAAUUCCCAUAAUUCUGGAAAAAUAAAAAAAAACACAUUCAAACUAGACCUGGACAACAUCUAAAUAAUUAGAGACAAAAUCAGAUAAACAAAAAUGAAAGAAUUAAUCAUACCACAAGACAACCAUAACAAAGUUUAAGCUAUACUAAUCCGGACAAGACUAUUGAUCUAAACUCAAAAAUAAGUGCAGGAAGAGCUAGAUCCUACAAGACUGGUCUAAUGUAAUUUAUGAGGGUCUAUAACAGUGAAUAAAAAAUAAAGAGAAGACAACCAAGACCACAAAUGACCAAUAGAGAAGCAGAACGAGUCAAAAAUUAAGCUACAAAGGGAAUAAUUUAAAGACUCAUAUUUAAACUAACACAUGCUUCCAUACAUGAGUAAUUUAAUCAAAAUAAGUUAGAACAAAAUGAAACCAAAGAAACUCCGCAGCAACAAGUUUAUCACACAACAUUUAAAACAUAAACAAAGCGCGGAAGAGGGAAGAGAUAUUACCUUUUCCGGGCAGCGAAACUGAGACAAGAACGAGCUUGGAGCGACUUCAACACAACCUUGAACUCGAGCACCAGACCAAAGAAAAGAUCGAGUCGACCUCGAACGAGAACUUCUCGUAUCCUUAAGACUAGGGAACCGUCUAAGACUUCUCAAGUGUAAAUUUAUUCCAAGAAAUCCAACCCCCAAAUCCCUUCCUUUUUUUUUUUUUUUAACAUAUGAAAAAAGAGCCACCUUUAUAGGUAAAAACUCCAGCAGAAAAUGGGGGGAAACGGAUGAAAAAAACGGGCAGAGAUCCCCCAUCCCCAAUUCAAACUUCAAAAUUUAUUCACAAACUUAGAGAGACAACAUUUUUUCAAAAUUUCGCCCCAUUCCCAAAGAGGAAAAAGGGAGAAACGCGUGCUGCUGCGACAUUAAUGUGGAUAGGGACGUCUGAAGAAGAAGCCAAAUCUGUAGUGUACGUCUCUCUGCUCCUCGCUACUUUUCGUCUGAUCGCUCUGUAUUUUUUGUUAUGAACGUUGGGGCUGCUGGGUUUGUAUUGUGAAGGAAAAGGGGAGGUGGGCCGGGUUAAAGGGGGGAAUUGUGGGUUGAGGCGGUAGGGUGAGAAAUAAAAGAAAGGAAAAGGGAAUUGGGGAAAUUACGGUCGGUCAGGUAUUGUUGUUGUUGUCAAGUUGUAUUGUAUGUAGUGUUACAUGUGGGUGGGUUUUGGUAUUAAAUUUGGGCUGGGAAUUAUGGAAUUGCUGAUGGGUUUAAAGAAGGGAUGGAUUGUUGGUAUUAUAUUCUGGGAAUGGGUAUUUGGAAUCAGAUAAAUACAAUGGGUUAUGGGAGUUGGCAAAAUGGCCUGAUUUGGUCUAAAAGAAAAGAGUUCUAUCGGAUUUAACAAUUAGCCAACUUUGAUAAACUAGUGAAUUCGACUAAAAAUUAAAUAAGACGAAUUAAUAUAAUUAACUAACGAGCUUCUUAAUCUUAACGAAAUAAAAUAAUCAACUUAAUUAUUAGUCAAUUUGAAUAACUCAAAAUUAUGACUAUAAAUACUACCAAACUAUAUUAAUAAAAUAUUCAUUUUAACAAAGUAGAAAUCUUUUGAAUAUGAUUUUUAAAUAUUAUAAAAUGUACUAAUCAUAUAUGUAAUUAUAUGAAAUAUAUUUAUCAUUCAAAAUGCUAUAAAAGUCGAUUGAAAUUAUUCAACUAACCUUGAAAUUAUUUAAAUUUUGUAAAGCUAAUUAUUCUAAAUCAUUUAGAAUUUAAGAAGCUCGAUGAUUAAUUUAUAUUGUGGAGGUCCAAAAAUUGGGUGUCAACACUUGCCUUCUUGACCAUGUAGUCUACUAGCUCAUUAGUGAGAGACACUGUGGCCAAGGUCUCGAUGCAACAUAUGUUUGUCGAUGUCUGAGGAAUGCGUCCAUCAAAAGAUGCAACAGGUUCAACAUGUACAUGCUUUAGCCUUGGCAUAUUCCAGAUGGUCAUCGGUAAAAUUGUGCCACUGCCUACUGUUAUUACAAGCAAUACCUCUAGGUUUGAAAGGUUCGAUAUCCAUAAUGGCAUAGAUACCAUAUAGCCUUUGAUUCCUAAGUACUUCAAAUGGAUCAGCUCUUUUGAUCUCUGGAAUGAACUCUCCGACAUAGUACAUUCCAUUUGUAGUACUCUUAAUAGUUUAAAGUUCUCAAGAUCAAGAAAUUCCUGGCAGCCAGAUUUCGGGGGUCUGAAGAAUGCAGAUCGAACUUGCAUGUUUCCAAUCUUCCCUGCCCAAUAAAGGCUAUGAUGAAUGCAAAGCCUCCGGUGCUCAUAAAAGGAACUAGACAAAUCAGUCUUCCCGGUGCUUGUUAGUUGCAUAAACUUCUCUUCCUUAGACUUUGUCACGCAAAAAUCAUGUAACAUAUCAUGAAUGCGGCAUGUUCUGACUCCUCCAGUGGACUUUCUCUUGCUCACCAUUAUCAAGCUUCUACCGAUGAGAUCAUUCAGUAAAAUUUUUGCAUCGAGCCCUAUGUUUGGCACCAAUCCCUCGAUAGUCCAUAACCAUGCCAAGUUUGAGAGUGGAAUUUCUUCAUCCUCCUGAAAUGAUGCAAAAUAUAGAAAGCAGGGUUUGAGAUGAUCUGGCAUGUGCUUGUAGCUCAGUUCUAUAACCUCCAUGCACUCUUUUGCACUAGUAACAGUAUCUAACUUUAUACUUUCUGCGAUUCUUCUCCAACUUUCCUCAUUUUCGCUUAUCCCAGACAAAACUCCAGCAACCAAAAUCACAAGGAGAGGUAGUCCUUUACACUUACUUGCGAUGUUUGCUCCUACUUUUGAUAGGUCAGGCGGGCAAGUUUGUUCCUUGAACAGCUUGAUUCUCAUUAGUUCCCAACUUUCAUUUUCGUCAAGGAAACGAAGGUGAAGAGGUGCUCUAUCAGGUUUAAUUUUUGAAGCCACAUCGCUGAGUCUGCUAGUUAAUAAAAUCCUGCUUCCGUUAUUAUCAUCCGGUAAGCAUCUUCUCAAGUAUUUCCAUGUCUCAACACUCCAUAUGUCAUCAAUGUAGAGAAGGUACUUCUUUCUUAACAGAAAUUUCCGCAAAGCAUCUUCUGGAUUUUUCUCAUUCUGUUGGUUAGAGCCUUUGACUUGAUUCAAAAUUCCGAGCGGCAACUUUCUUCUGUCAUAAGUUUGGGAAACACAACACAUAGCUUGGAUGUCAAAAUGACGCUGCAUUUUCUCAUCAUGAAAAACUUUCUUUGCUAGUGUAGUUUUUCCAAGACCAGGCAUCCCUACGAUAGACACAACAUCCAAGUUCUUUGGUCCUAUAGUGAGCUGUUCGAUUAGCAAGUCAGUCUCAUCCUUAAAACCCACCAUUACCUCAUCAAGUUGUGUAGUCUCAACUACUUGUCUGACAGGAUUUGGUGUUUGUUCUUCAAUAGGGCCUUCAACUUCUUGCGUAAUCGUAGCAUGGAACUCUUUCAAAUGAUCCCUUACAACCUUAGUUUCUGUUGUGAUCUUACAUAACAAAUGUAGAUACCAAACAGGAUAAUCUCCGGUAACCAGGCAAUCAAUUAUGCAUUCUGCCUGGUAUGCUAGAGAUAUGACUUCUGUCCAUAGAUCAUGUUUCUUCACCUCCUCAAACUCAUGUUUUUUCUUCUCAACUUCCUUCAAGAAGUAUCUUAAGAGAUAUAACUCUUCCCGAGCUUCUUCAAUAUGAUGCUUGACAACAGAAUCACACUUUCCGUCUUGCAGCAGCUCUUUNNNNNNNNNNNNNNNNNNNNNNNNNNNNNNNNNNNNNNNNNNNNNNNNNNNNNNNNNNNNNNNNNNNNNNNNNNNNNNNNNNNNNNNNNNNNNNNNNNNNNNNNNNNNNNNNNNNNNNNNNNNNNNNNNNNNNNNNNNNNNNNNNNNNNNNNNNNNNNNNNNNNNNNNNNNNNNNNNNNNNNNNNNNNNNNNNNNNNNNNNNNNNNNNNNNNNNNNNNNNNNNNNNNNNNNNNNNNNNNNNNNNNNNNNNNNNNNNNNNNNNNNNNNNNNNNNNNNNNNNNNNNNNNNNNNNNNNNNNNNNNNNNNNNNNNNNNNNNNNNNNNNNNNNNNNNNNNNNNNNNNNNNNNNNNNNNNNNNNNNNNNNNNNNNNNNNNNNNNNNNNNNNNNNNNNNNNNNNNNNNNNNNNNNNNNNNNNNNNNNNNNNNNNNNNNNNNNNNNNNNNNNNNNNNNNNNNNNNNNNNNNNNNNNNNNNNNNNNNNNNNNNNNNNNNNNNNNNNNNNNNNGCAUUUUCUCAUCAUGAAAAACUUUCUUUGCUAGUGUAGUUUUUCCAAGACCAGGCAUCCCUACGAUAGACACAACAUCCAAGUUCUUUGGUCCUAUAGUGAGCUGUUCGAUUAGCAAGUCAGUCUCAUCCUUAAAACCCACCAUUACCUCAUCAAGUUGUGUAGUCUCAACUACUUGUCUGACAGGAUUUGGUGUUUGUUCUUCAAUAGGGCCUUCAACUUCUUGCGUAAUCGUAGCAUGGAACUCUUUCAAAUGAUCCCUUACAACCUUAGUUUCUGUUGUGAUCUUACAUAACAAAUGUAGAUACCAAACAGGAUAAUCUCCGGUAACCAGGCAAUCAAUUAUGCAUUCUGCCUGGUAUGCUAGAGAUAUGACUUCUGUCCAUAGAUCAUGUUUCUUCACCUCCUCAAACUCAUGUUUUUUCUUCUCAACUUCCUUCAAGAAGUAUCUUAAGAGAUAUAACUCUUCCCGAGCUUCUUCAAUAUGAUGCUUGACAACAGAAUCACACUUUCCGUCUUGCAGCAGCUCUUUUAGAUAGCGUAAGAGGGAAUCGAUGAACCCCAAUCCAUUUGUCCUAGGAAAAUUACAUUUUGAUGACACUACAUCUUUCAAAAUCACAUCUUUUAGAUCUUCCAUGACAUGCUCAAUCUUUUUUAACAAGUCACUGAAUACCGAGUUAACUUCUGCUGCUUUGUCAACGGAGAAAGAGAAAGCAGCAGAUACUACCUCAGCAAUCAGACCUUCAAUGCAAGUAAGUUUGUCACUCAUUUUUUCCUGGAUAACAUAUAAAUCUUCAGGUGGAGAAAUGAGCAAAGUUAUCAAUUGCUUUGAUGCUUCGGCAAGGCUUUUGAUUUGAUCCUUUUUAAGAGGAAGCAUCAAAGAACAUGCCUCACCGUCUGAUAACUCCAACAAAUCCUUGAAGAUGAAAUGAACAAAACCUUCAACAAAUUCUAUCACAUCCCGGCUGUAUUGGAUUUGCAAUUUAACUGAACCUCUUAGAGCUCCAGUAUAGAUUUCUGCAACGUCCGGAUCAAUGGGCUUGAUAUCUUUCAAAACAUGAGAGAUUUGUAGUGUCAACACAGAUGCUGAAUCUCCAUCCAUUUCUUCCACAUAACAAAGGUAACAUAUGUAUGCAGCAUUCACUGUGAUGCCCUCUAUAUGAUUAAAAAGAAUGUUGGAUUUCUCUAGCUCCAUGCUUGCAUCUUUUAUGAAAUUGAGGAAGGUUUUUAGAUAUUUUAGACUUUCUUCAAGGACUUGAAACUCUUUCUUCAGAAGUACAAACUUGUCGAAAUCUUUCUUGUUGAUGAGAAGAUCCUUCACAUUCUGAAGGAUGUGCUCAAUGAAUUUCUGAAACACUGGGCUGCAUAAAUUUGGUAAAGGCCACCUCCCUGGAACCAAUGAAAGGAGAAACUCAUAACCUUCUUUGACUUCAGCAGAAGAUAAGUCUGCCCUUGGUCCCGAGACAGUGUCACCGACUUGCAUUCCAUGUCCGCGCAAUCUCCCCUCCUUAAUCCUUCCUUUUUGAGUUGCCCAAAACAAAAAAGUACCAAGAAAUCUCCUCUCUAUUUCAGACAUUUGUUUUCCAGCAGAAUUUCCUCAGAGUGGAUAUAUGUCGACAGCUCUGCAAGCAAAGAGAUUAAAAGCAAAUCACAUUCUAGGACAAACAAGAAAUUAACACAAAAUUCCUUUAUAUGUUGAUUGCACUCUUCCUCUUGUAUCAGAACAUUAUGCUUGAUUGUAACUAACAAACAGAUAAUAUUUAAGAAAAAGAUGUGUGUGAUCACAAAUAACAAAAACUGUUUGGUUGCACUAAAUGUUUUCUGGAAAAUGUGAAGUUAUAUCUGAAAGUCACAAUGCAUACUCUUAACUCUACACAACUAGGGGAAUGGGGAAAAAAGUCACCAGGAAAAACAAUAACAGAAAAAGAACUGGUUCCAAAGAGUUCUGAUUGUCUACUACUUACUUUUGCCUAAACUAGUUACCCUUUGUUAAUCCAAGCAAGUGAAAUUGUACUGAUACUAGGGUCAACCUUCAAUAUUUCCUAGCGAAUUGUCACGAUUUGUUUUUUUGAUGCUCAGGACAAAAUAAUGACUUCAUAUAUCAAUGCUACUUAUGUGAUUUUGAUUGUCAGGAAGUUUGCUUCAAAAUAGUUAUUACUAUAUAAAUAUUGUCUUUUUGUUUUUCUUAUUUACUAUUUCUUAAUAUUUUCAGUAUUUUAGACGAAGAAAGGUUCAUAUGACUUGUAAUAACGCUAGUUGUAAGUUUGUAUUAGUUUAAUACUUAUUAUUUAUUUAAUAGCUAAUUUUUAUGCUAUAAAUAUUUUUAUUAAUGCAAAUCUCUCUCUCUCUCUCUAAAUAUAUAUAUAUAUAUAUAUUUGGGUAGAUAUUUGUAUUUAAAUUAAUGUAUUAUAUAUGUCACGACUCACAAAUGUAUUAUCAAGUUAACAAAAUCUUCUAACUUCAAUAUAUAUUAUUUUAAAAUGUUCCGAGUUCUUUUUUUAAAAAAAAAAACUCACAACAAAUGUGAAAAUAUGUGAACAUAUAUGAAUCAUUUAAAAUUUAUCAUUUACAAAGUACAUUUUUUAUUCAGUAAUAUGGAAUAAACAUUUUCAUUUUUCCCUACACUAAAUUAAAAUCUAAUAACUAUAAAAAAAUAGUAACAUUAAUUAAAAUCCUAUUUAUUUAUGUAAGUAUAUAAUCUAUUAGAAAUUCAGCUAUUGCACAUUAAUUCUUUAGUUAUAACAUUAUAAAUUCUCUUCGUUAUUACCAAUUAUUGCAAACGUUAUUCACACUCUUUUACAUUCUUUAGUUAUAGUAUUGUGAAUUCUCAUAGUUAUUACAUUAAUUAUUUCUAUCUUUCAUCUUUCCUUAUAUUAACUGUUGACCAAUAAUUUUUUAUAUUAUUAUACAACCCCUAUAUAUGUGAUAACACGGUGUUAUUUUUCCUUGGAUGAAUUAUGCUUAGUUGAAUAAAUUGAAAAUCGUUUACAAGUAUAUGAACUAUAUCUUUGUUGGGUGUAAGAUAAACAUGUGAUUAUAUAUAUGAUUUCACAGAUAGAAUAUAUUCUUUAAUUUUAAUUUUUAGUUUUACCGGUAAAAAAAAGGAAACUUUUCUCAGUUAACUAUGGACAGUCAGAUAACUAUCUUUGAUUUAUGUACACAAUCAAUCGAGAAGUCAAAUAUGAGAACCAACAACAAGAACGUCAGCUAUUAUGCUAUAACUUAUAAAAUAAAAAUUAAUAUACAAAAAUAGUUCUAAAAAAUAAAAUUUUGUUGUUUUCUUCACAUGUUCAUAUGACAUCUAAACAGUUUAACAUGGAAUACAUGUGCAAAACACAUCUAGUUUGACAAGAAAAUACACAACAAAUAUCGUUUAUAAGGUAAUAUUAGUGAGAUACGACUAAUUACAUGAUUAAACCUCAUCAAAUUAAAAUAAAUAUAUACAUUAUUGCAUUUAACAAGUUAGUCAGAAAUAGCUCUAAGGUCACGACUCGGUAUCAUAUUAGAUCAUUGACAUCCCACAUUACCUUUUCAUUACUACUAAAUACCAACUGCCUAUAUAGAAAAUUAGUUCACAGCCCUGCUUUUCGCCAACUUCAGAAUUUUGGAAAUAGAAAGGAGAGUUGACCUUACCUUAAUCAACGGAGUAUAUAAUAUUGAUCUUGGAGAAGUGUCUACGAAAUUUACCUUUUCGUAUGGUAGGAAAGAUGGUUUUUCUAUAUAUAUGUUCAUUUUUUCUUACACAACUCCAUAGCAGCCGUUUCUCUCUCUAAUUAGAUCAUUGAAAUAUCUCAUGAUUUACGGAAGAAAGUCCUCAUUUGCUGCUACCAAUUUCACCACUUUGUCAAACAUCAGUUAAUUGGCAAAGAAAAGUCAAAUAAGACAAAGUUAAACAUUAUUCUUGUCAUUGAUUUCACUCAUGAUAUUAUUAGUAUAGAAAGCAGAAUGAGGUAUACCAGUCGUAUAAAAAAAUAGUCUGGUAAGAAAAAUAGAGCGUUAGCGAUCAUCUGUUAUCGGAACUAGCAAUAUGGAUCCUAACUCAUUAGCUCUUAAGCUAGCCAACUUGUAUAGGUGUUUCAGUACUAAUUCCCAUUUGACAGAGAAUUUAAACUUGUUUGUUGAAUUAAUCCAACAUAUUGACGCUGAAGCAAUAGUCCAUUACAUUGAUAUAUUACACCCUAUGUUCCUAAACACGUUGAAUGAUUCCCUGGUUAAUCUAGACGUGAAGAUCACUGCCCUGACGGCGAUGAGUAACUUCAUUCAACGGGUGGGGAGUUCAAAAGAUAGGGAGAGGUUUCAGGAUCUGUUGCCUGCGAUGAUGGACUUGCUGAAUGAGGCAUUGGAUAAAAAAUGUGAGGCAUCAGCGCAGUCUGAGUUCGAGAUUUUGAUCGAGUUGGCCAAGAAUGAGCCUAGCUUCUUCAGGAUGCAGCUUGUGGUUGUGGUGGGCUCCAUGUUUGAUAUAGCUGAAUGUGAGAGUUAUGAAAAGAAAACGAGACAUUUGGCGGUUGAAUUCGUGAUGACUUUGGUUGAGGCCAGGGAGAAGACCCCUGGCAUGAUCAAGAAGUAUCCAUUGUUUACUGAAAAAUAUUUUGCAAUUUUAUUGAAUUUGUUAGAGGAUGAGGUUUAUGACCCUCUCUUGCCUGAUCCUUAUGAUAUAUGGGAUAGAAAUGAUGAUUUCGUUUUUCUUAAGAUGUGUUUACGGCGGUUGUCCAAUGCGCUGGGUGGUAAGACUGUUGGUCCUGUUGCCUUUGAGCAGCUCCGUGCUCACUUGGCUGACGACUCGUGGCAGAAGCCAUGCGCAGCACUCUAUGCACUUGCUCAGAUUGUUGAAGGCUGCUCAGAGGUGUGUAUUUAUUGAUACACUACUAAGAAUUGCAUUUAAACUGAUUAGUUAACGAUCUUGGGAUAGCAGAAGGUCACCUUGAUUAUACUUUCUUCUGUUAUUCUCUAGACUAAGUACUUUGCUUGCUCUCAUCUCUUCUUCAUUAUAAUAGGUGAUGAUUAAGAAUAUGAAUCUAGUGGUGACAAUGGUUCUGGAUUGUAUGGGACAUCCUCAUCCUGGAGUCAGAUUCACCUCCAUGGAAGCAGUUCGCGAGUUUUUGAGUUUCAUGUGUCCCCAUUUUCAAGAACACUAUCAUCAGCAAGUAGUGCCGGCAUUAAUUAAAGCUAUGGAUGAUGACAGUGUACAAGUGCAGGUCUGUUUGUCCUACGAUGAUAUGAAUUCCUUUGGAUGCUAGUAUCAUUUGUCCCAAAUUACAGUUGCAAAAUUUUCUUACUGAACCUUCUCAAUGGCCUUAACUUUAACUUUAUUAGAUAUAAUCCCUGCUCUAACUUUACUAUCUUCAUAUUUUCCUUCACGUUGGCAUGACUGAAUAUUUGACACUUUACAUCCAUGGAUUACACAAUAAAUUGCUUCAACUGUCGUCACAUACUGUUGAGAAGGUACGUAUUGUAGACUAAGUGCAAGAGAAAUCAGAUCAUUUUCUUGAACAAUGAACAGACAAUAUUACGAAUACAUUAAGGGAAACAACCAUAAUUUCCAAGUUCCCAAUAUAAUUAUCCCGCCGUCCUUUAUAAAUUCAAAGUUUGUUACUCCCUUGAAUGUCCUUGAGGUCUUUACUUGCCUGAUAUAUUUUUGUUUUUGACAUGAAAGGUCCAAUUAUCAGCGUCAGCUGCACUCGAACUUUUGGCUAAGCAUUUUAAGGUAUUACCUAGUAAUUCUGCUUCAACUUUUAUUAAGAGUAUGUUGUAUUUAAGCCUGGUUUUUAUAUAUAUAUUAAUAUUAACAUUACUUCAACAGGAGUUCUAUGGGAACAACUACGAAUCUAAUAAACCACUUUGGAAAGCUUCCCUGGUAGAAGCAAAUUUUCCAAGUAAAGAUGUAGAGAUGAUCAUGUCAGUGCACGAACCUGGCAGUUCGGUACUUCCGAAACAGGUCUUCCACCAGUUAUACCAAAUGGAUUCUAUACAUCUCACUCAACUUAGAGCUUAUUGUUUAUUCGUUUUCUAUUUUUCUGUUGUUGACAUAAUGUCACUUUAAGAUUAUGGAAGCAAUUAUGUCAUUACAAGGAUCACAAGAGGAUGAUAAGGAUACAAGUACGAUCUACAAGCUAAAGGUAUGUGUUGUUGAGAAUAUCGUUAACUAAUAAAAUGGUGUUCUCUCUAAUAGCUUAAGCUUUUAGAUGAGAUGGUCACACACUUCANNNNNNNNNNNNNNNNNNNNNNNNNNNNNNNNNNNNNNNNNNNNNNNNNNNNNNNNNNNNNNNNNNNNNNNNNNNNNNNNNNNNNNNNNNNNNNNNNNNNNNNNNNNNNNNNNNNNNNNNNNNNNNNNNNNNNNNNNNNNNNNNNNNNNNNNNNNCAGGCAGAGGCCCUGGGAUCAAAUCUCUUCGCCACCCAAAUUAAAAAGAAUUUCCACGUGCUAAUCAGUCAGAAAUUCUUUCAAGAUUGGUCUUUCUAUAUUUCUUGAUCUCAUUCCAGGUUGUCACACUUGGACUUCUCUCUUUUUCUUUCUUUCUACCCGUGCUUUUGAUCGCGAACUGAAAAUUUAACAAGUGGUUUCAAUGGCCUAAUGCUUGAUAAAUGAUACAGACUGCUUCAAUUUUAUUUCCACUUUUGAAAUUCCAUUUCAAAGAGGUCAGGUUCCAUACAGUUGAAGGUGAGAUUUCUCAGGAUUUCACAUAGUUAAUUUCUCCGUCUUUUAUAACUAUCUGAUCACCGCCAAGACUUUUUAAUUUGUAAUGUUUAUAGCGAUGAAGCACCUUUUGCAAUCUGCUAAACUGGCUGAUGAGAAAGGGAUUGCUCCAGGUGAAAGCCAUUCGGAUUUCAAGCAGUUUUCGGACAGUAUAAUACUGAAUUUGGUGGAAGCUUUGCAUGAGGUUUACUUUUAACAUUAAGCUUCUUCUUUUUGGAUAAUGAGAAAGUAACACUUUGAUUUCUAUAUAAUGCAGGAGCUUGAAACAGAGAUAUAUGCACAUAUGUUGAAUACAUUACGACUGUGCCUUCAGGUUCGUGAUCUUUAAACACUGCUUAUUUGUUUUGAUCCAAAGUUUUCAGUGUUUCACUAUGAGCUAGGUAUGAAGUUUUUGGAACUGUUGCCUUUAAGUCUAUUGCUUAAAAUGUUCCAUUAGUAUCAUCAAAGUGAGAAACUAGCAAUGGUGACAAAAAUCGAGUUAGAAUGGCAAAAUAGGAUUUUUCAGGUUGUAUAUGGUCCUUGUGUUUCUUCUUUCAGAUAUGUGGACCACUUCUCAAUGAAGAUCAGCUUCGUCCAGUCGUGGAUGAGAUAAAGCAUGUCAUUACAGAAAAUUUAAAUAGCCAAGGAAAACUCACAGAGAGAGAAAAAACAGAAGACUUCGAUGCUGAGGAAGCUGAAUUGCUGAGAGGGGAAAAACAUCAACAAGAUCAAAUAUUUAAACUUGUAUGUUCUAUAUUAAAACAGGAACUAAAGUGAUACACUGUUGUCUUUAUAUAUUCAAGCAUUUUCGCUUUGGUUCUGCUGUUAUUCUUGAACAGGCUGGUGGCAUAUUAGGUAGACUAAUCGAAUCAUUCAAGGUUGUUUUCUUGCCUUACUUUGACGAGCUAUCAUUAUAUCUGAUUCCGAUGUGGGUAAGUUCAUUGACACUAUUGUAACAUGACGUUAGUUUAUCAUUAUUCAUAUCUAGCAUAUCUUAUUGUUUCCGAUUUUUGUUAAGGACAAAGAAAUGACAAGUCUAGAGAGAUGUACAUCACUUUAUAUCUUUGGUGGUCUUGUGAAGCAUUGCUCUGAAGCAGCUCUAAAGUGAGUUUAAUUUAUCUGUAUGAGUUUUUCUUAAAUUAUUGGGGUGUCACCAUUUUGAUAAAUCACUUACUUCCUAUGCCAACUAGGUACUGUAAUGAAUUUCUACCUUUGCUUCUGAAAUCAAGCAAUGACGAAAACCCAGCAGUUAGACAGGUUUGGAUCAUCGUGAUUGCUUACAUUCCUGUUACUCAAGUUGGUUGCUCACAGUAUGGUUUAACCAAAACACCAAUGACUUCAUGUUCAGAAUGCUCUACAUGGACUUGGGUUUUAUGCAGAAUAUCAUGGUUCUGUUUUCAAACCUUUUGUUAGAGGUAUUAAUAUUGUUGAAUGUGAUACUUCUAAUCAAGCAAGUGUUUUUGUUAACUUACGCGUUUAUGUUCAGAGGCUAUGUCACGGAUCAAUGUAGUGAUAAUGCAUUUACGUGCUCGUGAACCUGAGAAUGAACUUGCAUAUGAUAGUGCUGUUUUUACCCUUGGUAAAAUAUUUCAGUUUCAUCGAGAACUUAUCGACUCAGCCCAGGUUUGUCCUUCUCAGAAUCCCUAAUGUUAAGUCUUGUUAUAAUUUCUGAUUCUGAAUCCUUGUGUAGGUCAUUCCCAUUUGGUUGAAUUGCCUGCCUGUAAAAGGUGACUAUGUUCAUGGUCAACUAUGUUCCAUGGUUGAAAGGUAUUGGAUUUGUUUGCAAACUCUAAUAUAUAUCUUCAUAAAAUGCAGGAUUAUUUUAUCCCACGUUUAGUUGAAAGUAUUAUGUAAUCAUAAGACUAUUUAUCCCACCAUUUAUACCUUAGUGAUGUGAUAAGUUAUUUCAUUCCGAAAUAGUUGAUGUCAGGAUAACUUAUUCCAAACCAAAUGACCCAUUAAUGAUUUAUCAAAUUUUCUCAAUUUCAGGUCAGAUAGAGAACUUUUGGGUACCAAUUAUGAACACUUCCCAAAAAUUAUGUCAAUUUUUGCAGAGGUUAGUUCCAUAUCAGAAUCUAUAGAUGCCAGUUUGAGUUGUUUAUUUGCUCCUGAUAAAUAUUAAAUGAGAUAAGUAUUGAAAACAUUCCUAAAUUAGGUGUAAAUUAUUAAUUUCAUAAUCGAACUAUUGACAAUCUUAAAAACACUCAUUUCUUUGACUAACUAAACUUACACUUCUGAUCUUGCAACAUGACCGAAAUACAUCCCUAAUUUAGGGGUGCUUUCAACACUCCUCUAUGAAAUGUGGCAGAUCAAAGAUGUAUCUAAGUUUAAUCUAGUCAAGUAGAGAUGUGUUUUUAAGACUAUCAAUAAUUCAAGAACGAAACGAACAAUUUGUGUCAAGUUUAAGAGUGUUUUUGAAUCAAACUAAAGACUUUUUUUAUUCAAUUUCGUAUAGUUAAUUUAGUUUCACUUUUUAAGGUUAUAUGUGGUGGAAAACAUCUUGCUACAGAAGAAACAACAAAGUGUAUGAUUAAUCUGUUGAGGAAUCUUCUUAAAGAACUACCACCAGACACUUUGACAUCAGCAUGGUCAUUGAUAUUGCCUCAGCAAGAAAUGGAACUAAAAGCCAUUUUAUUUCCUGGAAUACUUCAUGUGGUACGUUUUCACAACAAAACAUUUUGUAUGCUUGACACUGAUACCAAUGAAAGCUCUCCCCCUUACUCUUUACCAUCCAAAAUUGUCAAACUUCUUGAGGAAGAACACCAGAAAAAUAGUAUUAUUGUUCCACAAAUGUAACUUAUAAACCAUAAAUUGUAUCUUUAAUUAAGUUUUGUAUCAUUUAAGUAUACAAGAUGAUACUAUAGUUGAUUUGUGGGGAAUUGAAUAUGUAAUUAUCAUUAGAUUAUCUAUUUUAUAUCUUUUUACGAUUUAUCUAUCCAUUAGGAAUUUCUUUAUUUUAAUUUUUCAUAAGUUGAAAUUCAUAUUGUGGCAUAUAAUAAUAAUUAUUUAUUCAAAUUAAACAAGUCAAACCUUAAGGACCUAAAAUCUAAACCUGACGGCAUAAACCAUAAACCUUGAGGGGUCGUUUGGUGUGAAAGAUAACUUUAAAUAGUCCUGCGAUUAAAUUAUAAUGUCACUAAAUUUGUUGUUUGAUUGGCAAUUUCGUGAUAACUUAUCUCGUGAUUAAUAAUUAAUACAAGGAUAAAUUAUCCCUUCCCUUGGAUGGUACAAUAAUCCCAAGACAAUUUAUCACGAGAUAAAAUGACUAAAUGACAAAAAUAUCCCUUUAAAUACUUUUUAUACAUUACUUUUCAUAUUCAUGAACUGUAUUUUUGUAAGCAUAUAUGUUGUUCUUAAGAUUUAUUAUUUUGAAUAUAACAAACCAAAAAUUCAAUAAAAAAUAAUAUCAAUAUAACUUAUCACAUCAUCACUAAUUCCAUCAUAACUUGAAUUCAAACCAAACGACUUCACCUUAGAGCCCAAAAAAUAAACUCAAAACUCAAAAUCAUAAACCCUAAACCUUAAACCUUAGGCCUCAACCUUAAAGUCUAAACCAUAAACCCAAAACUCAAAAGCUUGGGGCCUAAAACCUAAGAUUUAGGAUUUAUGGUUUAGGAUUUAGGAUUUAGACUCUAAAAUUUAUAUUUUAGGGGUUAUAGUUUAUAGUUUUGACUAUAAGAUUUAGGAUUUAAGAUUUAUAAUUUUAGAGUUUAGGCCUUAUGGUUAAGUGUUUAGAGAUUAAGAUUUAUAAUUCAUGUAUAAAUUAAACUAUAGGGUUUAGACCCAAGGUUCAUAUGGUUUUAUGAUUUGUCAAAAGCCAAUUUGAGGUCAAUCUCUAAGCACAAUUGAACCAAACCCAUUUGAACCCAAAAUAAAUUUGAAUGGAUUGAUCAACUUCGUGAUUUUUUUCUACACUUUUGACUCUUCAUCACCUUUCUACAAUUACAAUUGUUUCACAAAUCCUUUUUUUAAAAUCUUUCAAACAUAAUUAUAAAAAAUAUCCAUUCUAUUUCCUAAUCCCUUUCAUAAAACAAAUAAUCAAAAUAGCCUCAGAAGGAAGGCAGUAGUAUAGUCGUAAUCAUGAUUUUGAUCAUUAACGCAAAACUACUUCAUCAUCGGCAAAAAUUAAUAAUAAUUAAAAGAAACAAAUAAACAAUAAUCGUUGUAAUGCUUGAAAGUUUUGCAAUUUACUUUAUUCAAAAAAAUUUACUAUUGAUUUUGAUAAUGUAUUUCUCAAAAUUGUUGUGUGAAACAUAGGAGUAAAAUUUUGACCAACAAUAAUUUUGACAUAAGUAACAUACAUCUAAACUCUAAAUUAGAAAUAAAUGAAGUGAGCAUAAUCUUUAGGACUUAAAACCUAAAACCUUUUUAAGUCAUAAAUCCUAAAACUUGAUAACUUAAACCCAAAACUCUAAACCUUAAACUCUAAACCUUAAACCAUAAAACUUAAAUCAUAAAAACUUAAAUCCUAAAAUUUAUGAUUUAUGAUUUACUAUUUUAGAUUUAGAAUUUAAAAUUUAGAGUUUACAGAAUAUGGUUAAGUGUUUAAAGUUUUAUAGUAUAAGAUUUAGGCCUUAAAAUUUUAACAACUAGGCCCUAAAAUUUAAUAUUAAAAAUACUGCAUUUGAACAUAGUAAUAAAUAAUAAUGUAGUACCCCAACGUCCAAAUACACCACAAAAAUUAGAUGCAAAGGAUAGCGAGGGGAACAUUUUUUAUAGCUUCACUUGCUAAAGUAUCACACUAUAAAAGUGUAAUCCACAAAAUAUAAUUAGCAAAGCAUAGUAUAAUUAACAACAUAUUCAAUAAAAUCCUGCAAAUCUACGUAAACCUUAUCAUUAUCUCAUAAAAAAUAAAAUAAAAUAUGAAAACAACUCAGUCCCUUAGAUGUUCAAUUAAUUGCGAUCAUCUUCGCAAAUCAUUACAGGUCUGUAACUGUAAAAAAUUAAUCAUCAUUGUUGUUUUCAUAUACAAUGAUUAGAAUAAAAUAUAUAUAAAAAAUUUUGAUGAACAAACUCAGUCCCUUAGAUGUUCAAUUUUUUGCGAUCAUUUUCGCAAAUCAUUACAGGUCUGUAACUGUAAAAAAUUACUCAUCAUUGUUUAUUCAUCAAAAAAAUUUAAAAAAAAUUGUAGCUGCUCCAAUUGUUCUCCACAGAUUAAAUUAAAUGAAGAGAAAGAUGAAAAAGGAACAACACACUUACUAUUGCUUCAAGGGAACGAGUUGGUCAAAAAUAAAUUAUUUCUUGCCAACCAGAUUAAAGAAGCAUAUAACUCAAAAUAUAUACACAUACACACAAAAAUAAAUAAAAUAAAUUUGGAAUUUAGAAGAUAUCACCAUUGUUGAAGAUUUCAAUCUGCAGAUUCAGAGGAAGGGUAAUUGUUGUGUUAUAUUGCAGCUUAGUGGUUCUAUUUAUAUAGUUGAGUGAGAUGAAGCUAGGGUUUUGGGGAGUGGGCUUUUAACAUGGUCAUGAAGUCAUGGCCCAAACGUAUGAAGCCCAUUUAUUUUAAACCCUGUUGGGUUGUCUUUUAAGGGGUGGUUAGGUAGCUGGAUAAGAACUUCAUGUAUUAAUUUUCGUAUAAUUUAUAGGCAUAAUACAUAAACAUGAUUUUUAACUUGGUUUCAGCGGAUAACUAUGCCCUCCAACUUUGAGUAUGCACAAGUAGACACUUAAACUUGUAUAAAAUUGAAUAAGUAGACACACGUGUCUUACAUGGCAUAAUGUAUGUAGGAUGUCAUGUAGGACACAAAAUUUCCAUGUAGGGUGUCAUGUAGGAUAGAUGUGUUUAUUUGUUCAAUCUUAUACAAGUUUAAGUGUCUACUUAUGCACAUCCAAAGUUAAAGGUCAUAGUUACCGGCUGACGUCAAGUUAAGGGUCAUGUUUAUGUAUUAUGCCUAAUUUAUAUGAUGUUUUGUAGGUCGAUAACAAAUAUGUUAUUUAUGUAUGAAUAAAUACGACGUUUGGUUGACAAAAAUUUAAUAAACUACAUAACUAGUACAUGUAUAAGUUAUGAGGGAAUUUAUGUAUUGUUUUAUUCAGGAUAGAAGGUGAAAUAAUUAUUGUGUAUAACUAAUACAUCACUUACUAAUACUUGCAUAGAAUAUUAAAUUGAUUAACUCAUGAUUAAUCUCUACAUUACUAAUAACUGUAACUAGCUAUCAAACGACCCAAAUGUGAUAUUAUUUAGUACUUUGUUAGGUACAAAUUUUGAGGUUAUGUAUAAUUAACUAGCACUGCAUAUGGAGUAUUAUAGUAUGCAUAACUAAUACACUCCCAAGUUAGAUUGCUUGAAGUUCAUGGGGUGAAAAAUAUACAAAAUUCAUACACCAAAAAAAUAAAUUUGUAUAUUUUAAGAAAGGGAAAAUGGUUCGAAAUAUAUCUGAACUUUGACCGAGAUUGUUGUAACAAUCCCAAACUUUGGGUAGGACCUAUUACCCCUGAAUUAUUUAAUAAUAUAUUUUAAAAGAUAUAUAAGUGUUCACGUGGACAUCAUAAAUAUUGCAUCAUAAUAAAUAGUAACUUGUUCAGUUGGACACUUAUAUAUUUUUAAAAUACACUAUUAAAUAUUGCACGAGGAUAUUUGGUCCUGCCCAAAAUUUGGAAUUGUUACACUAAUUUCGGUCAAAGUUCAUAUACAAAAGUUUAAGACCAAACCUUAGAUACUUGGUCUAAGGGUUUCACAUAAGUUAAUUGGGAAUUUCAGACAUAUAAAAAAGAAUGCAACAUUAAGUCCACCAAUAAGGAAUCGCAACGUAUAUGUUGUCUUUACUUUUGGAAAUCGUUGUUGUCCUAAAUUUCAUUUGUUUUUCGUUGAAGAAGACAUGUUAUAUAAUAUAUACUAUAUCAACUUGACGUUAUAAAAGGUAAUCAUUCUUCUUGGUACUUAAAUUUAAAGGGUCAUUAACAUAAUAAUCCUAAAUUUUGGAUUUAUAUUUAUGUUUAGGCAUGUAAUACACCAUCUUAUAACUAGCAAGAUUUGUGAAUUGAUGUGACAUUUCUCCAUUUUAAGGCAUCUUUCAACUCAAAUAGAUCCCCAAUUUAGUACUAUAUAUUCCCAACUACUUUUCCUUUUGAGUCGAGCGUUUAACAAAUUCCAUUUAUACUUUGUAGUAUAAUUCCCAACUAACACAAAAGCUCCCAUGUUUUUCGUAUAUGUGGAGCUACAAUUUUGAGUUCAUAGGUUCUGAAUUAAAAAAAAAAAUUUAUUCAGUAAAUUUUUAAAUGUAAAUACAUAAUAUAAUUUGAAACUAUCGAAUUCUAAUAAACUUGUAGCCCUAGAUUAGAAACCUAGUAGGUUUAGUUGUUGUUGUUCAAGUUAUAAAAUGAAGCGUGCAACCAAAAGAUUCUAAUAUUGUACCUACUAUAGUCUCCAUGAAACUAACAUUAUACUUAUUGGAUGAUUUUUUAUUUUUUAUUUUGAAAUUUUUUUAGAAGUAUGAUAUGUAUCCAAAUGGCAGAUUUUAGAUAACCAAAUUAUUUAAGAAAAUGAUGAAAAAGUAAAAUAUAAAUAGCAGGCCAGGUUCGUGAUUGCAACUUAGUUUUAUGGUUGACACAUUACAAAGUUGUCCUAAUUAAUCUACCAAAUAUUAUGCUAUUUUUUGUCAAUAACUAGACCAUAUUUGACUUUUAUUUCUUUUAAUAGUAAUAAUAGUUAUUAUUAUAAUUAUACUAUACAUUUUGUACUUUGUGACAUGGUAUCUAGAAUCAUGUACUGCCUAGCAUGUCUCAAAUUUUUUAUGUUUCUCCCUUGUGAAAUCUUUAAAAUGAUAAUUUUAGAAGAUUUUAUGUAAUUUUUAUUAUUAAUUUUCAUCUUUAGUUGAGUGAGUCAAUCUUUUUUUUUUGUUUUGGAUAUUCAUAUUAAUAUUUUCUUGAAACGAAAGUAAAAAUUGAGACAUUAAAAAAGGUAUAGCCAUUUGAUAUUUGGUAUUUAUCACUCUAACUAAUUCAGAUUUACAUAUCGUUUAAGAUUCAUUAACGAGGAAAAUACUUGUAUUUAAUUAAAGACAAAAGAUAUUAUGUUCAUUUUAUUUUAUUUCUAUUCAUGUAUUCAACGAAAGGUAAGAUCACUCCUUGUCAAGAUAAACAUAGGAUAUCAAUAUGUGCUUUUUGCGGACAUCAAAAAUUAGUUUUAGCGACAAUUAUUAGUGACAAUAGCUUAAUUGUCAUUUUUAGCACUAACACUAUUUUUUAAAUGUCUCUACAAUCUAUAGCAAUAUUGAAUCCAAUGACAAUUAACUAAUGACGAUAAAGACUUUAACACUCGUUAAUGUGUAUAUUUAUUAUUGCUAAAGCUAUUUUUAUUCUAGUGUCAUGGUUUACAAAAUUGACAAAAUGUGCCUUUUAAGGAUAAUAAAUAGGACUUAAAUACAUACAAUGUCAUCAUGAGUUCAUGACUAGAACUUAAGAAAAAAGAAAAAAAAAUCCAUAUACCCUUUAUUAAUUAGACAUAUAGUAGUUGAUAUGUUAGGUAUUUUCAUAAUCCAAAAUAUUAAUUAUUAUUGUUAUUAUAUAUAUAAAAAGAAAAGAAUCUCUAUGAGAUAAAAUGCCAAAAACUAAGGCAUCAUUUCCCACCCCUUUUAACCAAAAAGACAAAGAACGUGCAUAAGUGUGAGACUUGGAGCAAAAAUAUAGCAAAUAUAACAAACUAACAAACACACACAACGAACAUUAAAAUAAUUUUAAACAAAUAUAAUUUGGUUUAAUCAUUCAUCUUAAACAAGUCAUUUUUCCUUCAUGACAUAACAUAUUCCCACAUCUUCUCUCCACAACACACAUUUUCUUUUUGCUUCCAUCCCGUGUUCGAUAUCUGUAUUAAAUCAUCCAUUAAUUCAGAUUCACGUUAAGUACAACUCAUCUAAGUAGAAAAUAAAAGACCCCUAUAAGUAUUUCCCCCCCUAUUUUCAGUGCUCGAACACGAAACUCCUGAUUAAUAGUAGAACGAUCUUAUUAUCCAUCCCAUCACAACACACAAUUUUUUUUUGUUUCCUUCGGUAUUGAUUCAGAUUCACACUAUAUAAAACUCAACGGAGAAACGUAGGAUCCGCAUAAGAUUUUUUUUCUUCUAUUUUCAGUGUUCGAACACAAAACUCCCAAUUAAUAUUAGAACGAUCUUAUCCAUCCCACCAGAACUCUAUGUGGUUCACGCACUUCGAAAUUUCAGUCAACUAAUAAAAGAACAAGAAAAUGAAGACAAGGCUCUCCAUAAACUCCAAAGACUUAUAUAAACAACCUUAACAUUGUCUCAUUUUGUUUAAACAUCUCUCUAUUUCCUCUCCUAUUAGUCCUUUUAACAUCUUUUCCCCCUUCUUAACUUCCAUAUGGAACAACAACAACUACAUAAUUCCAUCAAAAAAUGUAGUCCUAAAGUUCAAAAACAGAGAAAAUUUGUUGGUGUAAGACAAAGACCUUCUGGAAAAUGGGUUGCAGAGAUAAAAAACACAACACAAAAGAUCAGGAUGUGGCUUGGAACGUUUGAUUCUGCUGAAGAAGCUGCUCGCGCUUAUGAUGAGGCUGCUUGUCUUCUCCGAGGAUCAAAUGCUCGAACGAAUUUCCAUAAUCAUGCCCCUCCCAUUAAUCCUGCUGUUUCUAUGAAAAUUAGAAACCUCAUCAACCAUAAGAAAAGCCUCAACAAAAGUACUAGUAGUACCAGUACUAUUUCGACUUCAACAACUACUCAUCAAGAAACUGCAUUAUCUAAUGAUGAUGCAUAUAAGCCGGAUUUGAACUUCUAUAUGGCUGAAAUUGAUCGAGUAGGAUCUUCAAAUUUCGAUCAUACAUCAACAUUUACAAAUGAUUUUGAUACAAUUCUUCUAGAUGAUGAAAAUGUUGAUAACUUUCAUGACGUACCAAAGGAGAUUCUUGAAGAUCAUUCUCAGAUACCUGAAUUUGAAAAUAUGAAAGUUGAAAGACAAAUAUCAGCAUCACUAUAUGCUAUGAAUGGAGUGAAUGAAUAUUGGGACAAUUUUCAUGAUGGUAAUAAUAAUGAUGCUACUUAUUGGGAUCUCCCUAUGCUCUAUCAAAUGUUUUGUCCAAGUUAGAAAUUGCUCCGACUCUUUAAAGAUAUAUCGUUUGGUUGUAUGUUGGAUUUAUCAAAAGCUAUACAUAUUCAGAGGAUUCGAUACUUUCAGAAGGUCUAAGUUAGGAUUGUUUUAGGCCUUUCUCAAAUCUAUUAUCAAAUCAAGCUAUACUCAAUGAAUUUCAAAGUUAUUGAGCAUUUUUAAUAUAUAUUUUUUUGGGUACAUUAGAAAUAAUAUAAUAUUUCAUAAGCUAUGUUGUUUAAAUCUAUCGAGGAAAAAAAAAACUCCAUAUUUUUUAUCGUUCUUUCCCAUACUAACAAAGCUUUAUCAUGUAUGUGACCUUCGUUUUGCCAGAAAGGCAAUACGUUAGUUUGUCUCUUUAGGUGUGUACAAUAUUCAUAUUGUUAAACUUAAAUAAGUAUUUACAAUCUUCAAUAAUAACGAUAAGAAGGUGAUGUUUUAUAUAAAAUUAUCUGCACGUCAAUUAUUUUUAUUGAAGAGUUAUCUUGAUUAUUAGAAUUACUAAUAUUUAAUGCUCCUCCCAAAUAAAUAGAAUAAUUUUGUGUCUAGAAGUCUAAUGAUAAUGGACUACUUUACACUUAUUUUUUUUCUCCCAUUAACUUGGAAAAGAUUCAAAAGCCAACUUAAAUAAAAAAACAACAGCAAAAAUAAGUUAUAAAACUAGAAACCCAUAUAUCAAAUUAAAAAUUAUUUUAUUAUAAAGAAAAGAAAAAAGUAUUCCUAUAUACUCUUUAAGCCCCAAUUUUAUUUUAAAAAAAAAAAAUACACUUUUCACUAAAGUUUAAUAAUAGACCACAAGUAUUUUCCUUUAUUAGCCCAUCAAGAAAUAAAAGUUGUUCAAAUUUCCAAAAAAGCACCUAUAAUAAUUAACUAAACAUAACUAUCAAAUAAUUUGAUGCAGUGUAUGAGUCUGCUUCUUUCUUAAUCAGAAUUCUCAUAUUCAAGUUUUAGGUAUAAAAUAAAUUUGCGUAUAGUAGCGUUUCCACUGAAUGGAAUCCUACAUGACACGAAAUCCUACGUAAACGAAUUCAGAUUAGUCAGACUCUAAUGAGGGACAGGAAUCUAAUUAUUUUUUUUUACUACUAAAAGGGGAAAAAGAAAAAUAGAAAAUAAAUAAUAAGAGUGGAAUUACAGGAGGGAAAACCACCAAAGAGAGUCUCAUGUAAUGGCGAAAUAGCCACGUCAUCACUUGUUACCUUUCCCUUUCUUCAAUAAAAAGAAACUUCUUUUGAAUCAAAAUCCUUAUACAACUCUUGUUCUGCUUCUUUCAAUUCACUCAAAAGACUUCCAAUUGCAUAUAAUUGUGAAAAUUUACUCAAGUAGGUUGUUCUGCUUAAGUUAUUGUACUUAUUGUGUAGUUUGAUGUAUUUACAGUUUGGUUCUUGAUACUGUGUUUAUUCAAUUGAUUGCCGUUUGUUUUCUGCAGUUUAAUGCUUUUUGAUUUGUGGGGUUUAGUUUUCUUGAAGUUAUUUCGUUCUAUUUUGUUUAAAGUUUGGUUCUUGACAGUUGAUACUGUGUUUGUUCAAUUGAUUUCGGUUUGUUUGCUGCAGUUUAAUGCUUUCUGAUUUGUGGGGUUUAGUUAUCUGGAAGUUAUUUUGUUUAAAGUUUGGUUCUUGAUACUGUGUCUAUUCAAUUGAUUUCAGUUUGUUUUCUGCAGUUUAAUGCUUUCUGAUUUGUGUGGUUUUGUUUUGUUGAAGUUAUGUUAUUCUACUUUACUUAAAGUUUGUUUUUUGAUAGUUGAUACUGUAUUUGUUCAAUUGAUUUCAGUUUGUUUGCUGCAGUUUAAUGCUUUCUGAUUUGUGGGUUUAGUUUUCUUGAAGUUAUUUUGUUCUAUUUUGAUGUAUUUAAAGUUUGGUUCUUGAUAGUUGAUACUGUGUUUGUUCAAUUGAUUUCGGUUCGUUUUGUGCAGUUUACUGCUUUCUGAUUUGUGGGGUUUAGUUUUCUUGAAGUUAUUUUGUUCUAUUUUGUUUAAAGUUUGGUUCUUGAUAGUUGAUACUGUGUUUGUUCAAUUGAUUUCGGUUUGUUUGCUGCAGUGUAAUGCCUUUUGAUUUGUGGGGUUUAGUUUUCUUGAAGUUAUUUUGUUCUAUUCUGAUGUAUUAAUAGUUUGGUUUCGUGGUUGUAUUUUCUUCAAUUGAUUAUCAGUUUGUUUGUCAAGUUUAAUGCUUUCUUAUUUAUUGGGUUUCUGUUUUCUUUUAAAUUGUGAUGUAUAAGGUUCGAAUUGUUGAAUUAAGGUAGUAUGUAGUUCACCAUCCGAAGCAGAGCUGGGUAGUACCGAGGCCUUCGGCAAAUUACACUCGUUAUGGUUAAAAUUCUUUUUUUAUGUACAUAUAGUAGAUUUGCUUUCCAUUAGUACUUUCAUUUGCUUCACUUGAGCCGAGGGUCUUUCCGAAACAACCUCUCUACCUCCAAGAGGUAGGGGUAAGGUUUGUGUACACUCUACCCUCCCUAAACCCCACUUUGUGUGAUUUCACUGGGUAUAUUGUUGUAUAUACAGUAGAUAUUGAAUCCCUUUGGCCAAUUUGUGUGUUUACUUCUUCAUAUUUUGAACUCUCUUAGUGAAAAUCCUAGCUCCGUCACGAGUUUGCAUAUCAUCAUGGUAUGGUUUUAUAUGCGUGUGUGUUUUAUGUGUAAACAAAGGAGAAACAAAUUGUAGUAACUGGUUCUAUUAUUUUGAGGUUCUACUGAUUAGUAAGAUGUUAGUUGAGCUUCAUCUGGGUUUCCUAAAAACCUUGCUGGCAAUGAAGCCAGGCUGAAAUCCUCUCAUUCACUCCAUUUUUUAAUUUGUUGUUGUUGUACUUGUUAUCGUUUAAGCUCAUCACUACUUAUCCCCUGCAUAGACCCUCUUCCCCUUCUCAAUGACCUGUUGCUCCAGGGUUCAUCAGCUUGACUAGUUUCAAUUGCAUCUCUUUUCUGUCUUUCCAUAAGAAGUAGCACGAAAUUUCUGAAUAUUUACCCUAGGAGGUGAGUUCUGCAUCCUUUAUUUAUGUAUUUGCUAUCUUAAUGCCAUUUCAGUUUGGUUCUUGAAACUAUGUUUGCUCCAUUGAUUUCAGUUCGUUUUGUGCAGUUUAAUGCUUUCUGAUUACUUGUAUUUUUUUCCGUUUUCUUGAAGUUAUUUUGCUCUAUGUUGCUGUAUUUCAGUUUGGUUCGUGAUUGUAUUUUGUUCAAUUGAUAAUCAGUUUGUUUGUCCAAUUUAUUGCUCUUGAUAUUUCUGGGUUUCAUGUAUUCUUUGAGUGUCUCUUUUCAAUUGUGAUGAUCACAAUAUGUUGUUCGCAUAUAACUUCGGUGGGGUUUUAUAUAUGUUUGUUCUAUGUGUAAACAAAGGAAAAAACAAACUGUAAUAAACAAGUACUUAUUUCGAGUUUAUACUGACUAGUAAGAUGUUAGUUGAGCUUCUUCUGAGUUGCCUGAAAACCUCGCAAGAAAUGAGGACAUAGGCUGAAGAUCCUCUCAUAUCACUCCAACUUUUUAUUUCUUGUUGUUGUACUUGUUAGCAUUUAAGCUCAUCAUUUCUUUUAUCCUACAUAGCCACUAUUCCCUUUAUGACCUGUUGCUCUAGUGCUCAUCAAUUUGACUGCUUUGGUGAAUUUUGUCAGUCCCUGCAUCCUCGUUUAAAUUUCUCUUGUUGAGUAUGCGGUUUGCUAAUCUGAGCUCAUUUUUCAAUGAAGCUGGAUAAUAGGUAUAAGCGACUACCUUUUUGAAUCAUACUCAUUGAUGGUGCAUGUAAGCUGGGGUGUACAUUUCUACUGAAAAAUUGGUACAGAGCUUUAUUGCAAUAGUUCGAAGUUGGGGCCUUAAAAAUGUCGAGCGGAGAUGGCCCUAAAGUCUCUUGUGAAGAAAUACAAAUGGUAUGCUUUCAAUCUUUUUUAGAUGAGUUGUGAUCUUCCACAUGUUACUUUAUCUUUGGUUAGCUUUGUGCUCAUUUAUUAAUCAUUCUUCAAGAAACACAAUUAUCACUUCUCUAAAACACCAAGAAUUUGUACUCGGUCCUCUUCCCCAUUGCAUGGAAAAAUGUUUUACUGGCUCAUUGAUGAUAAUAUUCAACAAAUAAAAUCCUUGGACUUUGUCUCCUUAGAGCAUCUCUUUGGUUUUUUUUACAUCAAAGAAAUGGUUUUAUUUUAUGUUUAUAUUUCAGUGAACCUUUAUAGAAUGUUAUCACUAAUAACAUGGAAUUCAACCAAUACCAAAAAAAAAGAAGCUUGGUUAUCCUACUUAGAUGAUCACCAGCUGUUCCAAAUUGAAUGAUCACGAGAUCUGCACAUAGAUGUGUGAAAAGAUGAUGCUUGUUUUGAAUUUCAGGUGCAAAAUCGGAUUGAGUACUGUCUUCGGCAAUACAUGAGUCGGAAAGAAGUUGUGAACACUCUCUUCAUCCAGGACAACAUAGAGCCUACAUUUACUGAACUCGGUAUGUUAUAUAUUUUCAAGGCAUACACUUACUUCCUCCAUGUAAUGUGGAGUGAGGACUUAACUUGGCAAUUCCUGCAACACAGGUUUCAAAAGAGAUUCAAAUAAGGAUCACAAAGCUUUUAAUGGUUAAUAAUGGCUGCCAAUAUUUCUCACACUUCCUGAAAAUAGCAGAUACAUUAUCAAACAAUUGAAUGUACAUAGAAAGUUCCAAUCAUAAAUUAUCAAAAAGAGUUUCUUUUGCCCAUGAGUUUUAGCUCUCUAUCACACAGCCGAUGCUCUCUGCCAAAUAAUUAAAAAAAAAAAUCUGACUGCCCUUCUCUGUUUGUGUGCCGUUUUUUAGCUGUCACUGUUGUCUCCUUUCUAUCUCUAACUUUUACAGUAGAAUGCUUCUUUUGCUGAUGAAUAAUUGUAUGAAUGCAUAUGUAAAUAUUCUUGAACAGUUGUAUCUACUCUCUAACACUUAGUUAUCGGUGAUCGGUGAGGGUUCUAUUCCCUUUGUAAUCCCCUCCCCCAUUUCCCCUUUAAUAUAACGACUAAUAAAAACACAUAUAUCAAAUUAGAGGAAAGUUAGUGGCCAUACUAAUCUUUUUUCAGUUUUUAAGAUAAGUCUAUUUCACAAAUAUUGCUAUACUUUUUUCAAUUUUGAAGAUCAUUCUUUUCACAAAUAUUGCUAUUAACAGCUUCCUAAGCUUAACACUAUUUUGAAGUAUCAAGGAUUCGAAGAAAUUAAUUUUCACAAAUUCAGAUUGCUAUUAAUAGCUUUACUAACAUAUUUUUGACUUUUUGUGUUAGAUGUAUAUGUAUGCUAGUGAGGCCAUUUAAAACACAUAAUCAGUGGAAUGUUAAUCUGUGUCCAUCCAAAUAACUGCUGAUGAAUAAUUGUAUGAAUGCAUAUGUGAAUACAGUGAGUCAUUGCUUCUGUCUACCUUAGUUAUGGAUUCAUUCUUUAAAGGGAAAAAGGUCAAAUUUUUCCUGUAUUAUCUGAAAUUGAGCAACUUUGUCCUUUACUUAAUUUUGGUCUAAUAUUAUCCUUGUCGGUAGGAACAAGUCUUCAAUUUCUUCUUUCUCGUUAAAAAAAAGACUUUUUCGAGAUGGUAGCAAGUUUGUAAUAAAUUCAUAAAAAGGCUGUGAAACCACAGUUACAGAUAAAAGAAAGCAAAAACUGCUAAACUAGAAGAAAGUAUCUACUGAAAACUGCUGAAAAAGACUAUAGAGACUCGUAAGACUUGUAGAAGAAUCUCAGUGUCUUCUAUGUAUUCUUUUUAAAACCAAAAAUGAGAAAACAAAAUAUAACUUAGGUUUCAUCUUUUGGACUGGGUUGCUUAAAUUUGGUUUUCUGGUCUAGGAUGCUAUUUUGCAUCUGUUGAACUUUCCAGAACAGUAAUAAGAGUUUGAAGUAAUAUUUCAGAAUUGGAUCUUUCCUACAUUUAAAAAGUACUUCUAUAAAGUUCAGCUCAGAACUUUUGACUUCCUUUGAACUUGACAUUUCUGUAAAUUUGAUCACUUCUAAUUAUCUGAACUCAUCAGUGGGAGUAAUGCUGCUACCUUUGCCAGAUACCUGUGUCAUUCUAGAAGCAAUUGAAGUUAUUUUUUACUAUCCGUUUUGUUCCUCUGCUUAUGAAUGUACUCAUGAGCAUUUGCAGCUCUAGUAGGUAUAUUAUCAUGAAACUGAUUUGAGGAAAGAUGAUAUUAAUACUAAUGUGAAGCGAAUAGUGCUUCUAAUGAGCUGUUUUGUAUAACAUGUAAAUAUACUGUAUGUUCUCUCUUCUGUUUUAUUUUGUCCUUGUUUCCAGUAUUGCCUACAGGCGAGUAGCAAUUUACAGCUUUUAUGUGGUUCUGGUUUCCCAACUCUUUUAACAUUAUGAUGUUCUCGCUGUUUUUCAGUUUGGCAGAAACUAGAAGAAGAAAAUCAGGAAUUUUUCCAAGCAUAUUACCUGAAGCUGAUGGUGAAAGAGCAAAUAAUUGAAUUCAACAGGUUGCUUUCGGAACAGGUGAAGAUGACGCAGCAAGUUCCAAGUGCAAUUGCUUCUCUACCUAUGUCUAAUGGGUGUAAUAUUAUGCCAAGUAAGAUGGAUACUUAGUGAACCUUUUUGCAUUUAGGUCUCAUGCAUCAAUCAGUAUCUUGUCACUGAGUAGCUACAAAAAGCACUUGUGUAAUUGGGUAGUUCAUGUUCAGUUUGUGCAUAUACUAAGUAGCAUCCAACUUCUUAACUAGAUGACUUUACCUCAAAGUGUCGCGUACACCAGAACUGCACUUAAACCUAAUCGGUUGGCAGACUCUUCCAUUUGGUCUGCAAUCAAAUGCCUGCUUUGUCUCAGUAUAUCUGAUGCUGUUGAUGUGGUUGCAUUCAUUUACAUGUGGUUUAUGCUAAUUACGUGAGAUACAUCCAGAAGCCUCUAGUUUCAUCUUCUUUGUAUAGUUUUAAACUUCAUUGUCUUACUACGAGGAGUUCCCACCUGUCCUCAUUCCUUUCAGAUACUCUCUUUCAUUUGCCUCCACCGUACUUAAAAUUUUCAUUCCAGUACCUGAUGUUUCAUCUCUGCUACAUUGGAUGUUGUUUGCAGAUUUUUAAACUAUGCACAUCAUUGUAGAACAGUGACUUUUAACAUUUUGAUAAAUUUUUUUGCAUGUCAGUAUCUUCCUUUAUGUUCAUGUUUAUAUCAAGCAGACACAGUUAUCGUGAGGGUGGAAGUGGUUUCUGUACCAUUUUCCUUUUACUGUAACUUCUGAAGUUGAUUUGUCAUCCAUUAUUGAUAUGUUAAUGAGAGUCUUUGAUGCAUGUCUUUCCUGAUAUCACACUUGUCAUUUUUGCGUUAACAUGUCUAAUCUCUUUUCUGUAUAUCUGGCUUUAUGAUCUUCGAUGAUGCAAACACUUUUCCCUCUAGCAUUUGCACUUUACUUAAUUCCUACUAAGACAGUCUUAUACUUUUCUAUGCUGAAAGAUGCUUAAAGGGUUUUUUAUGGUUGAUUAUUUUCUAAUACCCAUUGGUGGUUAAUUUUUUCACCUUGAGGUUGUAUUGGGAAAGGUAUAAUCAUCUGUGAUAUUGGUAAAAAGCCAGCAAGCACAGUAUUUUUAUGCUUUACUGAAAGAAUUCAUGAGAAGAAUCAGCACUCUUCUCUUUAUUUUAGUCUGAGGUUCCAAAUAUGAAAUUGCCUACUCAUAUAGUGAUUCCUUUUAUUUUAGUUUAGGGGCAUGCGUGAUGCGCGUGUACACCAAUAUGAUUUUGUAUUACAUUGUAAAUACAUUUGACUUAUAAAAUAAAUUUAAAAUGAGAAAAAGUGUGAGUUUCAGAAGUUAUAAAAGUUGAUCUUGUUUAACUAACUCAAUAAAAAAAGCUCUAUCUCACAAAAGUCUUCUUAUUGUUAUUUCAAUACUACAUUAUAUGUGGUCAAUUUAGUAGCAUUGUAGUACUAUUUCAAAAAAAAAAAAAAACUAUUUCAAAAAAAUUUAGUAGCAUUGUAGUAGAAUGUAUUGACUUAUAGUUGCAUUACUCAUAAUUUUAUUUUGUCUUUUUAUUACAUAUAGACUUCUUUAGAAAACACAAUAGAAAGAUAAGCUGAAAUAGCUAGCUUGCACAAUUCAAACAAGAUGAAAUAAUAAAUUUAACAAUAGAAAGCUUCACAGACCUUAAGAGAAGAGUAUCAAUAACUUUCUUCAGGCAUUGAUUUUUUUUUCAACAUUGUAAAACUGCUUUUGAUGUUAUUUACUAAUUAUUUGUACCAAAUAAACUACAAAGGUAGUGUGAAAUCUACACCUUAAUUAUUUUUUUUUUGAAUCAAGAGUUUCAUUUUUAUGAGAAAACAACGUCCUGUGUAGGUGUCUUCAUCCUUCAUACAAUAUCUUCAAGCAUAUGUAACUUUACAAAGAAUUUUUAUUUCAUAAUCUAAUCCAAAUCUUCUCUAUUAAAGCACAAAAUUACAAAAGGAAAAACUUUUGACAAAUAAUUCAAAUAAUUGCAACCCAACAAAUCUAUUAUUAAAUACGAAGCUAGAAAAUAAAGCACAAAUAUAUACAAAAUAAAAAAGGUACUUUCAGCAAGAUGUAUGGAAUAUUAGUAAGAAGUAUAUAAAUCACAAAUAAUAUUACAAUCCAUCCUAAAAGAACUAUAAUCAUAUAAACCCAAAAUAUAACUAAGAAUAUCAAUACAAGAAUUAUGUGAUUACUGUCGGCGUAUUUAUGAUACCCAAAUAAAAGGCUCAUACCAUUAUCAAAACCAUAACGUGUUUUUCCCCCGACGUUUUCAUCAAAAAGCAAUAUAAUGCUUGAACUCAAAAUUCGAUAGUAUUCUGUAACUGAAACCCAAAAGGAGGAAAUAUAUAGGGAGUUGUACAAGUUGUGAAUGUAGAACUCAUGAAAAGCCUUUACAUUGAGUUUGAUAGACCGUGUGAUAAUGUGAUUGACUAUCAAUCUUUUUUAGUGCAAAUUUAUAGAAUAUUGUAAAGAAAAUGAAAAGGUGAUGUGAAAAGGUUAUUACUUUUUUUUUUUUUGAUAAGGUAAAGGUUUAUUGACUAAGUACCAAGAAGGUACCGAAACGGAACAUUAAGAUUGAAACAAUUGCAUGUAAUAACUAAGCAAUUGAAACAUGUAUUAAUUGUGGGAGUAUGAAACAAUUUUUUACAUUCAGAUUCAAUGUACACAGAAGACGUUUUAUGUUUAGAUUUUUUUUUUUUUAUGUGAUAGCAAAGUUGUUAUCAAUUAUUUAUGGGCAUUUUCGUAGUCAUGGAGGUUUCCUACUUUUAGUAUUGUAUGAUGAUGAUGAUUAUUAUUUUUUUUUUCUUGAAAAAGCUAUGUAUAUAGUUAUUUCGUCUCUAAUGUGUUCCACACGUGCAAGUGUUAAUUCUCCUACAACUCCCCUUACAAUGUUGUAUUCCGUUCUUAAGAAAAGAGAUUUUCACAUACUGCCAGUAUGAUACUGGGGCCAGUGUUAGUUGGGCGCUAAUGUAGGAGGAAUGCCAGAUGUAGUGUUCAUGGGUAUGGAACUAUGUAUUGUUAGAAUGUCAAGUGUUAGCUUUAGAAUAGUGUUAAAGAAUGAGAUGAUAAUUUUGUUGUCCAACGUCAAACAAGUACUAUGUAAGUCUUGGGUUUGACACCAAUAAGUUGGUGUCUUGUAUUCCAUUAUCGUUAAGUCUUCAAUGUCUUAUCUUCUAUUUUUAUUUUUCCACUUGGUACCAAGGCAGCACUAUGUUCCUAUGUUCCUUUCUGGCAACCAUUCUGGCAUCAGCUCACCUUUUUCUGAUGAAUGUUCUGGUGAUACCACACCUCUUUAUGGUGACUGUUCUAGUAGUGCCAUGCCUUUCUGGGUGACCGUUUCAAGGACGCUGCGUCUCUUGUGCUGACGAUUUCUAGUAUUUGCAUCUUUCUGGCCAUUGUUUUGAGCAACAUCUUUUCUGCUGAGUUAACGGAGACCAGAGCUGUUCAGCCAGAUUUUCUGGUCAAAAGAUUUAGCUGUACCUGUAUAAGACGGAAGAGAAGACGUAGCACAUGAGAUGUUGCUCCUCUUAUGUCGAGAGAAGAAUACUGAAUUUUUGAUUGAGUAGAGAAGGAUUUUGCAUUUAAGGAAUAACCUCUUACCCCUUACUUCUUUGGUGCAUCCAUGAGGUUCCCCACUUGUAUAGAAGUUUGGGUGCCUUUCGGAGAAAGCCAUAUCAUCACUGUUUAGUUUACCUCUUGUAUAAGGGCAAUUGUUGUUCUUGUUCUUUUGAAUGAGAUUUAUUACAUUAUCAAAAAGAUUUAGCUUAGUUUGUCUGAUCUUUUCUGCAACAAGCAUGACGAGCAUCGUUUUCAGUAUGGAGCCUGCCACUAAGCUUUUGUCUAGACUUAUCCUUAUCUUCAUUGCCUUCUAUUUGCUUGUUACCUGUGUUCUUGCUAGAACCUGCAUUUGAGAAGCUGUGUUGUUGUCUCUAGUUAAUGUUAAGUUUUCUUGCCUUACUGCAGUGCAUCAAAGUUCAACUUGUGGUGCUGCGGAAAAUGUUGGAACUGCUGCAAAGCCUAAUGGCAUGCACGAACCUGUACAUGCUGAUAGACCCAAUGCAUUCAGUAACAGCAGCUCAUCUGUUCUCUCUUGCAUGCAAACAACAAUUGAUAUUCCUUCUCAAAGCAGGAAAAUUGAUGGUCCUCCUAGUAUGUUUUUGGGCCAGCCCUCUAACAUGGGGAUGAGACAAACAAUGGAUGGGAGGAUUAUUAAGACAGAACCUAUCUAUGGUGGCAAUUCUCCGUUUGCCUUUGGUCCUCAUGGCACUUACUUGGAGUCACGUUCUGCAAUGGGCGAUGCAUCUGUUUCAUCGUUUAGUAGUGUGGAGUCGAACACACAACCUCUUAAUGAACCUCUUCUGGAUGCUGACACUUCUUCGUUUGGAUAUCUAGGGGAUAUACCUCAAAAUUUUGGUUUCUCAGACUUGACUGUUGAUUUCACUAAUAGUUCUGGUAUGUGUCUUCCUCUCCCUAUUUUCUCCGUAAUUUCACCAAGCAUCUCUGGAUUCGUCUUUUUCACUUUCAACGUUUCAGGUAUUAAAAUGAGCUGGUAUUGAUGCUAAUCAGGCAUACUUUAUAUUCGUUUUGACCAUGUUCAGAUAUAUUAGGGAGCUACUCUAGGACUCCCUUUCUAGCAACAGAUACUGGCAACUUGCUCGAUUCAAAUGGUAGGUGGAUAUUCCCAAAGUAAGACUUCUGUACUUUUUUGUCAUUCUCUUUGGAUAACCAAUAUCAUGUCUUUGACUUUCAGGAGGCAUUGAGAGGUUAACCAAUCCAUCAGAGAAAUUGAGAUACACUAAUUUCAGUGGAGAUUGAUUGUGUAUAGGUAACUUUCUCCAUCUUAUAAGAUUCAUCAGAGUUGUAAUACUUACUUUUGGUUCCAUUUUGAUGACGAUUUUGAGUGGACAUAAUGUUUAAGAUAUUAAUUUUGUUUUAUGGUGCUAGUAGCACAUGCAUCGGUUCAUAGGUGCAACAUGAUGAUUGAAGGUGUAAAAAGGAAUGAGAUAGACCAAUACUAUAUAGAAUAUUCAUUGUAGAGAACUCAUGUGCUUGGUUUUCCAACACACAUGUGAGAAUUAUGAUCUUCUUUCGUUCAUUCCUUCACGUCUCGUUGAAGGAGGACUUGGUAUAAGGAUGAAGUAGGUGUGGUUUUUGUGCCAAUUGAUGGAUGUUUCUUUCAGAAAUGACUCACUGUUGAUGUUUCUCACUGCAGAUUCGAUCAAAACACAUACACGACGAUAGCUUUUGUAUAUUGCUGGCUGCUCAAGUGGUUUAGAAUAAUUGGAUUUUCUGGUAUUGUAGGUUGAGGUUGUCAUCAUGGAGAAUAAUUCAAACAUGAAAGAUUUCAGUAGAGAUCUUUGUACAAAGAGUUAAAUGUGAUUUAGAACAUUGUUAUUUUAUCCACGUAUAGCAUACUGUCUGAUUUUUAGUGUAACUAUGAAACAGUAUUGAAGUUUUAGUGCAUAUCGGACCUGAAAAUUUCAGCAUUUAUUUUUAUUUUUUACCAUUUCGUAGAAGCUCCUUGACGAUUCGAACUCACAACCUUAGGGUCGGAGGUGGAGGGUGCUUAAAAUAUGAAAAAUAUUCCUCUUUCAUGGUUGUGAUUUCAUCUACUGACAAGUUAUCUCAUCUUGCAAGAUCCACACAAGUCAUUUAAAGAAAUAAUGUUCAUAUGUCAAUACAAUAGAUCCAUCCAAAGAGGUUCUUUUGAUGUACAACCACAACUUUUUAACAAAUAAAAAAAGGCAGCUCAGUGCACAAAGCAUCCCACGUUUACACAGGGUUCGGAAAGGGAUUCACUCCAAGGGGUGUGAUGUUGGCACCCUACCUUGAUGCAGCACCGCAAGGGGAUGUGUCUACACUGGUCAAACCCAUGAUCUAUAGUCACACAAAGACAACUUUACUAUUGCUCUAAGGCUGCCAUCGAAGUACAAAUGCAAAUCAAUAAAGAAAAAUGUCUUCAACUUCCUAGCUUCCAUCUAGCAGGAUAUGAACAAAUGAAACAGCUUAAGAGAAUCAUUGAGCUUUACAAGAUCAGCAAAUAAGCUUGAGUCAGUUAUACCUGUUGAACCAGUAUUGCAGUUUUUAUAUGCACAUCAGGUUGACGAAUCCAAGGGGUAAAUAAGGACCUUGAGCACUUCAUUUCCAUAUCCUUCUUG
rnacentral:lncRNA from 1 species